ACUCGGCCUUACUGGACAUGAGCGCUACACCAUCAACCUUCCCACCGAUGUCAGCGAGAUCCGCCCUGGCCAGGAUGUGACCAUCACCACGGACAACGAUAAAUCCUUCACUUGCAUACUUCGCUUUGACACAGAGGUAUAUAUCAAAAGCUUGUUGGAUCUUUGCUAUCAGUCCUACAGUUUUGUAUGAAUUGUGUUAGUUAGGAGCUUCUCCGUUGGGUACUUGGGUUGACACAUUCUUUGUGGUUGCAGGUGGAGUUGGCCUACUACAACCAUGGAGGCAUCCUGCCCUAUGUAAUCCGCAACAUGGCAGCAGCUCAGAACUAGGCGAAGGCGCACACACCCUUUCCGCCAACGAUGGCGGCAUGCCAAUCUUGUUAGUGCCACCAUCAACGUCGAGCGUUCACUCUUGAUUUUGUGGCCUUAUGAAUAAACCGAAAAUAAAGCCGGCAUUUCCAUACCUGGCGUGGGCGCAAGUUGAUUUGUGGGUGUUUGGUUGUGGUUAUGAAACCGUGUGGUCAUUCUGAAGAGACAUCCAAUUGUGGAGGAUUAAAAUCGUAGAGUCUGGUGUACAUUGCUUUGUGCCAAAAACAUAUAUAAACUGAUAGCAAUCUGGAGUUCUUUUUUAACCUUUACCUCACCAAUCUACUGCCUGCCUUUACAUACCUGUAGUGACCUUUAUAUUUACUAAGGUUGCCAACUGCUUUGGCACGGAUGCAUGCACUUCCGGUUUCUUUUCUUCAUUCUGUCCCUUGCUUUAUUUUCGUCCUUCCUGAUGUUUUUAGAUAGAUUUAACUCAGAAAUUUUAAAAUCACAUAUUCUGAUAUAGUCAUUGGCCAGAUUGUGCGAUCUCCUUUACCAUUUCUUCGAAUCGUUAACAUAUAGCCUGAGGAGUUGAGGUUUCACGCUUUCGUGAUUUUUUUACCUUUUGUUUUUGUUUUUUCCUAGAUNNNNNNNNNNNNNNNNNNNNNNNNNNNNNNNNNNNNNNNNNNNNNNNNNNNNNNNNNNNNNNNNNNNNNNNNNNNNNNNNNNNNNNNNNNNNNNNNNNNNNNNNNNNNNNNNNNNNNNNNNNNNNNNNNNNNNNNNNNNNNNNNNNNNNNNNNNNNNNNNNNNNNNNNNNNNNNNNNNNNNNNNNNNNNNNNNNNNNNNNNNNNNNNNNNNNNNNNNNNNNNNNNNNNNNNNNNNNNNNNNNNNNNNNNNNNNNNNNNNNNNNNNNNNNNNNNNNNNNAGCAUGCUUUGUUUUAAUUAGCUCACGAAGAGCAAGGGAAGAGCAAAUGUGUUAGAAGUCAAAACGAUCUGAACACCUUAUAGAUCUCCAGCAGAACAAAUUUAGCAUGUCUGCUCACCAAAAGAUAAAGACCAUAACCUAUCUUGUGCACAGAGAUAGUGACGUGUUUAAAAGGUACACCCUCCGAUGGAAAAAAAGUGUAGUGGCUUUAUUUCAGUAUUUUUUAAGGGAAAUGCUAUUGCUCAACCGACGGAUCAUUGUACGCCCUCUGACCUCUGUGGCUGUUAGAUUUGAUUUGGAUCGAACGACUCACAAACAAUCUCUAUCCUAGUACAGGUCUUGCAGCUGACCCCUUGACCUCAUCCGUUGCAGAUCGAGCAUGUGCGAGGGAGGCCACCGCCGACUAUUGCUGGAGGAUGCCUCUUCUCCUCUCCUCCUUUUCCUCUUCAACUAUUCCUCUUCCCACAUACAUGUGCCCGGACGCUCGCAACCAGCAGCCAAGCCAAGGACCGCCGCUUGUAGGUCAUCGUCGCUGAGCGCAUCCAUGCCGGAUUUCCGCCCCCAAACCCAAACGCCUCCCUGUCGAUCGAUCGAUGGAUCUGGUUAGAUCCACCAUGCGGGUGUAGAGUGCCAUCAAUCUCGUCUUCAUCCUGUCACCACCGAUGCUGGCAGCAGCCACAUCACCGCAUGGUACGUCCGCAUCCACUCCACGCUCGGCCCUGCGUCUCUGUUCGCAACAUCACCUCGGAGGCAAGUUUCUGCAACAAAGGCGUUGUCGCGCAACGGCAACAGCGAACGAAGACGGUGCUAGUGUGCGGCGUGGCUGGAGAUGUUAUAACUUUUGCAACAAGAGUCUUGUUGUAAAAAAUUAGACGCGGCAUGAGAUGUUGUUACAAUUUUUGUAACAAGGGUAUUGUUGUAGAAAAUAAGAGAAGAAGAGGUUUUGCAACAUGAGUCUUGUUGAAAAGAGAAGUUUUUUUUGAAAGUACGCCAAAGGUAUACCUUAAUUUUAUAGAAGAGAAGAGUAUGGGUCAAUGUACAAGAAGAUAAGGAUGGAAGCGAGCUUCCAUCAAGGAUGCACACCCUAGCACACCCUACACGCUAGCCUAUGCCUACACUCUCACAAAACUGCCAUAACCUCCUCCUCCCAAGCCUGCCAACCUUCACUCUUUAAGCUCCGCAAUGAUGGCAAGGGACAGAUCUGGCGCAGUCUUCUGCUGGUUGGUCCGAUGAAACACUCUGGCGUUGUGUUGCUUCCAUAAAGCCGAAGUGGCCGCAAUGAUCACCGUGUCGAAACCACGCUUAAAACCCUUCCUGAAGUGAGCCCUCCUAGUCAGCCACCAGUCCAGCAAACUAUCCUCCGGCUCCGGAAUGUUGCCUUGCAAGCUCAACGCCUCGAAGAUGUUAUGCCAGACUUCCUUAGCGCAGACGCACUGUACAAGUAUGUGUUUCGCGUUGUCCUCAUCUUGAAGGCACAUGUAGCAAGUAGACGGGGCAUCCUGAAGGCCACGCAUUGCUCUUCUGUUUGACGUCCAAAUCCGAUGUUGCACUGCCAACCACACAAAGAUUUUGCAUUUCAGAAGAGCCCAGCUUUUCCAUAUGCAAGUGGUGUAUGGAACCCUCUCAGCACCUAGGCAAAGCCUACAGUAGGUGGACUUAGCAGUGUAUGUGCUAGACGGAUCCGCCGGCCAUGAGAAAGAAUCUUCUCUGGCCGGGUCUCGAUUGAUCGUGCUGAUCGCUAGGUUAAGAUGCAAGAGCUGCAUAUGGCCUCCAAAGUUGACUUCGCCGGUAAUAUCAAGCAGCCAUCUCCCGUCCGUCCUCUAAUCCUUCCUCGACAGUGUGGCGGUUGAUCGUUCGCGUGUCCACCAAUGCAUGAAUGUAAGGCGCAAUAUCCUUGACCGCGAAGCCAUGAACCCACCUAUCUCUCCAAAAUAGAACUUUGUUGCCCACCCCUACCGAAAUGUGCACCAAACUGUCGAAGACCGCACGUGCCUCUCUGUCCACAACCAUGGGUAGUCCUUGCCACGACCUCUCUGGGUCCGUCCGCCUCAACCACUCCCACCCGACUCUCAGGGCCAAGCCUUGCAACUGAAGGUUAUGAACUCCCAAUCCACCUAGCCAUGUGGGUUUGCAAACCGAGUUCCAAGCAACCAGGCACUGGCCGCCAUUCACUUUGUCUUUGCCAGCCCAGAAGAAAGAACGCAUCCAUUGAUCAAUCUCUUCAAACACCCACGCUGGAGCCUCCGUGACCAUGAAGUGAUGAAUAGGUUUGGCCGCGAUCACGGACUUAACCAAUGAAAGAACAUGCGGUGCCCCCAUGUUUGGUUUUGGUAAUUGAUGACAAUCUCUAUGGACUAAUGGUUGCCUUGAGUUAUAUUUGAAGGUUUUGUCCAUAGGCUUUUCUUGGAGUACAUGUGUUGGGUUCAAGGAGAGUUUGUGUCGACCAAGGUGCUAUUCAAGGAAUUACCUAAAGAUUGGUCUUGUGAGAGGUUUAUCAAGACUAAGUCAAAGAGUGAAUCAAGUUGAUCAACCCACAAAGCGUAGAAGAUGUACCGAGAGGGAUCAAGUGAUCCCAUCGUAUGGUAAGCAUUGCCAAUUACGCUUUGUGUACUAACCCAUGGUCUUCGUGAGGGUUCUUUGUGGGGUUAGGUUGCGGUGUGCAAGUUCAAGUGGAGCAUCACGAAGAGAUCAAAUGCUUGAAGCUUGCCGUCCUUUGUGGUAACAAUGGACUUGUGAAGAUGUGCGGAAGAGUGGCUCACCCAUAGUGAAGUAUGGGGGAGCAAUCAACUAGUCUUCAUCGAGUCAACCCAAUCAAGAAAGGUGGUCCAACUUGAGGGAGUCAAGAUCGUCAUCAUCUAGCUCAAGUGGACCAUGUGCAAGGCAAAGGUUUGCCCUUGAUAGGUUUUCUAUUUUACCGGUCUCAUGAUGGUAGUUGGGAGACCGGGUUAUAGGAUCGAUUGCCGUACUAUCAAGGGGGGCUCUCGAUGAGUAGCUUGAUCGUAUCGUUUGCUGAGAGCUCAAACCAUUGCAUCCUUGCAUCAUCUUUCUUGGUUCUUGUUUGGUUCUCUUUGAGAGUCUUAGAGCUUAUGGUCAUCUUGAUGACAAGCUCGAGUUCAUCGAAAACGGAGUUCACAUGCUUCUUCUAUGAUGUUUUCGAUGUUGAAGGUUUUGUCGGUUCUUCUCGGUUGGAGGUUUCACUCCUAUAUUUGUUAGGCAUACCUCCCCUGCCUCUUCUUCUAUAACCAAUCGCUGUUUUGAUGCUACUCGUCGUCUUGUUUCCAACAAGCUUGAGUUUGCUCAAUUCGGAGCUCAUAUGCAGAAGUUAUGGCAGUUCUUGUUUUCUUGAGUCUGGUUUUUGUCAGGGUCCGCGUUGGAAAGGUUUGGGUGGUUUCAUCACGUACACGCUUCCUUCUUUUCCCCUCCUUCUUCCUUGGGGCUUCCUCCGUUUUCCUGCCUCCUUUGACUGGCUGCUGUUGUGGUUGCGGUAGUACUGCUCCUGGAUCAACGGUAGUACCGUAGGCAUCCACGGUAGUACCGCGCGGUGGCGCGGUAGUACCGCUGAUGCCCAUGGUAGUACCGCUCCCCCGGAGCCGCACUACCGCUACCCACCAGGCUAGUGCCGCCCCCUUUGCGGUAGUAGGAGCGGAUGUAAUUUUUUACAUCCGCACCUGCCGCGAUAGUACCGCCUUCGCCGUGCGGUAGUACCGCGCUAUGCGGUCAGGCAGUAGUACCGCCCCUCGGCAGUACUACUGUGUCGGGUUUUUGCUACUUCCGUUUAUUUGCGGAAGUAGGCACGGUAGUUUCCCUUCUCCCCUGGCUGGGAUUUUUUGUUGGGGAACGUAGUAAUUUCAAAAAAUUUCCUACGCACACGCAAGAUCAUGGUGAUGCAUAGCAACGAGAGGGGAGAGUGUUGUCUACGUACCAACGCAGACCGACUGCGGAAGCGAUCACACAACGUAGAGGAAGUAGUCGUACGUCUUCUUCCCGAUCCGACCGAUCCAAGCACUGUUACUUCGGCACCUCCGAGUUCUUAGCACACGUACAGCUCGAUGACGAUCCUCGGGCUCCGAUCCAGCAAAGCGUCGAGGAAGAGUUCCGUCAGCACGAUGGCGUGGUGACGAUCUUGAUGUACUACUGACGCAGGGCUUCGCCUAUUUGGUGGCAGGAGGCACCGCACACGGCUAAGGAACAAUCACCAAGGAUCAACUUGUGUGUCUAGAGGUGCCCCCUGCCCCUGUAUAUAAAGGAGCCAAGGGGGAGGGGUGCGCCGGCCAGGGAGAGGGCGCAGGAGGAGUCCUACUCCCACCGGGAGUAGGACUCCCCCCCCAAUCCUAGUUGGGCUAGGUUUCCCAAAGGGGGAAAGAGAGAGAGGGGGGGCCGGCCCCUUCUCCUAGUCCUAAUAGGACUAAGGGAAGGGGGGGCGCACGGCCACCUAUGGGCUGCCCCAUUUCUCCUUUCCACUAAGGCCCAUGAAGGCCCAUAUGGCUCCCGGGGGGUUCCGGUAACCUCCCGGUAAUCCGGUAAAAUCCCGAUUUCACCCGGAACACUUCUGAUGUCCAAAUAUAGGCUUCCAAUAUAUUAAUCUUUAUAUCUCGACCAUUUCGAGACUCCUCGUCAUGUCCGUGAUCACAUCCGGGACUCCGAACAACCUUCGGUACAUCAAAAUGCAUAAACUCAUAAUAACUGUCAUCGUAACGUUAAGCGUGCGGACCCUAUGGUUCGAGAACAAUGUAGACAUGACCGAGACACGUCUCCGGUCAAUAACCAAUAGCGGGACCUGGAUGCCCAUAUUGGCUCCUACAUAUUCUACUAAGAUCUUUAUCGGUCAGACCGCAUAACAACAUACGUUGUUCCCUUUGUCAUCGGUAUGUUACUUGCCCGAGAUUCGAUCGUCGGUAUCCAAUACCUAGUUCAAUCUCAUUACUGGCAAGUCUCUUUACUCGUUCCGUAAUACAUCAUCUCACAACUAACAUAUUAGUUAUAAUGCUUGCAAGGCUUAUGUGAUGUGUAUUACCGAGAGGGCCCAGAGAUACCUCUCCGACAAUUGGAGUGACAAAUCCUAUUCUCGAAAUACGCCAACCCAACAUCUACCAUUGGAAACACCUGUAGUACUCCUUUAUAAUCACCCAGUUACGUUGUGACGUUUGGUAGCACCCAAAGUGUUCCUCCGGCAAACGGGAGUUGCAUAAUCUCAUAGUCAUAGGAACAUGUAUAAGUCAUGAAGAAAGCAAUAGCAACAUACUAAACGAUCGGGUGCUAAGCUAAUGGAAUGGGUCAUGCCAAUCAGAUCAUUCAACUAAUGAUGUGACUUCGUUAAUCAAAUAACAACUCUUUGUUCAUGGUUAGGAAACAUAACCAUCUUUGAUUAACGAGCUAGUCAAGUAGAGGCAUACUAGUGACACUCUGUUUGUCUAUGUAUUCACACAUGUAUUAUGUUUCCGGUUAAUACAAUUCUAGCAUGAAUAAUAAACAUUUAUCAUGAUAUAAGGAAAUAAAUAAUAACUUUAUUAUUGCCUCUAGGGCAUAUUUCCUUCAGUCUCCCACUUGCACUAGAGUCAAUAAUCUAGAUUACACAGUAAUGAUUCUAACACCCAUGGAGCCUUGGUGCUGAUCAUGUUUUGCUCGUGGAAGAGGCUUAGUCAACGGGUCUGCAACAUUCAGAUCCGUAUGUAUCUUGCAAAUCUCUAUGUCUCCCACCUGGACUAGAUCCCGGAUGGAGUUGAAGCGUCUCUUGAUGUGUUUGGUCCUUUUGUGAAAUCUGGAUUCCUUUGCUAAGGCAAUUGCACCAGUAUUGUCACAAAAGAUUUUCAUUGGACCCGAUGCACUAGGUAUGACACCUAGAUCGGAUAUGAACUCCUUCAUCCAGACUCCUUCGUUCGCUGCUUCCGAAGCAGCUAUGUACUCCGCUUCACAUGUAGAUCCCGCUACGAUGCUUUGUUUAGAACUGCACCAACUGACAGCUCCACCGUUUAAAGGAAACACGUAUCCGGUUUGCGAUCUAGAAUCGUCCGGAUCAGUGUCAAAGCUUGCAUCAAUGUAACCUCUUACGGUGAGCUCUUUGUCACCUCCAUAUACGAGAAACAUAUCCUUAGUCCUUUUCAGGUAUUUCAGGAUGUUCUUGACCGUUGUCCAGUGAUCCACUCCUAAAUUACUUUGGUACCUCCCUGCUAAACUUAUAGCAAGGCACACAUCAGGUCUGGUACACAGCAUUGCAUACAUGAUAGAGCCUAUGGCUGAAGCAUAGGGAACAUCUUUCAUUUUUUCUCUAUCUUCUACAGUGGUCGGGCAUUGAGUCUGACUCAACUUCACACCUUGUAACACAGGCAAGAACCCUUUCUUUGCUUGAUCCAUUUUGAACUUCUUCAAAAUCUUGUCAAGGUAUGUGCUUUGUGAAAGUCCAAUCAAGCGUCUUGAUCUAUCUCUAUAGAUCUUUAUGCCUAAUAUGUAAGCAGCUUCCCCGAGGUCUUUCAUCGAAAAACUUUUAUUCAAGUAUCCCUUUAUGCUAUCCAGAAAUUCUAUAUCAUUUCCAAUCAGCAAUAUGUCAUCCACAUAUAAUAUCAGAAAUGCUACAGAGCUCCCACUCACUUUCUUGUAAAUACAGGCUUCUCCAAAAGUCUGUAUAAAACCAAAUGCUUUUAUCACACUAUCAAAGCGUUUAUUCCAACUCCGAGAGGCUUGCACCAGUCCAUAAAUGGAUCGCUGGAGCUUGCACACUUUGUUAGCUCCCUUUGGAUCGACAAAACCUUCUGGUUGCAUCAUAUACAACUCUUCUUCUAGAAAUCCAUUCAGGAAUGCAGUUUUGACAUCCAUUUGCCAAAUUUCAUAAUCAUAAAAUGCGGUAAUUGCUAACAUGAUUCUGACAGACUUAAGCAUCGCUACGGGUGAGAAGGUCUCAUCGUAAUCAACCCCUUGAACUUGUCAAAAACCUUUUGCGACAAGUCGAGCUUUAUAGACAGUAAUAUUACCGUCAGCGUCAGUCUUUUUCUUGAAGAUCCAUUUAUUCUCAAUUGCUUGCUGAUCAUCGGGCAAGUCAACCAAAGUCCAUACUUUGUUCUCAUACAUGGAUCCCAUCUCAGAUUUCAUGGCUUCAAGCCACUUUGCGGAAUCUGGGCUCACCAUCGCUUCUUCAUAGUUCGUAGGUUCAUCAUGAUCUAGUAGCAUGACUUCCAGAAUUGGAUCACCGUACCACUCUGGUGCGGAUCUCACUCUGGUUGAUCUACGAGGUUCAGUAGUAUCUUGUCCUGAAGUUUCAUGAUCAUCAUCAUUAGCUUCCUCACUAAUUGGUAUAGGUGUCGCAGAAACAGUUUUCUGUGAUGUACUAUUUUCCAAUAAGGGAGUAGGUACAGUUACCUCGUCAAGUUCUACUUUCCUCCCACUCACUUCUUUCGAGAGAAACUCCUUCUCUAGAAAUGAUCCAUUCUUAGCAACGAAUGUCUUGCCUUUGGAUCUGUGAUAGAAGGUGUACCCAACAGUCUCCUUUGGGUAUCCUAUGAAGACACAUUUCUCCGCUUUGGGUUCGAGCUUAUCAGGUUGAAGCUUUUUCACAUAAGCAUCGCAGCCCCAAACUUUAAGAAACGACAACUUUGGUUUCUUGCCAAACCAUAGUUCAUAAGGCGUCGUCUCAACGGAUUUUGAUGGUGUCCUAUUUAACGUGAAUGCGGCCGUCUCUAAAGCAUAACCCCAAAACGAUAGCGGUAAAUCAGUAAGAGACAUCAUAGAUCGCACCAUAUCUAGUAAAGUGCGAUUACGACAUUCGGACACACCAUUACGCUGUGGUGUUCCGGGUGGCGUGAGUUGCGAAACUAUUCCACAAUUUUUUAAAUGUACACCAAACUCGUAACUCAAAUAUUCUCCUCCACGAUCAGAUCAUAGAAACUUUAUUUUCUUGUUACGAUGAUUUUCAACUUCACUCUGAAAUUCUUUGAACUUUUCAAAUGUUUCAGACUUGUGUUUCAUUAAGUAGAUAUAUCCAUAUCUGCUUAAAUCAUCUGUGAAAGUGAGAAAAUAACGAUAUCCGCCACGAGCCUCAAUAUUCAUCGGACCACAUACAUCGGUAUGUAUGAUUUCCAACAGAUCUGUUGCUCUCUCCAUAGUACCGGAGAACGGUGUUUUAGUCAUCUUGCCUAUGAGGCACGGUUCGCAAGUACCAAGUGAUUCAUAAUCAAGUGGUUCCAAAAGCCCAUCAGUAUGGAGUUUCUUCAUGCGCUUUACACCGAUAUGACCUAAACGGCAGUGCCACAAAUAAGUUGCACUAUCAUUAUCAACUCUGCAUCUUUUGGUUUCAACAUUAUGAAUAUGUGUAUCACUACUAUCGAGAUUCAUCAAAAAUAGACCACUCUUCAAAGGUGCAUGACCAUAAAAGAUAUUACUCAUAUAAAUAGAACAACCAUUAUUCUCUGAUUUAAAUGAAUAACCGUCUCGCAUUAAACAAGAUCCAGAUAUAAUGUUCAUGCUCAACGCUGGCACCAAAUAACAAUUAUUUAGGUCUAAUAUUAAUCCCGAAGGUAGAUGUAGAGGUAGCGUGCCGACCGUGAUCACAUCGACUUUGGAACCGUUUCCCACGCGCAUCGUCACCUCGUCCUUUGCUAGUGUCCGCUUAUUCCGUAGUCCCUGUUUCGAGUUGCAAAUAUUAGCAACAGAACCAGUAUCAAAUACCCAGGUGCUACUGCGAGCUCUAGUAAGGUACACAUCAAUAACAUGUAUAUCACAUAUACCUUUGUUCACCUUGCCAUCCUUCUUAUCCGCCAAAUACUUGGGGCAGUUCCGCUUCCAGUGACCAGUCUGCUUGCAGUAGAAGCACUCAGUUUCAGGCUUAGGUCCAGACUUGGGCUUCUUCUCCUGAGCAGCAACUUGCUUGCUAUUCUUCUUGAAGUUCCCCUUCUUCUUCCCUUUGCCCUUUUUCUUGAAACUAGUGGUCUUGUUGACCAUCAACACUUGAUGCUCCUUCUUGAUUUCUACCUCCGCAGCUUUCAGCAUUGCGAAGAGCUCGGGAAUAGUCUUGUUCAUCCCUUGCAUAUUAUAGUUCAUCACGAAGCUCUUGUAGCUUGGUGGCAGUGAUAGGAGAAUUCUGUCAAUGACGUAAUCAACUGGAAGAUUAACUCCCAAUUGAAUCAAGUGAUUAUUAUACCCAGACAUCUUGAGUAUAUGCUCACUGACAGAACUGUUCUCCUCCAUCUUGCAGCUAUAGAACUUAUUGGAGACUUCAUAUCUCUCAAUCCGGGCAUUUGCUUGAAAUAUUAACUUCAACUCCUGGAACAUCUCAUAUGCUCCAUGACGUUCAAAACGUCAUUGAAGUCCCGAUUCUAAGCCGUAAAGCAUGGCAUACUGAACUAUCGAGUAGUCAUCAGCUUCGCUCUACCAGACGUUCAUAACAUCUGGUGUUGCUCCAGCAGCAGGCCUGGCACCUAGCGGUGCUUCCAGGACGUAAUUCUUCUGUGCAGCAAUGAGGAUAAUCCUCAAGUUACGGACCCAGUCCGUGUAAUUGCUACCAGCAUCUUUCAACUUUGCUUUCUCAAGGAACGCAUUAAAAUUCAACGGAACAACAGCACGAGCCAUCUAUCUACAAUCAACACAAACAAGAAAGAUACUAUCAGGUACUAAGUUCAUGAUAAGUUUAAGUACAGUUAAUCAAAUUACUUAAGAACUCCCACUUAAAUAGACAUCCCUCUAAUCCUCUAAGUGAUCACGUGAUCCAAAUCAACUAAACCAUAACCGAUCAUCACGUGAGAUGGAGUAGUUUUCAAUGGUGAACAUCGUUAUGUUGAUCAUAUCUACUAUAUGAUUCACGCUCGACCUUUCGGUCUCUGUGUUCCGAGGCCAUAUCUGCAUAUGCUAGGCUCGUCAAGUUUAACCUGAGUAUUCUGCGUGUGCAAAACUGGCUUGCACCCGUUGUAGAUGGACGUAGAGCUUAUCACACCCGAUCAUCACGUGGUGUCUGGGCACGACGAAGUUUGGCAACGGUGCAUACUCAGGGAGAACACUUCUUGAUAAUUUAGUGAGAGAUCAUCUUAUAAUGCUACCGUCAAUCAAAGCAAGAUAAGAUGCAUAAAAGAUAAACAUCACAUGCAAUCAAUAUAAGUGAUAUGAUAUGGCCAUCAUCAUCUUGUGCCUGUGAUCUCCAUCUCCGAAGCACCGUCAUGAUCACCAUCGUCACCGGCGCGACACCUUGAUCUCCAUCGCAACAUCAUUGUCGUCUCGCCACUUUUAUGCUUCCACGACUAUCGCUACCGCUUAGUGAUAAAGUAAAGCAUUACAUCGCGAUUGCAUUGCAUACAAUAAAGCGACAACCAUAUGGCUCCUGCCAGUUGCCGAUAACUCGGUUACAAAACAUGAUCAUCUCAUACAAUAAAAUUUAGCAUCAUGCCUUGACCAUAUCACAUCACAACAUGCCCUGCAAAAACAAGUUAGACGUUAUCUACUUUGUUGUUGCAAGUUUUACGUGGCUGCUACGGGCUUUAAGCAAGAACUCAUCUCACCUACGCAUCAAAACCACAACGAUAGUUUGUCAAAUAGACUCCGUUUUAACCUUCUCAAGGACUGGGCGUAGCCACACUUGGUUCAACUAAAGUUGGAGAGACAGUCGCCCGCAAGCCAUCUAUGUGCAAAGCACGUCGAGGGAACCGGUCUCGCGUAAGCGUACGCGUAAGGUUGGUCCGGGUCGUCUCGUACAACAAUACCGCCGAACCAAAGUAUGACAUGCUGGUAGGCAGUAUGACUUGUAUCGCCCACAACUUACUUGUGUUCUACUCGUGCAAAUAACAUCAAACCAUAAAACCUAGGCUCUGAUACCACUGUUGGGGAACGUAGUAAUUUCAAAAAAAUUCCUACGCACACGCAAGAUCAUGGUGAUGCAUAGCAACGAGAGGGGAGAGUAUUGUCUACGUACCAACGCAGACCCACUGCGGAAGCGAUCACACAACGUAGAGGAAGUAGUCGUACGUCUUCUUUCCGACCCGACCGAUCCAAGCACCGUUACUCCGGCACCUCCGACUUCUUAGCACACGUACAGCUCGAUGACGAUCCUCGGGCUCCGAUCCAGCAAAGCGUCGAGGAAGAGUUCCGUCAGCACGACGGCAUGGUGACGAUCUUGAUGUACUACUGACGCAGGGCUUCGCCUAAGCACUGCAACAAUAUGAUCGAGGUGGAAUUUGGUGGCAGGGGGCACCGCACACGGCUAAGGAACGAUCACCAAGGAUCAACUUGUGUGUCUAGAGGUGCCCCCUGCCCCUGUAUAUAAAGGAGCCAAGGGGGAGGGGUGCGCCGGCCAGGGAGAGGGCGCAGGAGGAGUCCUACUCCCACCGGGAGUAGGACUACCCCCCCAAUCCUAGUUGGACUAGGUUUCCCAAAGGGAGAAAGAGACAGAGGGGGGGCCGGCCCCUUCUCCUAGUCCUAAUAGGACUAAGGGAAGGGGGGCGCGCGGCCACCUAUGGGCUGCCCCUUUUCUCCUUUCCACUAAGGCCCAUGAAGGCCCAUAUGGCUCCCGGGGGGUUGCGGUAACCUCCCGGUAAUCCGGUAAAAUCCCGAUUUCACCCGGAACACUUCCGAUGUCCAAAUAUAGGCUUCCAAUAUAUCAAUCUUUAUGUCUCGACCAUUUCGAGACUCCUCGUCAUGUCCGUGAUCACAUCCGGGACUCCGAACAACCUUCGGUACAUCAAAAUGCAUAAACUCAUAAUAACUGUCAUCGUAACGUUAAGCGUGCGGACCCUACGGUUCGAGAACAAUGUAGACAUGACCGAGACACGUCUCCGGUCAAUAACCAAUAGCGGGACCUGGAUGCCCAUAUUGGCUCCUACAUAUUCUACAAAGAUCUUUAUCGGUCAGACCGCAUAACAACAUACGUUGUUCCCUUUGUCAUCGGUAUGUUACUUGCCCGAGAUUCGAUCGUCGGUAUCCAAUACCUAGUUCAAUCUCGUUACUGGCAAGUCUCUUUACUCGUUCCGUAAUACAUCAUCUCACAACUAACAUCUUAGUUAUAAUGCUUGCAAGGCUUAUGUGAUGUGUAUUACCGAGAGGGCCCAGAGAUACCUCUCCGACAAUUGGAGUGACAAAUCCUAUUCUCGAAAUACGCCAACCCAACAUCUACCAUUGGAAACACCUAUAGUAUCCUUUAUAAUCACCCAGUUACGUUGUGACGUUUGGUAGCACCCAAAUUGUUCCUCCGGCAAACGGGAGUUGCAUAAUCUCAUAGUCAUAGGAACAUGUAUAAGUCAUGAAGAAAGCAAUAGCAACAUACUAAACGAUCGGGUGCUAAGCUAAUGGAAUGGGCCAUGCCAAUCAGAUCAUUCAACUAAUUAUGUGACCUCGUUAAUCAAAUAACAACUCUUUGUUCAUGGUUAGGAAACAUAACCAUCUUUGAUUAACGAGCUAGUCAAGUAGAGGCAUACUAGUGACACUCUGUUUGUCUAUGUAUUCACACAUGUAUUAUGUUUCCGGUUAAUACAAUUCUAGCAUGAAUAAUAAACAUUUAUCAUGAUAUAAGGAAAUAAAUAAUAACUUUAUUAUUGCCUCUAGGGCAUAUUUCCUUCAUUUUUGCCUCGCCGUAGUACCGCAUGGGGGGGGGGCGGUAGUACCGCGCAUGCGGAAGUACCGCCCCCAGCUCCUGUGCGUCUGUUUAUCGGUUCUUUGCUGGGGUUGCGGCAGUACCGUGGGUCGGUACGGUAGUACCGCACAGCCGUGCGGUAGUACCGCUUGGUUGCAAGCAGUAGUACCGUGCGGCCUUGCGGUAGUACCGCUGGCCAGGCGCGGUAGUACCGCUGGCCGCGGGCUGGUUGGUGGGUAACGAUUGGAUUUUCCCCCUCCUAUAAAAGGGGGUCUUCUUCCCCAUUGAACCUGAUUCUGAGAGCUCGUGUUCUUCCCCCAUUGUUGACCUUCUUCGAGCUUGCUAACUCUCAAUCCCUCCAUGGAUUCUUGCUAGUUUUUGAGGGAAAAGAGAGAGGAGAUCUAGAUCCACAUUUCCACCAAUCACUUUCUCCUCUAUGUGAGGGGAACCCCUUGGAUCUAGAUCUUGGAGUUCUUGGUGUUCUCUUUCUUGUUCUUCCUCUCAUUUUCCUCCCUAGCAUUAGUUGCUCCGGUGGGAUUUGAGAGAGAAGGACUUGGGCACGCCGUGUGCCCUUGCCAUUGCAUUUGGUGCAUCGGUUUGAGUUCUCCACGUGAUACGUGGAAGUUACAAGUUGAGAAGCUUAUUACUCUUGGGUGCUUGGUACCCUUGAGCUUGUUCCUCUUGGGUGCUUGGGCGCCCUAGACGGUUGUUGGUGUUCGGAGCUCAAUCAUUGUGGUGCAAAGCUCCGGGCAAGCAUCGGGGUCUCCAAUUAGGUUGUGGAGAUCGCCCCGAGCAAUUUGACGGGUACCGGUGACCGCCCCCAAGGGUUGCCAAAGUGUACGGGUUCGGUGACCGCCCCCAAGGGUUGCCAUUUGUACGGGUUCGGUGACCGCCCUCAAGGGUUCCUUAGUGGAAUCACGGCAUCUUGCAUUGUGCGAGGGCGUGAGGAGAUUACGGUGGCCCUAGUGGCUUCUUGGGGAGCAUUGUGCCUCCACACCGCUCCAAACGGAGAUUAGCAUCCGCAAGGGUGUGAACUUUGGGAUACAUCGUCGUCUCCGCGUGCCUCGGUUAUCUCUUACCCGAGCCCUUUACUUAUGCACUUUACUUUGUGAUAGCCAUAUUGUCCUUUGUCAUAUAUCUUGCUAUCUCAUAGUUGCUUAUCUUGCUUAGCAUAAGUUGUUGGUGCACAUAGGUGAGCCUAGUUGUUUUAGGUUUUGUGCUUGGCAUAUUAACCGCUAGGUUUAUUCCGCAUUUGUUCAAGCCUAAAUCGUAAUUAUUUUAAAACGCCUAUUCAUCCCCCCCCUCUAGGCGACAUCCACGAUCUUUCAAUUGGUAUCAGAGCCUCGUCUCUCUUUAUAGGGCUUAACUGCCUAGAGAGUAAGGAUGUCGACUAGGGGUUUAGGAUUCUCUGAUACUCUUAGUUUCGAUGGCACAAAUUUUGAUGUUUGGGUAAUUCGCAUGCUUAAUCUCUUUAGGGUCAUGGACCCAAAUUUAGAGCGAAUUGUAGAUAUGGGUUUUUCUCCUCCAAAGGAUCCCCAAAGAUUAUCUUUAGAGGAUGAGAAAAACUCUUAUCUCAAUGCUCAAGCUUCUAAUGUGCUUUUCGAUGCUUUGAGCAAUGUAGUUAUGUUUCAACUCAUGCCGUUCCGGGAUGCUCAUGAGUUGUGGACGAAGCUUAAAGAUAAAUAUGGUGUGUCCAAGAUUUGUGGGGAUGAUUGUUCUCCCUCCACCUCCGGUCGUAUAGUCUUCUCAACUUCUUCCACUUCACCUACAUGUGGUUUGCCACAAGGUAAUGAUAUGGUGAGUAGUGUUGGUCAUUGCAAUGAUGAUAGUAUGCUUAUUGUCGAUGAUACUUCAUCACUAUCUUAUUGCAAUGCAUCUUCUUUGGACUUUAACACUUCUAGCACCAUACAUGUUUCACAUGCUUGUGUUGAUAGUCCUUGCAUAUCAUGUAAAAAUUUCUUGACUAAAUCUCAUGAUGAUAUGCUUUCUAUAUCUUGUUGCCAUGAUAAAAAUGCAUGUAUUUCCUCGAGUUGUUGUGCUAACAAUGUAGGGAAACCCAACACUCCAUGGAACAAGAUGUGGUCUUGGAUGGUGCUUCAAGGGAUCCUACAUCAUCAUCUAUUGCAUUUUGCCUUAUGGCCAAGGCUUCAAAGGUAUCUCCCACUUUGAAUCCCAAUAUAUCUAGUGAUGAUAUUGAUGAUGGCAAGAGUGAUGAUGAUGUUGAUUAUGAUGAAGAGAAUGAUGAUGUUGCCUCCUUAAAAAUUAAGGGGGAAAUGAUUUUUAAAGCUCUUCAUAAAAAUAAAAUUGCUUGUUCCAACUUCAUGGAAAUCAUGUCCAUUGCCAUUGAGGGCAAGAAGUAUAUUGAUGAGUUGGAAUCUCGUCUUGAGGAGCAUGAGGUCACCAUUGAUAAAAUGGAAGGUUAUGAGCGUGAUUACGCUAAUGAAAUUACGGACCUCUCUCAAGCUCUUGAACUUGAACAAACCACCAAGGAAUAUCUUGAGGAGACUUCUGCUCUAGAAUUAUCUAGAGUGAGAGAAUCUCGUGAUAGAGCUCUUGAGGUGGCCAAUGAUUUUGAAACUAAAAAUGAGGAGCUUGAAGUUGCGCAUGCUAAAAUCCUUAAGGACUUUGAGCACCUCGAAAAUGGCUCAAGGGUCAUUAAGAGUGAGCUCAUCAAACUCACCGUGUCUCAUGCUCAACUUAAAGCUUCAUAUUCUAAAGAGCUUGCCAAGUUGUCUUCUCCUCUUGUUGCUAAUGAUGAUGCUUGUGCUACUAACUCUAUCUCUUGUGAAGCAUCCAUAUUGAAGGAGAAUGUUGAGCUAAGGGCUCAACUUGAGUUGCUAUCUAGCGAUUAUGGAAUGUUGGAAGAAAAUCAUGUAAAGCUCACAAGCUCUCAUGAUGAUCUCCUAGUAUCCCAUAAUGUGCUAAAAUUAGCUCAUGAGGCCAUGCUUGCUAAGGUAACAUCUAGUGAGCCUCAUGUGGAUACUAGCACUACUUCUAGUCAAAAUGCUAUAUUGCCAUGUGCUAAUCCUUGCAAUUCAUCUACUCACAAUGUUGGUACAUCUUGUGAUGAAUUGCUUUUCUUUCCUUGUUGCUCCAACGAUGAAGCUUAUACUUCCUCUAGUACUUGUGUUGAGACUAACCAUGUAGAGGAAAUCAAAGAGCUCAAGGCCCAAGUCACUUCUUUGAAGAAAGACUUGGAAAAGAGUCAUGAAGGGAAAUCCACACUCAACAAUAUCUUGAGUGUGCAAAAAUCCCCCAAUGACAAAGGUGGACUUGGAUUCAACUCCAAUAAGAAGAAGAAGUCCAAGAUGAUCAAGAAGAAGGGCCAAGAACAAGUCAAGAAUUCGGCCAAGAUUAUUUGCUUCAAGUGCAAAGUAGAAGGGCAUCAUGUUAGAUCUUGCCCAUUGAAGAAGAAGCCCAUUAGUGACAAGCAAUAAGGGAAGCGGCCACAAGUUCACUCUCAUUCUCAACCUCAAGUUGAAGAAAGGCCUCUUCCCAAGAAAACUCAAGCUAAUGCUUCUCAAGCUGAGAAAUCAAGUGAGAAGAAAGUAAAGAGUAGACGUUGCUACCUAUGUCGCGAGAAAGGUCACCUCGCUUCUUCACGCACUAGUGGUAACUUAUCCAACCCAAUUAUUAUUGAUGAUGUCUAUUCUCUUGGGAAGGAUAAGGUUGGCAAUGUGAUUGCCAAGUUUGUUGGUACUCAAAGUGGUUUGAAGCAAAGAACCAUUUGGGUAGCCAAGCCUAUUGUCACUAACCUCUUAGGACCCAACUUGGUUGGGGACCAACAAGCUCAAACUUGAUCAAUAGGUGAUGUUGGAGGUCAUUGGAGACUUGGCUACAUUAUGAAGAAUUAAGGGGACUUCAUCAUUCUUAUUGUCUCAAGCCAAGUCAUUCGGAUUAUCAAGUUUCUAUCUUAUAUCCAAUGUUCCUCCUUGUGGUAACUCGUGCUUAAAUUGUUUACAUUGAAAGUUACUUGCCCCUUUGCAUGUUUGGCUUUGUUCCUUGCAUGUGUUUGUAUAUGUUGUGCUUCCAACUUGAUUAUCUUGAGCAAUCAAGUAUGUGUGUGUUGGUUUGCACAUCAUGUACAUGUGUGUCGUUAGUUGAGCCUUUGUGCAUCUUGGUCAUAUCUUAGUUGGCUCUUGUGAGAGAUUAAUGGAAUAUCCCAUUAUGGGGGAGUGAUGUGCUUUGUGCACCUCACAAUCCUAUAUAUGUGUGUACAUGAGUAAUACCAUUUAGUAUUGAUAUUUCAAGAUUAUCUAGUCGCUAUGUGGUAUGUCUUCUCAUGAGAAAUUCAAAUUCUAAAUAGUCCAUUAAUUAUCUCUUGUUGGAUCCUUUAAUUGCCUCUUGUCUAUCUUUAAUUGGUAUCACAUUAUGGGGGAGUAAUAUGCUACGUGUAUAUUACUAGCCUAGAAAAUGUGUACAUUUGAGAUAUUGUCAUCUAGAGUUGAUAUUGUAAAUUAUCUUGUUCCUAGGUGGCAUGUUAGCUCUACACGUUGCAAUUUGCUUUUUGUUUGGUGUGAAGAUGAUGUCGGAUAUCCUUGUUAUCUACCACCGGGAAUUAUUCCCAAAUACUUCUUGUCUUUUGACAAUUGGUACUCACUUAUGUGUGGUAGAAAUUAUUGAUCAUCUUUACAUUGGCCUUUGCUUUUAUUUGCUUUAUCUCUUGCCUAGGAUUGUGUCAACUCCCAUUGUAUUCCAUACCACUUGUGGAUCUUGUUAAUUUCUUGACCUUGUCUAGUGUUUUCUAGAUAUAGUGAAAGUGGUGAUCCCACCUCGUGCAUUUUGUAUUCAAAUGCAAAUUCUCUAUAAUGCACUAGUCUUGGGGGAGCUAUCCUAUUCUCUAUAAAACACUCAUCUUGUGAUCCUUAUCAAGUGUGUGUUUGUGGAAGGCAAGCCGUUUCUGUUUGGUGCUUUGUGCCAUUAUGAAACUUUGUAGAGAGCUUGGUUUGUUUGGAACCAUCCUCUCUUUUGGGAGUUUGAUGUCUCUUCUUUGUGUAUAUCAAUGGAUAUCUCAUUCCUUGUUGUAUCCAUUAUGGAUACCCUCCAAGUGAUGAUUUAUUCAUUUGGUAUCUUUUCUUUCCUUGGUAUUUCUUUGUCUUUCGGUAUCGGUUCUUGAAAGUCUUGAGCAUGCAUAUUAACUUCGUGUAGUAUCUUUGGCAAGCUUUCUUUCUUUGACCCAAUAUAUAGGGGAAACUCCACCAAGUCUCAAAUUGGAUGAGAUGUGCAUGAAAUUCAUUUUCGUAUCUAUGUGCACAUAUUUAUGUGGAGUUUGUCCUAUGUAUUGUUGGUUCUCUAACUCUUUGGUCCCAAUGAGUUUGGGUACCAUUUUGUUUGUGUUGUUGUUCUAGGAACAAGUGGGGAUGCAUUGGAUGCUCGGCUCACUCACAACGAAGGUGUUGUCACCAUGUGCUUAUUGGAGUCAAGCUAGGAUGAUCAAUGAACUACUUUGUACCUUCAAUUGGCAUCUAGUACAUCCUUCCAAUGUUAUCUCGGUAACAAGUAUCUUCAUAUACUUCAUGCACACAUUUCUUGCAUCAACCUUGUGUAGGUUGCAUCUUAGCAUGAUUUUCAUUCCAUCUUGUGAUACUUGUUUCCUUUCUCAAAGCAUCUCAACGAUGAUCUCAUGUUGCUAGUUCUGAUGUCUUUGAUAGUUGUGUAGUAGGAAUUCAUUUGUAUACAAUAAGACUAUAUCUAGCCAUGUGCUAUGCUUUCAAGCAAAUAUCUUAUUGGUAUAUUUAUGAUUUCCUUGUGGAUAUCCUGUUCCUCGUGUUGCAACUAUUUCGGGUGUACAUCCUUCUUUGUAGAUAUAUAUCAUCAUGAUUUCGUCUACAUAGAAUCUUAUACACUUGAGAAAAGUUGCAUAUCUAGUUGAUAUCCUUUCUUUCACGACCACCUUGUCUUUCGUAUGUCAUUUCUUUGGUGGCUCCGUGAAAGCUUUUGCCUUGAGUGCGUGUCUUAUCUCGUUGCAUCUUGAUGCACUCUUGGGUGGUGAAGAUUAUUUUCGUCAUGCUUAUCUUUACGAGGCUUUUGCCAUCUUAAUUGGUAUCCCUCGUCUUGAUGAGGCUUUCAUCUUCUAUCUUCACCGCGGGUUGUCACAAGCAUAGGUUCUCUAUAUGCUUAUUAGUAAGCUUGUGAACCCAUUUACUUGUUGUGUGUGGGAAUGAUAGGCCUUGCACCGUGUUGCCUCAUUCUUUCAAGACUUUAUUGAUGUUUAAUGCUCAUCUGUACAUUAGUCUUCUCAAGUGCAUUGCCUUGACUCACACACAUCUUUUUGGUUGAGCCCAUUCUUAAGUUGCCUCUUUUACUUGUUGCUCAACCAUGUGUUUGUUGCAAGUGCUAGGCUUAGUUUCCUUUUGCUCUCUUGCACUUGUUGUUAGUUUCUAUUGAUUUUGGGGAAGCUAUGAUCCUAUUUUGUGCACUUUGUAUCCAAAUACAAACAUUCUUAUGUGUGCACAAAUCAUGGGGAGCUUCUCUAGUUUCUCUAGAAGAUCACUCCUAUGCUCAUAUCAUAAUAUCUUUCUUUUUUGUGGCUCUUAGGAUAUCUAGUCUAGUUGGUUCAAUUGAUAUCCGUUGAUUGCUUGCUUCAAUUGGUAUCUUUUGAUUGCUUGAUUGCUUGUGUCUCUCUUUGUUAUGUCCUCGUGGCAUAUCAUUCCUUUAGCAAUCUUUGGGCCUCAAUAUAGUUUGUCUUCCUCCAAGUAUUUACCGUUGGUUAUGUGUAUUGCUUUCCUCUCUCUUGUUGAGAAAUACACAACUUCUGGAGGAACUCAAUCUAUAUUGGCCUUCUAAGCUUUUCACCCAUUUUGGCAAUCGAUGCCAAUGGGGGAGAAGUUUCAGAGAGUUUUGUGGAGGGUUUCGGAGAGUUUUGUGGAGAAGUCUUUAGAGUUUUCUCCUUGCUUUGGUUUUGUUUCUAAGCAUUUGCAUCUCAUACGCACGCAUUAUUGGUUGUUGCAUUGCAUGGUGAUGUAUAAUUCCUUGUAUUAAACUCUCUUGAAAGUGAUUGUCAUCAAUUACCAAAAUGGGGGAGAUUGAAAGAACAUGCGGUGCCCCCAUGUUUGGUUUUGGUAAUUGAUGACAAUCUCUAUGGACUAAUGGUUGCCUUGAGUUAUAUUUGAAGGUUUUGUCCAUAGGCUUUUCUUGGAGUACAUGUGUUGGGUUCAAGGAGAGUUUGUGUCGACCAAGGUGCUAUUCAAGGAAUUACCUAAAGAUUGGUCUUGUGAGAGGUUGAUCAAGACUAAGUCAAAGAGUGAAUCAAGUUGAUCAACCCACAAAGCGUAGAAGAUGUACCGAGAGGGAUCAAGUGAUCCCAUGGUAUGGUAAGCAUUGCCAAUUACGCUUUGUGUACUAACCCAUGGUCUUCGCGAGGGUUCUUUGUGGGGUUAGGUUGCGGUGUGCAAGUUCAAGUGGAGCAUCACGAAGAGAUCAAAUGCUUGAAGCUUGCCGUCCUUUGUGGUGACAAUGGACUUGUGAAGAUGUGCGGAAGAGUGGCUCACCCAUAGUGGAGUAUGGGGGAGCAAUCAACUAGUCUUUAUCGAGUCAACCCAAUCAAGAAAGGUGGUCCAACUUGAGGGAGUCAAGAUCGUCAUCAUCUAGCUCAAGUGGACCAUGUGCAAGGCAAAGGUUUGCCCUUGAUAGGUUUUCUAUUUUACCGGUCUCAUGAUGGUAGUUGGGAGACCGGGUUAUAGGAUCGAUUGCCGUACUAUCAAGGGGGGCUCUUAAUGAGUAGCUUGAUCGUAUCGUUUGCUGAGAGCUCAAACCAUUGCAUCCUUGCAUCAUCUUUCUUGGUUCUUGUUUGGUUCUCUUUGAGAGUCUUAGAGCUUAUGGUCAUCUUGAUGACAAGCUCGAGUUCAUCGAAAACGGAGUUCACAUGCUUCUUCUAUGAUGUUUUCGAUGUUGGAGGUUUUGCCGGUUCUUCUCGGUUGGAGGUUUCACUCCUCUAUUUGUUAGGCAUACCUCCCCUGCCUCUUCUUCUAUAACCAAUCGCUGUUUUGAUGCUACUCGUCGUCUUGUUUCCAACAAGCUUGAGUUUGCUCAAUUCGGAGCUCAUAUGCAGAAGUUAUGGCAGUUCUUGUUUUCUUGAGUGUGGUUUUUGUCAAGGUCCAUGUUGGAAAGGUUUGGGUGGUUUCAUCACGUACACGUCUCCUUCUUUUCCCCUCCUUCUUCCUUGGGGCUUCCUCCGUUUUCCUGCCUCCUUUGACUGACUGCUGUUGUGGUUGCGGUAGUACUGCUCCUGGAUCAACGGUAGUACCGUAGGCAUCCACGGUAGUACCGCGCGGUGGCGCGGUAGUACCGCUGAUGCCCAUGGUAGUACCGCUCCCCCGGAGCCGCACUACCGCUACCCACCAGGCUAGUGCCGCCCCCUUUGCGGUAGUAGGAGCGGAUGUAAUUUUUUACAUCCGCACCUGCCGCGGUAGUACCGCCUUCGCCGUGCGGUAGUACCGCGCUAUGCGGUCAGGUAGUAGUACCGCCCCUCGGCAGUACUACUGUGUCGGGUUUUUGCUACUUCCGUUUAUUUGCGGAAGUAGGCACGGUAGUUUCCCUUCUCCCCUGGCUGGGAUUUUUGCCUCGCGGUAGUACCGCAUGGGGGGCGCGGUAGUACCGCGCAUGCGGAAGUACCGCCCCCAGCUCCUGUGCGUCUGUUUAUCGGUUCUGUGCUGGGGUUGCGGCAGUACCGUGGGUCGGUACGGUAGUACCGCACAGCCGUGCGGUAGUACCGCUUGGUUGCAAGCAGUAGUACCAUGCGGCCUUGCGGUAGUACCGCUGGCCAGGCGCGGUAGUACCGCUGGCCGCGGGCUGGUUGGUGGGUAACGGUUGGAUUUUCCCCCUCCUAUAAAAGGGGGUCUUCUUCCCCAUUGAACCUGAUUCUGAGAGCUCGUGUUCUUCCCCCAUUGUUGACCUUCUUCGAGCUUGCUAACUCUCAAUCCCUCCAUGGAUUCUUGCUAAUUUUUGAAGGAAAAGAGAGAGGAGAUCUAGAUCCACAUUUCCACCAAUCACUUUCUCCUCUAUGUGAGGGGAACCCCUUGGAUCUAGAUCUUGGAGUUCUUGGUGUUCUCUUUCUUGUUCUUCCUCUCAUUUUCCUCCCUAGCAUUAGUUGCUCCGGUGGGAUUUGAGAGAGAAGGACUUGGGCACUCCGUGUGCCCUUGCCAUUGCAUUUGGUGCAUCGGUUUGAGUUCUCCACGUGAUACGUGGAAGUUACAAGUUGAGAAGCUUAUUACUCUUGGGUGCUUAGUACCCUUGAGCUUGUUCCUCUUGGGUGCUUGGGCGCCCUAGACGGUUGUUGGUGUUCGGAGCUCAAUCAUUGUGGUGCAAAGCUCCGGGCAAGUAUCGGGGUCUCCAAUUAGGUUGUGGAGAUCGGCCCGAGCAAUUUGACGGGUACCGGUGACCGCCCCCAAGGGUUGCCAAAGUGUACGGGUUCGGUGACCGCCCCCAAGGGUUGCCAUUUGUACGGGUUCGGUGACCGCCCUCAAGGGUCCCUUAGUGGAAUCACGGCAUCUUGCAUUGUGCGAGGGCGUGAGGAGAUUACGGUGGCCCUAGUGGCUUCUUGGGGAGCAUUGUGCCUCCACACCGCUCCAAACGGAGAUUAGCAUCCGCAAGGGUGUGAACUUCGGGAUACAUCGUCGUCUCCGCGUGCCUCGGUUAUCUCUUACCCGGGCCCUUUACUUAUGCACUUUACUUUGUGAUAGCCAUAUUGUCCUUUGUCAUAUAUCUUGCUAUCUCAUAGUUGCUUAUCUUGCUUAGCAUAAGUUGUUGGUGCACAUAGGUGAGCCUAGUUGUUUUAGGUUUUGUGCUUGGCAUAUUAACCGCUAGGUUUAUUCCGCAUUUGUUCAAGUCUAAACCGUAAUUAUUUUAAAACGCCUAUUCAUCCCCCCCCCCCUCUAGGCGACAUCCAUGAUCUUUCAACCAACACGAGUCGUCCUGGGCGGUGCAACAGCCCCCUUUGCCAGGCCGGGGCAGACUUCUUAGCUUGGUCGAGCAUGGGCUGCCAUUCCACCCUCGAUAGCUGUCUAAUUGCCAGUUGAAGUCCAAGGUAUUUGCAAGGAAAGCUGCCAAGGCGGCAAUGAAGAAGAGACUCGACCCGAUCCUGGAUCUUAUUGCAGAAAAUUAGAGAAGAGAAGGUUUUGCAACAAGAGUCUUAUUGAAAACAUAAAGAACAAUAUAGAUAGUGGGACGGCUCGCAAGGGGACAUAUAUUUAAAAAGGGUAUUGAUAAAUCUCAGUCGACUGAGACUUAUGAUGCUAUAGGAUCUUACGUGAAGAUCCGUGCAUUUUUUGUUUUUCCUUUUUCUUUAUUGCAUGUUAUACUAUUUGACUUAGACUUGGUUAAGUCUUAGUCGAGUGAGAUCUUUAAAAAGAUCCGCCAGCCGACACGUAUGCCCCAUGUUUUAAGACCAAAAAAAUUGAGUUGCAAAGUGCAAGAUUUAAUCCAUGCAUGCAUGCCAUAUGAUUUCCGAUUAUGCUCCAUUUGGAUGUUGAUAUUCAGGGCCAUGGAAUUGAAUCGGCUCCAAUAUCAAAUCUCCCAGACUUUGAUAUUAACAUUGAACUUGAAUUCUGUUGUUUGGAUGUGCACGAUAUUGACAUUUGGAAUUCGCAUGAGAGGCUAAAUUCUGAAGCUUGUUUGGAUGGUCAUUGUCUACAUUGGAAUUGCCUCAGUACACUGGUACCUAUACGUUUUGUCAUUGGUUUUCAGUACCAACUAUAUAUAUUUAAGGAGCAGUAGCAAGUAUUUUUUUGAUUGUUCUGAAACGCAAACGCAUGAAUUGGCUGUGAAUACCUCUGCCUGAGACAACACUCUGGACAGUAGCAACUACCAUGUGAACUAGCGCUCUGAAUCUGAAACGCAUGAGCUUUCAUAGUUCAGACAAACACCGACUGGAUAAAUGAGCUCAUACAUACAUCAGCUCGUACAUACACGACACUACAAAGAUCAAAUUCAGAUCUGUGCAGUUCAAGCACUCCACAGCGGAAUCUGAAGAAUCAUUCGGAUCAAUUUCGACAGUGGUUUCCAACAUGUACAUUAGCUCGUAUGCCAAAUUAAAUAAACACUUCAGCAUCAGCUACUGAUGCAUUGUCUUGCACGUCUUGGCCUGCCGAGUACCAAAACGGAAGGACCAAAAGCAAAAUUUGUAUCAACAUCUCACGACUAUGAGCUGCAAAAGGUUAAGAAAAAAACUCAGAAUACUAGCACAUGUGGGCGAGGAUUAGAGGGGAUUAGAGCUUCUGUGUAGGGUUAGGGAGGGAGCUAGGGGACGGUGGCACCGGGGCUACAGGAAGAAGCAGCCAUGGGGGGAAGCAGCGGUCGUGCCAUCUGCCAUGGGAGGCGGGUGUACAGUGGGUCAAGCAGGCGGCGGCCAGAGGGACGAGCGCGCGGGAUGGGUCAGGUGGACGCGCAUGGAGGUGGGCCAUGGGCGCACGCGGGGGGAGGAGCGGACCCGCCGGAGAGAGGAGAGAAGAGAGAAGGAGGAGGAGGGCGGAGAGGUCGGACGUGCGCCGCCGGAGCUCCCUGUCGUGUCUCUGUUCGCAUCCUCUCUCGCUCGGUUGCCUGUUUAUUUUCCCUCCAGCGGGCGAAGCGGUAAGUCGAGCUCCUAUGCUCUGAAUUCGGCAACAGCUACGCGGGCUGUGAAUGGAGCCAGCCAAUAUCUUGGCCCAAUUCAGCCAGUCAAUACCCUAACCAUCCGAGCAAUGGCAUUCGGGCUGCCCAAUACCAAUAUCAAUUUCAAGGCCCCAAUAUCAACAUCCGAACGAGGUGUUACAUACCUUAUCUAAACAGAGCCAUGAAUCACCCUGUUUCCUCUGUUAAUCAUUUUCUGCCAUUCUCCACUCAGAGGGGUAAGAGCAAUGCUAGUAUUAUUGGAGGGGUAAACACACAAAGCUCCAUCUAGUUUUGUUCAUGGCGCUAUAUUCUUUCUUUUCCAUCCGGGGAUCGACCGAGAGUUCGUCGCACUCCAUGAAUUCCGCACCAGAAUCAAUGGCUGUCAGUCCUUUGACGAUCUGCGCACACCGACGGUUCAAACUCGGAGCGCUUCCUUGAGGUCACCGUCGUCGCCGGCGCCGGCGUCCCCCUGAACCAGCUGCUUGCUCUCGCCGGCCCACGCGCUGAUCCGUUCGUUGGCCUGCGCCGCCUCGUCCUCCCAGUCCGUGUUCCAGAUCACGGCGAGCAGGACCGCCGUCUGCAGCGCCGUCCCGCACAGCAUCCCGGCCCAGAUGCCCUGGGGCCCGAGCCGGAGGAGGUAGCCGAGGCAGAACCCGAGGGGGAGCCCGAAGGCGUAGUAGCAGCCCAGGUUGAUGUACGCCACCAGCGCCUGCCACCCGCCGCCGAUGGCCACCCCGGAGAUCACCGGCUGCACGCUGUUGAGCACCAUGGUGACCGCCAGCAGGUAGGCCACCUUCCCCACGGCGGCCUGCAUGGCCCGGUCCCCCGUGAAGAGCGCCGCGAAGCUGUUGCGGUAGGACAGGAUGAGAGCCAUGGCGAGCAGGCCGAUGAGCAGGGACUGGGCGAUGACCGACGCCACGGCGUGCUUCGCCGCGCGCGGCCGGCCGGAGCCCAGCUCGUUGGACACGCGCACGCUGAUGGCCGCGUUCAGCCCGAUGAACAGCAUCGCCUCCCACCCGUUGAGGUUCAUGCAGAUGGACACGGAGCCCACGGCGAUCUCCGCGUCGUCGAGGUGGCCCGUGAGGACCACUAGCACCAUCAUGUACCACACCUCCAGGCAGAGCAUCACGGCGGAGGCCAGCGAGAGCUUGGCGAACGCCCACAGCCCCUCGAACGCCUUCCACGACAGGCCAUCCCAGCCGCCGCCGUCCCCGCACCACCGCACCACGUACACCACCUGCGCCACGGCGAUGCCCCACGAGGUGACGUCGUAUGCCGCGGCGGCUCCGGCGAGCCCCCACCCGAGGCGCGACACGAAGAGGUACAGCAUGGCGACGUGCGCGGCGAGCGCGGCGAGGCUGAUCCAGGCCAGCACCAUCACCUUGCUCUGCGCCUGCAGGAACUUCUGCGUGGGGAAGGUGAGCGCGAGCGAGAACAUCUGCGGGAGGAUGCGGAGCGUGAAGUCGCCCGCGGCGCCGGCGAUGGCGUCGUCCUGGCCGAGCGCGCGCAGGAUGGGCGUGGCGAAGACGUAGAGCGGGGAGAGCAGGACGGCUGAGACGGCGAGGAUGAUCCACGACCGCUGCAUGUACACGCCGAGCGCGCCCAGCUGGCCGGCCCCGUACGCCUGCCCGCAGAGCGUCUCCAGCGCGCUGCCCAUGCCGAGGAGGAAGCCGAAGGAGAAGUUGGAGACGACGGAGAGGCCGACGGCGGCCGCGGAGAGCUGCAGGUUGCCGAGGCGGCCGGCGAAGAGCUGCGUGGCGGAGUUGACCCCGUAGAGGCAGAGGAUGUUGAAGGUGAUGGGCGCCGCGAUGACCCACAGCCGCUCCGCCUCCCGCACGAACGCCUGCCGCGCCUCCGCGUAGCUCCUCGGCGCCGCCGCGUCCUCCUCCGCGACCACGGACGGCCUCUUCACCAGCAGCGGCGCCUCCAUGAGGACCAUGACCGACCGACCAACAGACUCUGCUCGACUCCGACGACGUACGACUGAACUGAGAUGAGCAGCUAGGUAGCUAGCUAGCUCCCCGGCCGUCACCUCAGCUACUAGUCGGGUCGAGACUUACGAGAUCGAUCGGUCUGGCCGCCAUUGUCCAGGGCCAGCGCUCUCGAUAUAUAUACAGCCGGGCGGCCGAGGUAGGUGAGGUGAGGUAUCGAAGUGGGUUUUUGGUUGCGAUCGAUGGUAGCUAGCAGCUGCUGCAGGCUGCAGCAGCACAGUGCGUCGAUCGGGCAUGGCGGAAACUGGCGAGGGCGGGCGAGACGCGGGAGGUCGUCGUACGCGACGCAUCCGCUGCAUGUGGAUUCCGGCGCAGGAGGUUGACGGAAGGGACGAACCGACUAUAGCUUUGUUUGUCACAAAGGCAUGGCUCAUGUGAGUGAUCAGAUCGUAGAAACAAGAGUUGGUAAGGCAGGUAGAGGAGCAUGGAAGUGACGCGGAUUAUGUCUCUUUCUCUCGAGUCGUGACCAUGUCCUCCCCCGUAAAAAUGCUAAGUCACUGUCACGCCGGAAGAGCAUCUUCCCGCCCAAGACACAACGCGCCGGUCGUCUGUUUUUACGCGACAUGUGACGCUGGCUCCAGCGGCCGCUGUAAACUUUAGCGCGCCGUAACUUCAACAGACGCUGCAAAAAUGCGACGCGCGCGUCUUGCACAAACAAUAUAUGUACUCCGAACAAUAUAAAAAAACAUAUGCAUAGGUAAAAUAGAUAAAAAACGAUAUAUAGAUAUUUCACAAUGCGUACAUGGUUCAUCACAGCAUAGAUAGAAAAAAACGAGUCCAACACGAUAAAAACUACUACAAUAUAACUAGAUAAAACUACGGUGCAACUAGAACCUACUCCGAAUCGUCAUCACCAUUCUCGUUGGUGUCGUCCGAGGUAUCGAGCCACACGUCUUUCCAACGAGAAUCGUCUGAGUCGAGAAACGACCCCCACCUGCGUUAACGAGAUCGCACUGCGCCUCUGCGAGUGCAUUCCGCCGACGCCUGUCGGCCCGCUCCGCGUGGCGCCUUGCCGUCCUCUCCACCCAGAAGGCGUUUUCAUCGACGAUGUCCUGCGGGUAGCGCUAGCGCCACUCUGCCAUGGCUCGCUCGUCCUCCUCAGCGAUGAGGAGGUGGCGCCGCCGCCGACGGUGUUCCUCACGGUCUCGACGAGGCGGAGGGGCUACGUCCUGCGCCUGUUCGCGCGUGAAGACGUCGUGAAAGUUCAUCUGCGUGCGAGGCCUCUGGAGGCGCCAUGCCGCCACGUCGUACGCGCGGGCGGCCUCGUGCGCAGUCUCGAACGUGCCGAGGCUGAGGGGACGUCACCGGACCGAAUCUCCACGUAGAAGGCGCCGGAGGGGCGCUCGCGGACGCCGCGGUAGCGCGAAGAUCCCCGGCGGCGUGGCGGCAUGGUGGCGCAGUGGUGGCGCGUCGGUGGCAGGGCGAGGAAGCGAUAGAGGAAGCAGAGGAAGCGGGAGGAGUGUGCGUGGCAGUGUGGAUAGCGAUGGGAGGCCGCGUGGCGAGCGCCGCAAUUUAUAGGCGCGCCGGAAGCGGUGCGCCAAAUCUAGCGCGCGACCGCCCGCUUUCUCCCAAGCGCGCUAGUUUCCNNNNNNNNNNNNNNNNNNNNNNNNNNNNNNNNNNNNNNNNNNNNNNNNNNNNNNNNNNNNNNNNNNNNNNNNNNNNNNNNNNNNNNNNNNNNNNNNNNNNNNNNNNNNNNNNNNNNNNNNNNNNNNNNNNNNNNNNNNNNNNNNNNNNNNNNNNNNNNNNNNNNNNNNNNNNNNNNNNNNNNNNNNNNNNNNNNNNNNNNNNNNNNNNNNNNNNNNNNNNNNNNNNNNNNNNNNNNNNNNNNNNNNNNNNNNNNNNNNNNNNNNNNNNNNNNNNNNNNNNNNNNNNNNNNNNNNNNNNNNNNNNNNGCUAAAAUAGUAGUUUACCACGCGCGCGCGUAUUGACGCCGCUGUUGGAGAUGCUCUAAGAACAUCUACAGCCCCAAAUCCAGCCCUCUAUACGUCCGCUCCGGACCGGACCGCCCCUCAUAUGCCCCGCCUCGCAUACCUUAAAUCUGAACUCUUAAAUACAUACAAAUUCAUGCACGCCCAUCCAAUGUCACACGUAAAUAACAAAUAUCAGCAACAAAAAUACACAGUUCUUACAUAAAAUUGAUGUCAAGUGCACAAUUUAAAUAUUAGCUAUUUAGUUUUCAUUAUGUGUCCACAUAUGUUUCAUACAAUCACUGAGUAGCUACCUGUGGACAUAAUGAUUUCGAAGAUUCUGAUGCAUCAACAGAAAGUUCAUAAACUGAUUUGCAUCUUGAUCUAUCGGGAUUUAGACUUGUUCUCCACGCGCUUCAAAAUCAUUGAUUUAGGCUACCUCAUAACCCUCAUCGUCGACAAUUAUAUUGUGCAAAAAAACACAACAUGUCAUCGGCUGCCACAAAGUUUCCGAUUCUCACAUCAUUACAGCUCCAAGAACAAUUCCCCAACGAGCUUGAAGCACUCCAGGUGCCCUCUUCACAUCCUUCCUAGCUGCUUCUUGCAUUGUUGCAAAGUGACUUUUUUGUUGCCUUGUGGUUCGGAUAUAGUCUUCAUAAAUGCCGCCCACUGAGGAUAGAUUCCAUUGGCAAGAUAGUAUCGCAUGUUGCGGUCACGGCUGUUCGUAGUGUAGUUGCACGGCGGCGAUUCCCCAUUACAAAGCCUCCUGAACACGGAAGAUCGUUGAAGCACAUUGAUGUCGUUAUGAGAACCCAAUAUUCCAAAGAAAGCAUGCCAAAUACAUAAGUCAUGUGAUGCCACUGCUUCCAAUAUGAUGUUGACCUUUUUGGUGUGACCUUGGUACAUUCCAUGCAAACCUUUAGGAUAGUUCUUUCAUUACCAAUGCAUGCAAUCAAUUGAUUCGAGCAUUUCUGAAAACCCUCUUGCCUCUCCAGCAGCCAACAUUUUUUUGUGUGUCCUACACGUUUGAUUCUCCCAGAUACUCUACUCCAAACACCUGGAACACGGUGCGGGCAAACCUGAUAGUUGUCUUUGGGCAUGUGAUCUCCCCCAUCCGCACCAUCUCACCAACUGCAUCAGCGGCACUGCGGCAAUACCAAGUGCAAGCAUCCUCAGAGCAGCCGUGCAUUUCUGCAUAACAAAGAAAGAAAGUUGGCUGCAACAAUCCUACUGAGCCUGAAGUAGUCAAUGUGUGCCUCCACCCCCUCCAUAAUGCGCAAAAACAAUGAUUUGUGCAUACGAGCACGGCGAUGAAAUCAUGGAUCAUUAGAAAAGUUGGCUCAGGAUCAAAGUAGUCCUUGUACACUAGCCGUGCUCCGGAGACCCUAUCCCGAUUGAUUACUCUUCUCCUUUUGACUGAGCCCUUAAAGUUGAGAAUAUGCUUCACCUGCCAGUCCAUUUCCUCUUGCAUGCUCAUGAGCAUGAUCAUACCCACUUCUUCAUUUGAAUUCAAUGAAUCGAAUAACUCAUCUUCAAUCAUUUUAUCAAGCUUCGUCGGUCCAUACUCCUCGUCUGAUGAAGCAUCGAAAUCCAUCGACUUCCUUACGAAUAAAUCACAAAAAACCGGGUCGGACAAUGUGUUGAACACAUAGAGCAUAAGGGGCAGCCUGAAAGUUGUCGGACAUAUUGCGGUGGCGUCUGGGACGGCGACGAUGUCUGCGUUGGUGAGCACGGUAGAGAGGACUGCAGUGCCGCUGUCGGCAGUGCUGAGGCUCGGAACGGCGUUGGAGCUACGAGACGUCCACGUGAAGGAUGAGAAGAGAGGAGACAACAAAUGUAAUCGAUAGGCCGGGAUGAAAUUGGUGUAAUUUGUGAUGGGUCAAGGUGUCGGGUCUGACGUGACGGACCAGUCCAGUCAUACCCGGGUCUCCCAUAUCCACCCUAUAUUUGGAUAGAAUAUAAGGUGUGGUGAUCAGAUCGGGCGUUUAAGGCCAAUUUGAGGCACCCAUUUGAUCGAGUUUUUUUACCAAUCAAUGAUCGGACGUCCGUUCAAAUAGACGUUUGAGAGAAGUUUGAGGCGCCCUGUAGAUGCUUAAAACUUCCGUAAUAUUCCGUCGGGUGAUCUGUAGGUGCAGGCAUGUGCAAUCUUCAGAAUUUGCCCGACGUCCUGCAUGCAUGUUGGAACUGUCGCCUGUCUUGGAGCCAUUCACUGGUUAUUUUUUUAAUCAGUCGAUCGCGGUCACAGCCUAAAAUUGCACAAAAAACGUUUUUGCUUUACCAUUUACUGUGAGACAAGAGCCCCACGGCCCCUCGUAUAUUUUUUAAAAGAAUGUGCAAGAACAAAGUGAAAAAAAUGUACUACUUUUGUAUUACAAUAUAAGAUGUUAUAUAUAUAUAUAUUUUUAAUCACAAAACGUCGGAGAAAAAUGCGGAAGAAACCAGAAACUAAAAAUAAAAAGAGAGAGAGAGAACUUUAGCUAUGCUUUAAAAAGAAGGGUGAGAGCCAUGACCACUAUUGAUUGCAGUGAUCCUUGUACACUCUAGUACAUUCGUAGACAAAUAGCUGAAUUUUCUACCACCGUCGACAUGAUAACAAUCCAGAACACCCGUAAAUAAACUGACUAGACCACUAGUAUACAGCUAAAUGUUCAGCAAACACGGCGGUUUCCUUGCACUUUACUUUUUUAAAUUGCAACCUCCAUGGAGUUCUCUUUUUUUGUGUUUGCUAUUUGUAACUUGCUGGAAAAUGGUAAUCAGUCAAUUUUAAGAGAGAGGAAAAAGAAACACGCAAGGAGCUCUGAUGUCAGGGCCGGCCCUAGGGGAGGGGGCGGCCGCCCCGGGCCCCCUCCCAGGAGUGAUUACGUGUAAAGGUAAAUAGGAAGUAAGGAACGACAAGUUACAACGUAUAUGCACAUAAAUCACGUCAUCGCGUGGAAAAAAUGAUCAUGUUACAUACGUAAAUCACGUCGCCCCGUUAUCUUUACUAGCAAAAGAGCCCGUGCAUUGCAACGGGAGAGAAAACAUAACACACGCUCUUAACUCAACAAUCAUCACUUAAGACCACAAUAGGUCUAUCUCCUUUAUUUUUAUAAGGCAUCAUAUUUGUGUUUCCGCUUAUCCUCCUUCUCACCCUCGCCGGCGAUGGCCUCGGUGUUCACACAAAACAACAAAAAAUGUGUGUUGAAUAUGGUUAAUCCUAAGGCGUCUCUCUCUUCCUCUCUCCUCCCUCUCCCUCUCUCUCUCGCUCGUUUUCUCUCACUCUCGCGACGAGAAAUCUGUUGUUUUCCCCUGCGAUAUUUUUCAGGGUAUGCAUGUUUAGUUAUCGAUGUUUUUUUCAUAUAUGGUUAUAGUUGGGUGUUUAUUUGCAAUUCGGAUCGCCGCCGGUAUGAAAAAAAACGAAUCUUGCACUAUAAAUUAUAAGUUUGCUUCCAUAACAAUAUUUAAAAAAUAUUUAACAGGUAAAAUUAACAUCAUAUUUUGAUUCCACACAUUUUUCUAAUAAAAUUUCAUAUAUAAUAUGCUAAAAUCAAAAUUACGGUUUAAAAGAUACAGAUAAUUUAUAAAACCAUUUUGUUUGACUCAAAUAUAUUCCAAAAUAACAUUUAAAAACACUAAACAGGUAAAAAAUAAUCUCAUAUUCAUAUUCUACAUAUUUUUCUAAUCAAAUUUCAUAUAUAACAUGUUCAAAUCGAAGUUACGGUUUGAAAGAUAUGGAUGAUUUUAAAAAGCAUUUGUUUAACUUAAAUAUGAUCCGCGGAUGAAUUAUCUAAAACAUCAUGGGGUUUCGAAAAAUGUAAAAUAACGGUUCGGGUUUGACUUAAAUCCGGACGGCGGGGUUGAUUUCAAGAAAAGACAAUAACUUUUGUAUAAAAUACAAAAAUAAUGAUUCGUUUUAACUUAAAACAGGACUGCGGGUUGAAUUCUCUGAAAUAGAGAAACUUUUCUGAAAAAUGUCAUGACGGACGAAAGAAACCCAAUUUAUUUUAUUAUUAGGUAAAGAUAAAGAUUCCUUAUGAUCGUGAGAGGUGAUAAAUUCUCGCUAAAAAAGGAUCGUGCGCCAUGAGUUCAUCCCUAAUUUCCUUCCCAUGUACCAAACUCCAGAUCCCAAAUCCCAGAGGGCUGGCUGGUCUCCAAGCGCUGUACAUAGCGACGACGUAGCACGAACAUCGUCUAGCCCAUAAAAAUUGACACGGCCAGAGUUUGCACACACUACAUCGCCGAGCGCCUGCCAGCUGACAUGCACAUCACACCAUCGCUGGGCGUCCAUCGGCUGUUGUCAAUAUAAUCAAUAUCAGGUAUAUCAUAUUACUAUUGCCUACAAUUUCAAGUUUCUUUGUGUUUUGAGGAAGAAAUAGUUUGAUAAAAGUAGUAACUCAAGAAGAAAUUAUAGAAGACGAGAAGGAUUUUUCAUGUUAAAUAUCUGUUUUGUUUGGUUCAGAUGAAUCACUUCAUUGAAGAAAGGAUUUAAAAAAUUCAAGGUGUUUAAAGAUUUAUUCUGUUUUCUGUGCCUAUGAUUUUUUUUCAAACGGAUGUGCCUGCGGUUGUUGCAUCAGCUAAAAUAAGCUUUCCAACUUGAAAUGAUUAAAGAACCAUUUGGUAUAAACAAGGAAUUCCUAUAAACAAUGGCCAAUAGAGCUUAAAUGGUUAGGCAACAUUAUGCAUGGAGAAAAAAGAUGAGAUUGACAUCAACACAAAACCAUGAUUUUGCAUCAAAUAAUGUUGCAAGAAUUUUCUUACAAUAAUAUGUGUAAUUUAUUAUAUGAAUAUGGAUUUUGGAUGUAGUUAAGCAUUUAUUGGUACAUUUUGUAUACACUUAAAUGAAUCAAUAAUAUUAUUAUAAUGGUUAUCUUAGGCCUUGUACAUUGCAAGGUGUUUUGGGAAGGUGCUUAGUAAAAUAAACUAAGGUUUUCUCAAGCACCAUUACUUAUCUCAAUGAGAGGGGCGUCUAAUUAAGCAUCUAUCCUAUACAAAUACAGUUUUACUAUAGAACAUCUAGAUGUGCUCUAACUAUUGCACAUCUAAAUUACAUGUCAUUGUUUAUACGCUAAGAUUCAUGCAAGCAUUUUUUCCUUUUUUAGCUUGAUUGAGUCACUCAGUGUGCAAUAAUUAGGGCACAUCUAGAUGUGCCCUAUAUAGACCCAUACAAACACCGAUGCUUGCGAAAAACUGAUUUAUUUUUCUAAGCACCUGCCUUAAAGGGCCCCAAAUAUUACUUUCGCCCCGGGCCCCCAAAAUCUCAGGACCGGCGUUGUCUGAUGUUGAGAUGGAGGCGACACGACUAGCUGCAACGUCCCCGGCGUGGCCUAGCUAAGACCAUGUCAGAUAUGAGGUUAGGCAACAAGGUUUUGAAUUGUCAUAUUCACUUGUCUAUUUCUAAUAUUUUUGAACUUCCGUAUUUGAAGCAUGACAUGCAAUUGCAUUUAAUUUGUUUAUUUUUAUACUAUUUAUGGAUUAUAAGUUUAAUACUAGUGUGUAUAAAUUUGAUUUAUCUUUAAUCUGCAAUAUGGCGCUACACUAGUUGUUGUUGCUACUCUACUGUGUCCGAGGGAGUCCCAACGACAUCUAUGUUGAACAUCAAGGACAUCUACUCGGUAAUAUUAGUGCUCAUAGCUUAUUAUCUAAUAUAUUUGUUCAAAGGUCUCUAGAAAAAGUAGCUUAUUACCUUCAACUAACCUAUAGUUUCAUUUCACACUAGCCAAAUUAUGUGUGAGAAUUUUACAGCAAUACUUGCGAACCACAAAUUAUGAGUAAUAAAAUCCUAUGAAUGAACUGACCAAAAUCUAUAUUUUUCUACACCAAUAUUAAUAAAACUAAAAAUGACUUUUGUUGAUGGAUAUCUACGUCUACUAACCAUGGAUAACUAGUUAGGUUAGAAUUAGAGGGGCUUGCCCCUCCGCAACCUUAUCAAAAUUUAUUUACCUUGAGGUACAUGUAUCUUAUAAACAUCAAUUAUAUUGAUCAUACAUGCAUGUGUUAGAGCAUGUUUAAUAAUAUAGCCAACUGUUGGCUAUGUGAUGUUGGCAUAUCAUCUAUAGCCAUCAAUUAUAGUCACUCAUACAACAAGGUUCUAGGUUGGUUAUAAUAUUAGUACUUUUUCUCAUCUUCUCUCUAUCUCUUUCUUCACAUUUAUUGCAUUUGUUUAGGAGCACACAUAUAGCUAGACUCUUGCACGAGAGCCCACUCCCCUUACCUUUUUUAUUUCUCUCUUCUCCACACAGACAAAGUUGCCAUGUAAGAGGGCUAUAAGCCUGCUAUUGUACUUGCUCUUAAGAUGUUAUUUGCUAAACCAUUGAUUUGGUCUCAUCUACUCAUUUGAUAUGGAAACAUCAAUGAUGGAUAUCUUUAAUUUGCAUGAAACAUUAGGUUCAUGUUCCCAACGACUUUAAUCAGCAACUACACAUCCAUUCGACAUGGAUUAAAUUUUGCCAUAUUAACUUCUUCAUGCAUUUAAUAACCUUUCAUUUACACAAAGUAAAGUUUCUUAAAAAAAGUUACCCAGGGCAAUGCACGGGAGAUCCUUCUAGUUCUAACUGCAAACAAUUCUUUUUUCUUAUGUGGAGUGACAUGACGGGCCACGUGCUACUACUCACAGAUGGUGGGCCCACCACUUUGCUACGUCUCUCUCCAGUUUCUAUAGUAGCAAGAUCAUGGAGUGCACACGCUACAUCUAUGGCUCGCCUGGAACUUCCACGACGUUGCAAUGCUUGACACUAGAUGCUAAGCCUAAUGCGAGGUGCACCAUGGAGUAUUGGCAUGUGAAGAUGGCGAUCGUUAACUUCAACACGCUCAAGAACCGAUUGCACAAUUGGAACAUGAUAGUCUAGCACAACAGUCUGCAAUACUUGACACAGGUCUUUGGCUUCGCCUACUAGCUGCUUGUCCGAUAUGACACAAUAAGUAACUUGCACCUACCUAUUUGCCUUUAAACAUUUCAAAACGUUCAUGUCUUUCUAUAUUGCAAUGCGCAUCAUCCUACUUUAUGUACAAAUUGCAUAAUAAAGCAUAAUGCAAUUGUCUCAUUUCAUUGACCAAUUGGAGAGCACAAACAAUUCUAGAAAGAAGUGACGAUUGAGGUGAAAAUGAGUACCAUUGUGGNNNNNNNNNNNNNNNNNNNNNNNNNNNNNNNNNNNNNNNNNNNNNNNNNNNNNNNNNNNNNNNNNNNNNNNNNNNNNNNNNNNNNNNNNNNNNNNNNNNNNNNNNNNNNNNNNNNNNNNNNNNNNNNNNNNNNNNNNNNNNNNNNNNNNNNNNNNNNNNNNNNNNNNNNNNNNNNNNNNNNNNNNNNNNNNNNNNNNNNNNNNNNNNNNNNNNNNNNNNNNNNNNNNNNNNNNNNNNNNNNNNNNNNNNNNNNNNNNNNNNNNNNNNNNNNNNNNNNNNNNNNNNNNNNNNNNNNNNNNNNNNNNNNNNNNNNNNNNNNNNAUGUACUUCAUAAUGACAUUUUACACACAUAUAGUAUAGAUCUAUAAGUACAUGUGUACUUAUUUUCAGAUUUUUUAUUGAAACUUAUUGGCUCUUGGGUUGCAUGGAGCCUAUAAUUUUAAAAAUAUCAAAAGUGACGUUUUGUUCUUCUUGUAACGGGAGCAUUCGAUUAGGUCAUAAACUACUACAAAAAGAAACUAUGGUUGUCUGACACCUUAGCACCCAUGUUGCUCAGCCUGGCGACCAACGUUAUCCUUUAGACCGCGUUCAAAGAUCUUGCUCGACCACCUAGCGCUUGCCCGGAAGUGCUUCAUCGUUGCAAGAUGGCUACUGAACAAGAUCUGUACUUGCCGAUGUGCUCUCGCUUGAAGCGAGUAAGAAUAUCCCUUUAAAGCAUCACUCUUUCGUGAGGCUAAUAACUUUCUUUUGCAGAUGACAUAUGACUGUUUUGGAUACUCCCUGAUACGUCUCCAACAUAUCUAUAAUUUUUAAUUGUUUCAUGCUAUUAUACUAUCAAUCUUGUAUGCUUUAUAUAUCGUCUUAUAUUGUUUUCGGGAAUUAACCUAUUAACUCAGUGUCCAGUGUCAGUUGUUGUUUUUUGCAUGUUUUUGGUUUUACAUAAAAUACAUACCAAACGGAGUCCAAAGAUGAUAAAACUUAUUGACGAUUUUUUCUGGACUAAAAAAGACCCCAUGAGCUUCAGGGUGAGACCAGACAAUGCACGAGGAAGCCACAAGACAGGGGGACGAUGCAUGAGGAAGCCACAAGCAAUGGAUUUUCUCGAAACCAUCGGAUGUGGAAGCUGGAACAAGCAAUCAUAUAUGCUAGAACUGGCGGUUGGAGAUGUUGCAUCUCGUGAUGUUUUUGUUGGAAAUAUGCCCUAGAGGCAAUAAUAAAAUGAUUAUUAUAUUUCCUUGUUCAUGAUAAUUGUCUAUUAUUCAUGCUAUAAUUGUAUUAUCUGGAAAUCAUAAUACAUGUGUGAAUACAUAGACCAUAAUGUGUCCCUAGUGAGCCUCUAGUUGACUAGCUCGUUGAUCAACAGAUAGUCAUGGUUUCCUGGCUAUGGACAUGGGGAUGUCAUUGAUAACGGGAUCACAUCAUUAGGAGAAUGAUGUGAUGGACAAGACCCAAACCUAAGCAUAGCACAAAGAUCGUGUAGUUCGUUUGUUGUAGCUUUUCUGGAUGUCAAGUAUCAUUUCCUUAGACCAUGAGAUUGUGCAACUCCCGGAUACCGUAGGAGUGCCUUGGGUGUGCCAAACGUCACAACGUAACUGGGUGACUAUAAAGGUACAUUACAGGUAUCUCCGGAAGUGUCUGUUGGGUUGGCACGAAUCGAGACUGGGAUUUGCCACUCCGUAUGAUGGAGAGGUAUCUCUGGGCCCACUCGGUAAUGCAUCAUCAUAAUGAGCUCAAUGUGAUCAAGUGGUUGAUCACGGGAUCAUGCAUUACGGUAUGAGUAAAGUGACUUGCCGGUAACGAGACUGAACAAGGUAUUGGGAUACCGAUGAUCGAGUCUCGGGCAAGUAACGUACCGAUUGACAAAGGGAAUUGAGUACGGGAUUGAUUAGGUCCUCAACAUCGUGGUACAUCCGAUGAGAUCAUCGAGGAGCAUGUGGGUGUUGGGGAACGUAGCAGAAAUUCAAAAUUUUCCUACGUGUCACCAAGAUCUAUCUAUGGAGAGACCAGCAACGAGGGGAAGAAGAGUGCAUCUACAUACCCUUGUAGAUCGCUAAGCGGAAGCGUUCAAGAGAACGGGGUUGAUGGAGUCGUACUCGUCGUGAUCCAAAUCACCGAUGAUCCUAGUGCCGAACGGACGGCACCUCCGCGUUCAACACACGUACAGCCCGGUGACAUCUCCCACGCCUUGAUCCAGCAAGGAGAGAGGGAGAGGUUGAGGAAGACUCCAUCCAGCAGCAGCACAACGGCGUGGUGGUGGUGGAGGAGCGUGGCAAUCCUGCAGGGCUUCGCCAAGCACCACGGGAUAUGAGGAGAAAGAGAGGGAGGGCUGCACCAAUAGGGAGAGAUCAAAUCGCGUGUAUUGGGCAGCCCCUAGGCCAAGUAUAUAUAGGGGAAGGGGAGGGGCUGCGCCCCCUUAGGGUUUCCACCCCUAGGGGUGGCGGCCAGCCUAGAUCCCAUCUAAGGGAGGCGGCCAAGGGGGAGGGGAAGAGGGAGGCGCACUAGGAUGGGCCUUAGGGCCCAUCUGCCCUAGGGUUUGCCCCCUUCUCCUCUCCCUUGCGCCUUGGGCCCUUGUGUGUGGGGGGGGGUGCACCAGCCCACUUGGGGCUGGUCCCCUUCCACACUUGGCCCAUGAAGCCCUCCGGGGCUGGUGGCCCCACUUGGUGGACCCCCGGGACCCUCCCGGUGGUCCCGGUACGUUACCAAUAAACCCCGAAACUUUUCCGGUGACCAAAACAGGACUUCCCAUAUAUAAAUCUUUACCUCCGGACCAUUCUAGAACUCCUCGUGACGUCCGGGAUCUCAUCCGGGACUCCGAACAACAUUCGGUAACCACAUACAAACUUCCUUUAUAACCCUAGCGUCAUCGAACCUUAAGUGUGUAGACCCUACGGGUUCGGGAACCAUGCAGACAUGACCAAGACGUUCUCCGGUCAAUAACCAACAGCGGGAUCUGGAUACCCAUGUUGGCUCCCACAUGUUCCACGAUGAUCUCAUCGGAUGAACCACGAUGUCAAGGACUUAAUCAAUCCCGUAUACAAUUCCCUUUGUCUAGCGGUACGAUACUUGCCCGAGAUUCGAUCGUCGGUAUCCCGAUACCUUGUUCAAUCUCGUUACCGGCAAGUCUCUUUACUCGUUCCAUAACACAUCAUCCCGUGAUCAACUCCUUGAUCACAUUGUGCACAUUAUGAUGAUGUCCUAUCGAGUGGGCCCAAAGACACCUCUCCGUCACACGGAGUGACAAAUCCCAGUCUCGAUUCGUGCCAACCCAACAGACACUUUCGGAGAUACCCGUAGUGUACCUUUAUAGCCACCCGGUUACGUUGUGACGUUUGGCACACCCAAAGCACUCCUACGGUAUCCGGGAGUUGCACAAUCUCAUGGUAUAAGGAAAUGAUACUUGACAUUAGAAAAGCUUUAGCAUACGAACUACACGAUCUAGUGCUAUGCUUAGGAUUGGGUCUUGUCCAUCACAUCAUUCUCCUAAUGAUGUGAUCUCGUUAUCAACGACAUCCAAUGUCCAUGGUCAGGAAACCGUAACCAUCUAUUGAUCAACGAGCUAGUCAACUAGAGGCUUACUAGGGACAUGGUGUUGUCUAUGUAUCCACACAUGUAUCUGAGUUUCCUAUCAAUACAAUUAUAGCAUGGAUAAUAAACGAUUAUCAUGAACAAGGAAAUAUAAUAAUAACUUAUUUAUUAUUGCCUCUUGGGCAUAUUUCCAACAGUCUCCCACUUGCACUAGAGUCAAUAAUCUAGUUCACAUCGCCAUGUGAUUAACACUCACAGGUCACAUCACCAUGUGACCAACACCCAAGAGUUUACUAGAGUCAGUAGUCUAGUUCACAUCACUAUGUGAUUAACACUCAAUGAGUUCUAGGUUUGAUCAUGUUGCUUGUGAGAGAGGUUUUAGUCAACGGGUCUGAACCUUUCAGAUCCGUGUGUGCUUUACAAAUCUCUAUGUCAUCUCCUAGAUGCAGCUACCACGCUCUAUUUGGAGCUAUUCCAAAUAACUGUUCUACUAUACGAAUCCAGUUUACUACUCAGAAUAAUCUGGAUUAGUGUCAAAGUUUGCAUCGGCGUAACCCUUUACGACGAACUCUUUUACCACCUCCAUAAUCGAGAAAAUUCCUUAGUCCACUAGUUACUAAGGAUAACUUUGACCGCUGUCCUGUGAUCCAUUCUUGGAUCACUCUUGUACCCCUUGACUGACUCAUCGCAAGGCACACUUCAGGUGCGGUACACAACAUAGCAUACUGUAGAGCCUAUGUCUUAAGCAUAGGGGACGUCCUUCGUCCUUUCUCUCUAUUCUUCCGUGGUCAGGUUUCGAGUCUUACUCAAUGUUCACACCUUAUAACACAGCCAAGAACUCCUUCUUUGCCGACCCAUUUUGAACUCCUUCAAAAUCUUGUCAAGGUAUGUGCUCAUUUGAAAGUUCCAUUAAGUGUUUUGAUAUAUCCUUAUAGAUCUUGAUGCUCAAUGCUCAAGUAGCUUAAUCCAGGCUUUCCAUUGAAAAACACUUUCCAAAUAACCCUAUAUGCUUUCCAGAAAUUCUACGUCACUUCUGAUCAACAAUAUGUCAACAACAUAUACUUAUCAGAAAUUCUAUAGUGCUCCCACUCUCUUCUUUGGAAAUACAAUUUUCUCAUAAACUUUGCAUACACCAAAAUCUUUGAUCAUAUCAUCAAAGCAUACAUUCCAACUCCGAGAUGCUUACUCCAGUCCUUAGAAGGAUAGCUGGAGCUUUACACACUUGUCAGCAUCUUUCAGGAUUAACAAAACCUUCCGGUUGUAUCACAUACAACCUUUCCUCAAGAAAAUCGUCGAGGAAACAAUGUUUUGACAUCCUAUCUGCAAGAUUUCAUAAAUAAUGCAGUAAUCGCUAACAUAAUUCCAACAGACUCUUAGCAUCGCUACGAGCGAGAAAGUCUCAUCGUAGUCAACUCCUUGAACUUGUAAGAAAACAUCUUAACGACAAGUCGAGCUUUCUUAAUGGUGAUACUUACCAUCAUUGUCCGUCUUCCUUUUUUAAAAUCCAUAUGUACCUAACAGCCUUACGACCAUCAAGUAGUUCUUCCAAAGUCUACACUUUGUUUUCAUAUAUGGAUCCUCUCUCGGAUUAUAUGGCCUCGAGCCAUUUAUCGGAAUCCGGGCCCACCAUCGCUUCUCCAUAACUCGUAGGUUCAUUGUUGUCUAGCAACAUGACUUCCAAGACAGGAUUACGUACCACUCUGAAGUAGCACGCAUCCUUGUCAUCCCACGAGGUUUGGUAGUGACUUGAUCUGAAGUUUCAUGAUCACUAUCAUAAGCUUCCACUUCAAUUGGUGUAGGUGCCACAGGAACAAUUCUUUGUGCCCUGCUAUACACUAGUUGAACUGACGGUUCAAUAACCUCAUCAAGUCUCCAUCAUCCUCCCACUCAAUUCUUUCGAGAGAAACUUUUCCUCGAGAAAGGACCUGAUUCUAGAAACAAUCCCUUAUUGCUUUCAGAUCUGAGACAGGAGGUAUACCCAACUGUUUUGGGUGUCUUAUGAAGAUGCAUUUAUCCGCUUUGGGUUCGAGCUUAUCAGCCUGAAACUUUUUCACAUAAGCGUCGCAGCCCCAAACUUUUAAGGAAUGACAGCUUAGGUUUCUCUAAACCAAAGUUCAUACGGUGUCAUCUCAUCGGAAUUAUGUGGUGCCCUAUUUAAAGUGAAUGUGGUUGUCUCUAAUGCCUAACCCAUAAACUAUCGUGGUAAUUCGAUAAGAGACAUCAUGGUAUGCAUCAUAUCCAAUAGGGUGUAGUUAGGAUGUUCGGACACACCAUCACACUAUGGUGUUCCAGGCUGUAUUAGUUGUGAAACAAUUUCCACAAUGUCUUAAUUCUGUGCCAAACUCGUAAUUCAGAUAUUCAUCUCUAUGAUCAUAUCAUAGAUAUUUUAUCCUCUUGUCACGACGAUCUUUCAACUUCACCCUGAAAUUACUUGAACCUUUCAAUAAUUCAGACUCGUGAUUCAUCAAGUAAAUAUACUCAACAUCUACUCAAAUCAUCUGUGAGGUAAGAACAUAACGAUAUCCACUACAUGCCUCAACACUCAUUGGACUGCACACAUCAAAAUGUAUUACUUCCAACAAGUUGCUUUCUAGUUCCAUUUUACUGAAAACAAGGCUUUCAGUCAUCUUGCCCAUGUGGUAUGAUUUGCAUGUCUCAAGUGAUUCAAAAUCAAGUGAGUCCAAACGGUCCAUUUGCAUGGAGUUUCUUCAUGCAUAUACACCAAUAGACAUGGUUCGCAUGUCUCAAACUUUUCAAAAACGAGUGAGCCCAAAGAUCCAUCAACAUGGAGCUUCUUCAUGCAUUUUAUACCGAUAUGACUUACGUGGCAGUGCCACAAGUAGGUGGUACUAUCAUUACUACCUUAUAUCUUUUGGCAUGAACAUGUGUAUCACUACGAUCGAGAUUCAAUAAACCAUUCAUUUUAGGUCCAAGACCAUUAAAGGUAUUAUUCAAAUAAACAGAGUAACCAUUAUUCUCCUUAAAUGAAUAACCGUAUUGCGAUAGACAUAAUCUAAUCAUGUUUAUGCUCAACGCAAACACCAAAUAACAAUUAUUUAGGUUUAACACCAAUCUCGAUGGUAGAGGGAGCGUGCGAUGCUUGAUCAUAUCAACAUUGGAAACACUUCCAACACAUAUCGUCAGCUCACUUUUAGCUAGUCUCCGUUUAUUCCGUAGCUUUUAUUUCGAGUUACUAACACUUAGCAACCGAACCGGUAUCUAAUACCCUGGUGCUACUAGGAGUACUAGUAAAGUGCACAUCAACACAAUGUAUAUCCAAUAUACUUCUAUCGACCUUGGCAGCCUUCUCAUCUACCAAGUAUCUAGGGUAAUUCUGCUCCAGUGGCUGUUCCCCUUAUUACAAAAGCACUUAGUCUCGGGUUGAAGGAAAUAUGCCCUAGAGGCAAUAAUAAAGUUAUUAUUUAUUUCCUUAUAUCAUGGUAAAUGUUUAUUAUUCAUGCCAGAAUUGUAUUAACCGGAAACAUAAUACAUGUGUGAAUACAUAGACAAACAAAGUGUCACUAGUAUGCCUCUACUAGACUAGCUCGUUAAUCAAAGAUGGUUAAGUUUCCUAACCAUGAACAAGGAGUUGUUAUUUGAUUAACGAGGUCACAUCAUUAGUUGAAUGAUCUGAUUGACAUGACCCAUUCCAUUAGCUUAGCACCCGAUCGUUUAGUAUGUUGCUAUUGCUUUCUUCAUGACUUAUACAUGUUCCUAUGACUAUGAGAUUAUGCAACUCCCGUUUGCCGGAGGAACACUUUGUGUGCUACCAAACGUCACAACGUAACUGGGUGAUUAUAAAGGAGCUCUACAGGUGUCUCCAAUGGUAGAUGUUGGGUUGGCGUAUUUCGAGAAUAGGAUUUGUCACUCCGAUUGUCGGAGAGGUAUCUCUGGGCCCUCUCGGUAAUGCACAUCACUUAAGCCUUGCAAGCGUUGCAACUAAUAAGUUAGUUGCGGGAUGAUGUAUUACGGAACGAGUAAAGAGACUUGCCGGUAACAAGAUUGAACUAGGUAUUGGAUACCGACGAUCGAAUCUCGGGCAAGUAACAUACCGAUGACAAAGGGAACAAUGUAUGUUGUUAUGCGGUCUGACCAAUAAAGAUCUUCGUAGAAUAUGUAGGAGCCAAUAUGGGCAUCCAGGUCCCGCUAUUGGUUAUUGACCGGAGAAGUGUCUCGGUCAUGUCUACAUUGUUCUCGAACCGUAGGGUCCGCACGCUUAACGUUACGAUGACAGUUAUUAUGAGUUUAUGCAUUUUGAUGUACCGAAGGUUGUUCAGAGUCCCGGAUGUGAUCAUGGACAUGACGUGGAGUCUCGAAAUGGUCGAGACAUAAAGAUUGAUCUAUUGGAAGCCUAUAUUUGGAUAUCGGAAGUGUUCCGGGUGAAAUCGGGAUUUUACCGGAUUACCGGGAGGUUACCGGAACCCCCCGGGAGCCAUAUGGGCCUUCAUGGGCCUUAGUGGAAAGGAGAAAAGGGGCAGCCCAUAGGUGGCCGCGCGCCCCCCUUCCCUUAGUCCUAUUAGGACUAGGAGAAGGGGCCGGCCCCCCUCUCUCUCUUUCCCCCUUGGGAAUCCUAGUUGGAAUAGGAUUGAGGGGGGGAGUCCUACUCCCGGUAGGAGUAGGACUCCUCCUGCGCCCUCUCCCUGGCCGGCGCACCCCUCCCCCUUGGAUCCUUUAUAUACGGGGGCAGGGGGCACCUCUAGACACACAAGUUGAUCAUUGAGAUCGUUCCUUAGCCGUGUGCGGUGCCCCGUGCCACCAUAUUCCACCUCGAUCAUAUCGUUGUAGUGCUUAGGCGAAGCCCUGCGUCGGUAGUACAUCAAGAUCGUCACCACGCCGUCGUGCUGACGGAACUCUUCCUCAAUGCUUUGCUGGAUCAGAGCUCGAGGAUCGUCAUCGAGCUGAACGUGUGCUAAGAACUUGGAGGUGCCGGAGUAACGGUGCUUGGAUCGGUCGGAUCGGGAAGACGUAUGACUACUUCCUCUAUGUUGUGUGAUCGCUUCCGCAGUCGGUCUGCGUUGGUACGUAGACAACACUCUCCCCUCUCGUUGCUAUGCAUCACCAUGAUCUUGCGUGUGCGUAGGAAAUUUUUUGAAAUUGCUACGUUCCCCAACAGUGGCAUCCGAGCCUAGGUUUUAUGGUUUGAUGUUAUUUGCACGAGUAGAACACAAGUGAGUUGUGGGCGAUACAAGUCAUACUGCCUACCAGCAUGUCAUACUUUGGUUCGGCGGUAUUGUUGGACGAGACGACCCGGACCAACCUUACGCGUAUGCUUACGCGAGACCGGUUCCCUCGACGUGCUUUGCACAUAGAUGGCUUGCGGACGACUGUCUCUCCAACUUUAGUUGAACCAAGUGUGGCUAUGCCCGGUCCUUGAGAAGGUUAAAACGGAGUCUAUUUGACAAACUAUCAUUGUGGUUUUGAUGCGUAGGUGAGAUGAGUUCUUGCUUAAGCCCGUAGCAGCCACGUAAAACUUGCAACAACAAAGUAGAGGACGUCUAACUUAUUUUUGCAGGGCAUGUUGUGAUGUGAUAUGGUCAAGGCAUGAUGCUAAAUUUUAUUGUAUGAGAUGAUCAUGUUUUGUAACCAAGUUAUCGGCAACUGGCAGGAGCCAUAUGGUUGUCGCUUUAUUGUAUGCAAUGCAAUCGCGAUGUAAUGCUUUACUUUAUUACUAAGCGGUAGUGAUAGUCGUGGAAGCAUAAGAUUGGCGAGACGACAACGAUGCUACGAUGGAGAUCAAGGUGUCGCGCCGGUGACGAUGGUGAUCAUGACGGUGCUUCGGAGAUGGAGAUCACAAGCACAAGAUGAUGAUGGCCAUAUCAUAUCACUUAUAUUGAUUGCAUGUGAUGUUUAUCCUUUCAUGCAUCUUAUCUUGCUUUGAUUGACGGUAGCCUUAUAAGAUGAUCUCUUACUAAAUUAUCAAGAAGUGUUCUCCCUGAGUAUGCACCGUUGCCAAAGUUCGUCGUGCCCAGACACCACGUGAUGAUCGGGUGUGAUAAGCUCUACGUCCAUCUACAACGGGUGCAAGCCAGUUUUGCACACGCAGAAUACUCAGGUUAAACUUGACAAGCCUAGCAUAUGCAGAUAUGGCCUCGGAACACAGAGACCGAAAGGUCGAGCGUGAAUCAUAUAGUAGAUAUGAUCAACAUAACGAUGUUCACCAUUGAAAACUACUCCAUCUCACGUGAUGAUCGGUUAUGGUUUAGUUGAUUUGGAUCACGUGAUCACUUAGAGGAUUAGAGGGAUGUCUAUCUAAGUGGGAGUUCUUAAGUAAUUUGAUUAACUGAACUUAAACUUAUCAUGAACUUAGUACCUGAUAGUAUCUUGCUUGUUUAUGUUGAUUGUAGAUAGAUGGCUCGUGCUGUUGUUCCGUUGAAUUUUAAUGCGUUCCUUGAGAAAGCAAAGUUGAAAGAUGAUGGUAGCAAUUACACGGACUGGGUCCGUAACUUGAGGAUUAUCCUCAUUGCUGCUCAGAAGAAUUACGUCCUGAAAGCACCACUGGGUGCCAGGCCUGCUGCUGGAGCAACACCAGAUGUUAUGAACGUCUGGCAGAGCAAAGCUGAUGACUACUCGAUAGUUCAGUGUGCCAUGCUUUAUGGCUUAGAAUCGGGACUUCAACGACGUUUUGAACGUCAUGGAGCAUAUGAGAUGUUCCAGGAGUUUAAGUUAAUAUUUCAAGCAAAUGCCCGAAUUGAGAGAUAUGAAGUCUCCAAUAAGUUCUAUAGCUGCAAGAUGGAGGAGAACAGUUCUGUCAGUGAGCAUAUACUCAAAAUGUCUGGGUAUAAUAAUCACUUGAUUCAGAUGGGAGUUAAUCUUCCAGAUGAUUGCGUCAUUGACAGAAUUCUCCAAUCACUGCCACCAAGCUAUAAGAGCUUCGUGAUGAACUAUAAUAUGCAAGGGAUGAACAAGACUAUUCCCGAGCUCUUCGCGAUGCUAAAAGCUGCGGAGGUAGAAAUCAAGAAGGAGCAUCAAGUGUUGAUGGUCAACAAGACCACUAGUUUCAAGAAAAAGGGCAAAGGGAAGAAGAAGGGGAACUUCAAAAAGAACAGCAAGCAAGUUGCUGCUCAGGAGAAGAAGCCCAAGUCUGGACCUAAGCCUGAAACUGAUUGCUUCUACUGCAAGCAGACUGGUCACUGGAAGCGGAACUACCCCAAGUAGUUGGCGGAUAAGAAGGAUGGCAAGGUGAACAAAGGUAUAUGUGAUAUACAUGUUAUUGAUGUGUACCUUACUAGAGCUCGCAGUAGCACCUGGGUAUUUGAUACUGGUUCUGUUGCUAAUAUUUGCAACUCGAAACAGGGACUACGGAUUAAGCGAACACUGGCAAAGGACGAGGUGACGAUGCGCGUGGGAAACGGUUCCAAAGUUGAUGUGAUCGCGGUCGGCACGCUACCUCUACAUCUACCUUCGGGAUUAAUAUUAGACCCAAAUAAUUGUUAUUUGGUGCCAGCGUUAAGCAUGAACAUUAUAUCUGGAUCUUGUUUGAUGCGAGACGGUUAUUCAUUUAAAUCAGAGAAUAAUGGUUGUUCUAUUUAUAUGAGUAAUAUCUUUUAUGGUCACGCACCUUUGAAGAGUGGUCUAUUUUUGAUGAAUCUCGAUAGUAGUAAUACACAUAUUCAUAAUGUUGAAACCAAAAGAUGCAGAGUUGAUAAUGAUAGUGCAACUUAUUUGUGACACUGUCGUUUAGGUCAUAUCGGUAUAAAGCGCAUGAAGAAACUCCAUACUGAUGGGCUUUUGGAACCACUUGAUUAUGAAUCACUUGGUACUUGCGAACCGUGCCUCAUGGGCAAGAUGACUAAAACACCGUUCUCCGGUACUAUGGAGAGAGCAACAGAUUUGUUGGAAAUCAUACAUACCGAUGUAUGUGGUCUGAUGAAUAUUGAGGCUCGUGGCGGAUAUCGUUAUUUUCUCACUUUCACAGAUGAUUUAAGCAGAUAUGGAUAUAUCUACUUAAUGAAACAUAAGUCUGACACAUUUGAAAAGUUCAAAGAAUUUCAGAGUGAAGUUGAAAAUCAUCGUAACAAGAAAAUAAAGUUUCUACGAUCUGAUCGUGGAGGAGAAUAUUUGAGUUACGAGUUUGGUGUACAUUUGAAAAAUUGUGGAAUAGUUUUGCAACUCACGCCACCCGGAACACCACAGCGUAAUGGUGUGUUCGAACGUCGUAAUCGUACUUUACUAGAUAUGGUGCGAUCUAUGAUGUCUCUUACUGAUUUACCGCUAUCGUUUUGGGGUUAUGCUUUAGAGACGGCCGCAUUCACGUUAAAUAGGGCACCAUCAAAAUCCGUUGAGACGACGCCUUAUGAACUAUGGUUUGGCAAGAAACCAAAGUUGUCGUUUCUUAAAGUUUGGGGCUGCGAUGCUUAUGUGAAAAAGCUUCAACCUGAUAAGCUCGAACCCAAAGCGGAGAAAUGUGUCUUCAUAGGAUACCCAAAGGAGACUGUUGGGUACACCUUCUAUCACAGAUUCGAAGGCAAGAUAUUCGUUGCUAAGAAUGGAUCAUUUCUAGAGAAGGAGUUUCUCUCGAAAGAAGUGAGUGGGAGGAAAGUAGAACUUGACGAGGUAACUGUACCUGCUCCCUUAUUGGAAAGUAGUACAUCACAGAAAACUGUUUCUGCGACACCUAUACCAAUUAGUGAGGAAGCUAAUGAUGAUGAUCAUGAAACUUCAGGACAAGAUACUACUGAACCUCGUAGAUCAACCAGAGUGAGAUCCGCACCAGAGUGGUACAGUAAUCCAAUUCUGGAAGUCAUGCUACUAGAUCAUGAUGAACCUAUGAACUAUGAAGAAGCGAUGGUGAGCCCAGAUUCCGCAAAGUGGCUUGAAGCCAUGAAAUCUGAGAUGGGAUCCAUGUAUGAGAACAAAGUAUGGACUUUGGUUGACUUGCCCGAUGAUCGGCAAGCAAUUGAGAAUAAAUGGAUCUUCAAGAAAAAGACUGACGCUGACGGUAAUAUUACUGUCUAUAAAGCUCGACUUGUCGCAAAAGGUUUUCGACAAGUUCAAGGGGUUGACUACGAUGAGACCUUCUCACCCGUAGCGAUGCUUAAGUCUGUCAGAAUCAUGUUAGCAAUUGCCGCAUUUUAUGAUUAUGAAAUUUGGCAGAUGGAUGUCAAAACUGCAUUCCUGAAUGGAUUUCUGGAAGAAGAGUUGUAUAUGAUGCAACCGGAAGGUUUUGUCGAUCCAAAGGGAGCUAACAAAGUGUGCAAGCUCCAGCGAUUCAUUUAUGGACUGGUGCAAGCCUCUCGGAGUUGGAAUAAAUGCUUUGAUAGUGUGAUCAAAGCAUUUGGUUUUAUACAGACUUUUGGAGAAGCCUGUAUUUACAAGAAAGUGAGUGGGAGCUCUGUAGCAUUUCUGAUAUUAUAUGUGGAUGACAUAUUGCUGAUUGGAAAUGAUAUAGAAUUUCUGGAUAGCAUAAAGGGAUACUCGAAUAAAAGUUUUUCGAUGAAAGACCUCGGGGAAGCUGCUUACAUAUUAGGCAUAAAGAUCUAUAGAGAUAGAUCAAGACGCUUAAUUGGACUUUCACAAAGCACAUACCUUGACAAGAUUUUGAAGAAGUUCAAAAUGGAUCAAGCAAAGAAAGGAUUCUUGCCUGUGUUACAAGGUGUGAAGUUGAGUCAGACUCAAUGCCCGACCACUGCAGAAGAUAGAGAAAAAAAUGAAAGAUGUUCCCUAUGCUUCAGCCAUAGGCUCUAUCAUGUAUGCAAUGCUGUGUACCAGACCUGAUGUGUGCCUUGCUAUAAGUUUAGCAGAGAGGUACCAAAGUAAUCCAGGAGUGGAUCACUGUACAGCGGUCAAGAACAUCCUGAAAUACCUGAAAAGGACUAAGGAUAUGUUUCUCGUGUAUGGAGGUGACAAAGAGCUCACCGUAAGAGGUUACAUUGAUGCAAGCUUUGACACUGAUCCGGACGAUUCUAAAUCGCAAACCGGAUACGUGUUUAGUUUAAACGGUGGAGCUGUCAGUUGGUGCAGUUCUAAACAAAGCGUCGUAGCGGGAUCUACAUGUGAAGCGGAGUACAUAGCUGCUUCAGAAGCAGCGAACGAAGGAGUCUGGAUGAAGGAGUUCAUAUCCGAUCUAGGUGUCAUACCUAGUGCAUCGGGUCCAAUGAAAAUCUUUUGUGACAAUACUGGUGCAAUUGCUUUGGCAAAGGAAUCCAGAUUUCACAAGAGAACCAAACACAUCAAGAGACGCUUCAAUUCCAUCCGGGAUCUAGUCCAGGUGGGAGACAUAGAGAUUUGCAAGAUACAUACGGAUCUGAAUGUUGCAGACCCGUUGACUAAGCCUCUUCCGAGCAAAACAUGAUCAGCACCAAGGCUCCAUGGGUGUUAGAAUCAUUACUGUGUAAUCUAGAUUAUUGACUCUAGUGCAAGUGGGAGACUGAAGGAAAUAUGCCCUAUAGGCAAUAAUAAAGUUAUUAUUUAUUUCCUUAUAUCAUGAUAAAUGUUUAUUAUUCAUGCUAGAAUUGUAUUAACCGGAAACAUAAUACAUGUGUGAAUACAUAGACAAACAGAGUGUCACUAGUAUGCCUCUACUAGACUAGCUCGUUAAUCAAAGAUGGUUAAGUUUCCUAACCAUGAACAAGGAGUUGUUAUUUGAUUAACGAGGUCACAUCAUUAGUUGAAUGAUCUGAUUGACAUGACCCAUUUGAAGGAAACAUGCCCUAGAGCCAAUAAUAAAGUUAUUAUUUAUUUCCUUAAAAUCAUGAUAAGUGUUUAUUAUUCAUGCUAGAAUUAUAUUAACCGGAAACAUAAUACAUAUGUGAAUACAUAGACAAAACAGAGUGUCACUAGUAUGCCUCUACUAGACUAGCUCGUUAAUCAAAGAUGGUUAUGUUUCCUAACCAUGAACAAAGAGUUGUUAUUUGAUUAACGAGGUCACAUCAUUAGUUGAAUGAUCUGAUUGACAUGACCCAUUCCAUUAGCUUAGCACCCGAUCGUUUAGUAUGUUGCUAUUGCUUUCUUCAUGACUUAUACAUGUUCCUAUAACUAUGAGAUUAUGCAACUCCCGUUUACCGGAGGAACACUUUGGGUACUACCAAACGUCACAACAUAACUGGGUGAUUAUAAAGGAGUACUACAGGUGUCUCCAAUGGUAGAUGUUGGGUUGGCGUAUUUCGAGAUUAGGGUUUGUCACUCCGAGUGUCGGAGAGGUAUCUCUGGGUCCUCUCGGUAAUACACAUCACAUAAGCCUUGCAAGCAUUAUAACUAAGAUGUUAGUUGUGAGAUGAUGUAUUACGGAACGAGUAAAGAGACUUGCCAGUAACAAAAUUGAACUAGGUAUUGGAUACCGACGAUCGAAUCUCGGGCAAGUAACAUACCGAUGACAAAGGGAACAACGUAUGUUGUUAUGCGGUCUGACCGAUAAAGAUCUUCGUAGAAUAUGUAGGAGCCAAUAUGGGCAUCCAGGUCCCGCUAUUGGUUAUUGACCGGAGACGUGUCUCGGUCAUGUCUACAUUGUUCUCGAACCGUAGGGUCCGCACGCUUAACGUUACGAUGACAGUUAUUAUGAGUUUAUGCAUUUUGAUGUACCGAAGGUUGUUCGGAGUCCCGGAUGUGAUCACGGACAUGACGAGGAGUCUCGAAAUGGUCGAGACAUAAAGAUUGAUAUAUUGGAAGCCUAUGUUUGUGAAGGAAAUAUGCCCUAGAGGCAAUAAUAAAGUUAUUAUUUAUUUCCUUAUAUCAUGAUAAAUGUUUAUUAUUCAUGCUAGAAUUGUAUUAACCGGAAACAUAAUACAUGUGUGAAUACAUAGACAAACAGAGUGUCACUAGUAUGCCUCUACUUGACUAGCUCGUUAAUCAAAGAUGGUUAUGUUUCCUAACCAUGAACAAAGAGUUGUUAUUUGAUUAACGAGGGCACAUCAUUAGUUGAAUGAUCUGAUUGACAUGACCCAUUCCAUUAGCUUAGCACCCGAUCGUUUAGUAUGUUGCUAUUGCUUUCUUCAUGACUUAUACAUGUUCCUAUAACUAUGAGAUUAUGCAACUCCCGUUUACCGGAGGAACACUUUGGGUACUACCAAACGUCACAACGUAACUGGGUGAUUAUAAAGGAGUACUACAGGUGUCUCCAAUGGUAGAUGUUGGGUUGGCGUAUUUCGAGAUUAGGGUUUUGUCACUCCGAUUGUCGGAGAGGUAUCUCUGGGCCCUCUUGGUAAUACACAUCACAUAAGCCUUGCAAGCAUUAUAACUAAGAUGUUAGUUAUGAGAUGAUGUAUUACGGAACGAGUAAAGAGACUUGCCUAUAACGAGAUUGAACUAGGUAUUGGAUACCGACGAUCGAAUCUUGGGCAAGUAACAUACCGAUGACAAAGGGAACAACGUAUGUUGUUAUGCGGUCUGACCGAUAAAGAUCUUCGUGGAAUAUGUAGGAGCCAAUAUGGGCAUCCAGGUCCCGCUAUUGGUUAUUGACCGGAGACGUGUCUCGGUCAUGUCUACAUUGUUCUCGAACCGUAGGGUCCGCACGCUUAACGUUACGAUGACAGUUAUUAUGAGUUUAUGCAUUUUGAUGUACCGAAGGUUGUUCGGAGUCCCGGAUGUGAUCACGAACAUGACGAGGAGUCUCGAAAUGGUCGAGACGUAAAGAUUGAUAUAUUGGAAGGCUAUGUUUGGACAUCGGAAGUAUUCCGGGUGAAAUCGGGAUUUUACCAGAAUACCGGGAGGGUUACCGGAACCCCCCGGGAGGCAAAUGGGCCUAUUGGGCCUUAGUGGAAAAGAGAAAAGGGGCAGCCCAUAGCUGGCCGCGCCCCCUCCCUUCCCCAAGUCCUAUUAGGACUAGGAGAAGGGGUCGGCCCCCCUCUCUCUCCUUUCCCCCUUGGGAGUCCUAGUUGGAAUAGGAUUGAGGGGGGGAGUCCUACUCCCGGUAGGAGUAGGACUCCUCCCGCGCGCUCUCCUUGACCGGCCGAACCCCUCCCCUUGCUCCUUUAUAUAUGGGGGCAGGGGGCACCCCAUAGACAGACGAUUGAUCAUUGUUGAUCGUUCCUUAGCCGUGUGCGGUGCCCCCUGCCACCAAAAUCCACCUCGAUCAUACUGUUGUAGUGCUUAGGCGAAGCCCUGCGUCGGUAGUACAUCAAGAUCGUCACCACGCCGUCGUGCUGACGGAACUCUUCCUCGACGCUUUGCUGGAUCGGAGCCCGAGGAUCGUCAUCGAGUUGAACGUGUGCUAAGAACUCGGAGGUGCCGGAGUAACGGUGCUUGGAUCGGUCGGAUCGGGAAGACGUACGACUACUUCCUCUACAUUGUGUGAUCGCUUCCGCAGUCGGUCUGCGUCGGUACGUAGAUAACACUCUCCCCUCUCGUUGCUAUGCAUCACCAUGAUCUUGCGUGUGCGUAGGAAAAUUUUCGAAAUUACUACGUUCCCCAACAGUGGCAUCCGAGCCUAGGUUUUAUGGUUUGAUGUUAUUUGCACGAGUAGAACACAAGUGAGUUGUGGGCGAUACAAGUCAUACUGCCUACCAGCAUGUCAUACUUUGGUUCGGCGGUAUUGUUGGACGAGACGAUCCGGACCAACCUUACGCGUACUCUUACGCGAGACCGGUUCCCUCGACGUGCUUUGCACAUAGAUGGCUUGCGGAAGAUUGUCUCUCCAACUUUAGUUGAACCAAGUGUGGCUACGCCCGGUCCUUGAGAAGGUUAAAACAGAGUCUAUUUGACGAACUAUCAUUGUGGUUUUGAUGCGUAGGUGAGAUGAGUUCUUACUUAAGCCCGUAGCAGCCACGUAAAACUUGCAACAACAAAGUAGAGGACGUCUAACUUGUUUUUGCAGGGCAUGUUGUGAUGUGAUAUGGUCAAGGCAUGAUGCUGAUUUUAUUGUAUGAGAUGAUCAUGUUUUGUAACCAAGUUAUCGGCAACUGGCAGGAGCCAUAUGGUUGUCGCUUUAUUGUAUGCAAUGCAAUCGCGAUGUAAUGCUUUACUUUAUUACUAAGCGGUAGUGAUAGUCGUAGAAGCAUAAGAUUGGCGAGACCACAAUGAUGCUACGAUGGAGAUCAAGGUGUCGCGCCGGUGACGAUGGUGAUCAUGACGGUGCUUCGGAGAUGGAGAUCACAAGCACAAGAUGAUGAUGGCCAUAUCAUAUCACUUGUAUUGAUUGCACGUGAUGUUUAUCCUUUUAUGCAUCUUAUCUUGCUUUGAUUGACGGUAGCAUUAUAAGAUGAUCUCUCACUAAAUUAUCAUGAAGUGUUCUCCCUGAGUAUGCACCAUUGCCAAAGUUCGUCGUGCCCAGACACCACGUGAAGGUCGGGUGUGAUAAGCUCUAUGUCCAUCUACAACGGGUGCAAGCCAGUUUUGCACACGCAGAAUACUCAGGUUAAACUUGAUGAGCCUAGCAUAUGCAGAUAUGGCCUCAGAACACAGAGACCGAAAGGUCGAGCGUGAAUCAUAUAGUAGAUAUGAUCAACAUGACGAUGUUCACCAUUGAAAACUACUCCAUCUCACGUGAUGAUCGGUCAUGGUUUAGUUGAUUUGGAUCACGUGAUCACUUAGAGGAUUAGAGGGAUGUCUAUCUAAGUGGGAGUUCCUAAGUAAUUUGAUUAACUGAACUUAAACUUAUCAUGAACUUAGUACCUGAUAGUAUCUUGCUUGUUUAUGUUGAUUGUAGAUAGAUGGCUCGUGCUAUUGUUCCGUUGAAUUUUAAUGCGUUCCUUGAGAAAGCAAAGUUGAAAGAUGAUGGUAGCAAUUACACGGACUGGGUCCGUAACCUGAGGAUUAUCCUCAUUGCUGCACAGAAGAAUUACGUCCUGGAAGCACCGCUAGGUGCCAGGCCUGCUGCUGGAGCAACACCAGAUGUUAUGAACGUCUGGCAGAGCAAAGCUGAUGACUACUCGAUAGUUCAGUGUGCCAUGCUUUACGGCUUAGAAUCGGGACUUCAACGACGUUUUGAACGUCAUGGAGCAUAUGAGAUGUUCCAGGAGUUGAAGUUAAUAUUUCAAGCAAAUGCCCGAAUUGAGAGAUAUGGAGUCUCCAAUAAGUUCUAUAGCUGCAAGAUGGAGGAGAACAGUUCUGUCAGUGAGCAUAUACUCAAAAUGUCUGGGUAUAAUAAUCACUUGAUUCAGAUGGGAGUUAAUCUUCCAGAUGAUUGCGUCAUUAACAGAAUUCUCCAAUCACUGCCACCAAGCUACAAGAGCUUCGUGAUGAACUAUAAUAUGCAAGGGAUGAACAAGACUAUUCCCGAGCUCUUCGCAAUGCUGAAAGCUGCGGAGGUAGAAAUCAAGAAGGAGCAUCAAGUGUUGAUGGUCAACAAGACCACUAGUUUCAAGAAAAAGGGCAAAGGGAAGAAGAAGGGGAACUUCAAGAAGAACAGCAAGCAAGUUGCUGCUCAGGAGAAGAAGCCCAAGUCUGGACCCAAGCCUGAAACUGAGUGCUUCUACUGCAAGCAGACUGGUCACUGGAAGCGGAACUGCCCCAAGUAUUUGGCGGAUAAGAAGGAUGGCAAGGUGAACAAAGGUAUAUGUGAUAUACAUGUUAUAGAUGUGUACCUUACUAGAGCUCGCAGUAGCACCUGGGUAUUUGAUACUGGUUCUGUUGCUAAUAUUUGCAACUCAAAACAGGGACUACGGAAUAAGCGGACGCUAGCAAAGGACGAGGUGACGAUGCGCGUGGGAAACGGUUCCAAAGUCGAUGUGAUCGCGGUCGGCACGCUACCUCUACAUCUACCUUCGGGAUUAAUAUUAGACCUAAAUAAUUGUUAUUUGGUGCCAGCGUUGAGCAUGAACAUUAUAUCUGGAUCUUGUUUAAUGCGAGACGGUUAUUCAUUUAAAUCAGAGAAUAAUGGUUGUUCUAUUUAUAUGAGUAAUAUCUUUUAUGGUCAUGCACCUUUGAAGAGUGGUCUAUUCUUGUUGAAUCUCGAUAGUAGUGAUACACAUAUUCAUAAUGUAGAAGCCAAAAGAUGCAGAGUUGAUAAUGAUAGUGCAACUUAUUUGAGGCACUGCCGUUUAGGUCAUAUCGGUGUAAAGCGCAUGAAGAAACUCCAUAUUGAUGGGCUUUUGGAACCACUUGAUUAUGAAUCACUUGGUACUUGCGAACCGUGCCUCAUAGGCAAGAUGACUAAAACACCGUUCUCCGGUACUAUGGAGAGAGCAACAGAUUUAUUGGAAAUCAUACAUACCGAUGUAUGUGGUCCGAUGAAUAUUGAGGCUCGUGGCGGAUAUCGUUAUUUUCUCACCUUCACAGAUGAUUUAAGCAGAUAUGGGCAUAUCUACUUAAUGAAACAUAAGUCUGAAACAUUUGAAAAGUUCAAGGAAUUUCAAAGUGAAGUUGAAAAUCAUCAUAACAAGAAAAUAAAGUUUCUACGAUCUGAUCGUGGAGGAGAAUAUUUGAGUUACGAGUUUGGUGUACAUUUGAAAAAUUGUGGAAUAGUUUCGCAACUCACGCCACCCGGAACACCACAACGUAAUGGUGUGUCCGAAUGUCGUAAUCGUACUUUACUAGAUAUGGUGCGAUCUAUGAUGUCUCUUACUGAUUUACCGCUAUCAUUUUGGGGUUAUGCUUUAGAGACGGCCACAUUCACGUUAAAUAGGGCACCAUCAAAAUCCGUUGAGAUGACGCCUUAUGAACUAUGGUUUGGCAAGAAACCAAAGUUGUCGUUUCUUAAAGUUUGGGGCUGCGAUGCUUAUGUGAAAAAGCUUCAACCUGAUAAGCUCGAACCCAAAGUGGAGAAAUGUGUCUUCAUAGGAUACCCAAAGGAAACUGUUGGGUAUACCUUCUAUCACAGAUCCGAAGGCAAGACAUUCGUUGCUAAGAAUGGAUCAUUUCUAGAGAAGGAGUUUCUCUCGAAAGAAGUGAGUGGGAGGAAAGUAGAACUUCACGAGGUAACUGUACCUGCUCCCUUAUUGGAAAAUGGUACAUCACAGAAAACUUUUUCUGCGACACCUAUACCAAUUAGUGAGGAAGCUAAUGAUGAUGAUCAUGAAACUUCAGGACAAGAUACUACUGAACCACGUAGAUCAACCAGAGUGAGAUCCCACCAGAGUGGUACGGUAAUCCAGUUCUGGAAGUCAUGCUACUAGAUCAUGAUGAACCUACGAACUAUGAAGAAGCGAUGGUGAGCCCAGAUUCCGCAAAGUGGCUUGAGGCCAUGAAAUCUGAGAUGGGAUCCAUGUAUGAGAACAAAGUAUGGACUUUGGUUGACUUGCCCGAUGAUCGGCAAGCAAUUAAGAAUAAAUGGAUCUUCAAGAAUAAGACUGACGCUGACGGUAAUGUUACUGUCUAUAAAGCUCGACUUGUCGCAAAAGGUUUUCGACAAGUUCAAGGGGUUGACUACGAUGAGACCUUCUCACCCGUAGCUAUGCUUAAGUCCGUCAGAAUCAUGUUAGCAAUUGCCGCAUUUUAUGAUUAUGAAAUAUGGCAGAUGGAUGUCAAAACUGCAUUCCUGAAUGGAUUUCUGGAAGAAGAGUUGUAUAUGGUACAACCAGAAGGUUUUGUCGAUCCAAAAGGAGCUAACAAAGUAUGCAAACUCCAGCGAUCCAUUUAUGGACUGGUGCAAGCAUCUCGGAGUUGGAAUAAACGCUUUGAUAGUGUGAUCAAAGCAUUUGGCUUUAUACAGACUUUUGGAGAAGCCUGUAUUUACAAGAAAGUGAGUGGGAGCUCUGUAGCAUUUCUGAUAUUAUAUGUGGAUGACAUAUUGCUGAUUGGAAAUGAUAUAGAAUUUCUGGAUAGCAUAAAGGGAUACUUGAAUAAAAGUUUUUCGAUGAAAGACCUCGGGGAAGCUGCUUACAUAUUAGGCAUAAAGAUCUAUAGAGAUAGAUCAAGACGCUUAAUUGGACUUUCAUAAAGCACAUACCUUGACAAGAUUUUGAAGAAGUUCAAAAUGGAUCAAGCAAAGAAAGGGUUCUCUGGGCCCUCUCGGUAAUACACAUCACAUAAGCCUUGCAAGCAUUAUAACUAAGAUGUUAGUUAUGAGAUGAUGUAUUAUGAAACGAGUAAAGAGACUUGCCGGUAACGAGAUUGAACUAGGUAUUGAGAUACCGACGAUCGAAUCUCGGGCAAGUAACAUACCGAUGACAAAGGGAACAACGUAUGUUGUUAUGCGGUCUGACCGGUAAAGAUCUUCGUGGAAUAUGUAGGAGCCAAUAUGGGCAUCCAGGUCCCACUAUUGGUUAUUGACCGGAGACGUGUCUCGGUCAUGUCUACAUUGUUCUCGAACCGUAGGGUCCGCACGCUUAACGUUACGAUGACAGUUAUUAUGAGUUUAUGCAUUUUGAUGUACCGAAGGUUGUUCGGAGUCCCGGAUGUGAUCACGGACAUGACGAGGAGUCUCGAAAUGGUCGAGACGUAAAGAUUGAUAUAUUGGAAGGCUAUGUUUGGACAUCGGAAGUAUUCCGGGUGAAAUCGGGAUUUUACCGGAAUACCGGGAGGGUUACCGGAACCCCCCGAGAGGCAAAUGGGCCUAUUGGGCCUUAGUGGAAAAGAGAAAAGGGGCAGCCCAUAGCUGGCCGCACCCCCGCCCCUUCCCCAAGUCCUAUUAGGACUAGGAGAAGGGGCCGGCCCCCCUCUCUCUCCUUUCCCCCUUGGGAGUCCUAGUUGGAAUAGGAUUGAGGGGGGGGGAGUCCUACUCCCGGUAGGAGUAGGACUCCUCCCGCGCCCUCUCCUUGGCCGGCCGAACCCCUCCCCUUGCUCCUUUAUAUACGGGGGCAGGGGGCACCCCAUAGACAGACGAUUGAUCAUUGUUGAUCGUUCCUUAGCCGUGUGCGGUGCCCCCUGCCACCAAAAUCCACCUCGAUCAUACUGUUGUAGUGCUUAGGCGAAGCCCUGCGUCGGUAGUACAUCAAGAUCGUCACCACGCCGUCGUGCUGACGGAACUCUUCCUCGACGCUUUGCUGGAUCGAAGCCCGAGGAUCGUCAUCGAGCUGAACGUGUGCUAAGAACUCGGAGGUGCCGGAGUAACGGUGCUUGGAUCGGUCGGAUCGGGAAGACGUACGACUACUUCCUCUACGUUGUGUGAUCGCUUCCACAGUCGGUCUGCGUCGGUACGUAGAUAACACUCUCCCCUCUCGUUGCUAUGCAUCACCAUGAUCUUGCGUGUGCGUAGGAAAAUUUUCGAAAUUACUACGUUCCCCAACAGUUUGGACAUCGGAAGUGUUCCGGGUGAAAUCGGGAUUUUACCGGAUUACCGGGAGGGUUACCGGAACCCCCCGGGAGCCAAAUGGGCCAACAUGGGCCUUAGUGGAAAGGUGAGAGGGCAGCCCACAUAGGGCUGCGCCUCCCCCUCUCCCUAGUCCUAUUAGGACUAGGAGAGGGGCCGGCCACCUCUCUCUUCUCUUCCCCUUUGGGGAAUCCUAUUAGGAAUAGGAUUGGGGGGGGAGUCCUACUCCCGGUAGGAGUAGGACUCCUCCUGCGCCUCCUAGCUUGGCCGACCAGCCUCCCCCCCUUCAUCCUUUAUAUACGGGGGCAGGGGGCACCUCUAGACACACAAGUUGAUCCUUGAGAUCGUUCCUUAGCCGUGUGCGGUGCCCCCUGCCACCAAAUUCCACCUCGAUCAUACCGUUGUAGUGCUUAGGCGAAGCCCUGCGUCGGUAGUACAUCAAGAUCGUCACCACGCCGUCGUGCUGACGGAACUCCUCCCCGAAGCUUUGCUGGAUCGGAGCCCGGGGAUCGUCAUCGAGCUGAACGUGUGCUAAGAACUCGGAGGUGCCGGAGUAACGGUGCUUGGAUCGGUCGGAUCGGGAAGAAGACGUACGACUACUUCGUCUAUGUUGUGUGAUCGCUUCCGCAGUCGGUCUGCGUUGGUACGUAGACAACACUCUCCCCUCUCGUUGCUAUGCAUCACCAUGAUCUUGCGUGUGCGUAGGAAAUUUUUUGAAAUUACUACGUUCCCCAACACCAUUCCAUUAGCUUAGCACCCGAUCGUUUAGUAUGUUGCUAUUGCUUUCUUCAUGACUUAUACAUGUUCCUAUGACUAUGAGAUUAUGCAACUCCCGUUUGCCGGAGGAACACUUUGUGUGCUACCAAAUGUCACAACGUAACUGGGUGAUUAUAAAGGAGCUCUACAGGUGUCUCCAAUGGUAGAUGUUGGGUUGGCGUAUUUCGAGAAUAGGAUUUGUCACUCCGAUUGUCGGAGAGGUAUCUCUGGGCCCUCUCGGUAAUGCACAUCACUUAAGCCUUGCAAGCGUUGCAACUAAUAAGUUAGUUGCGGGAUGAUGUAUUAUGGAACGAGUAAAGAGACUUGCCGGUAACAAGAUUGAACUAGGUAUUGGAUACCGACGAUCGAAUCUCGGGCAAGUAACAUACCGAUGACAAAGGGAACAACGUAUGUUGUUAUGCGGUCUGACCGAUAAAGAUCUUCGUAGAAUAUGUAGGAGCCAAUAUGGGCAUCUAGGUCCCGCUGUUGGUUAUUGACCGGAGAAGUGUCUCGGUCAUGUCUACAUUGUUCUCGAACCGUAGGGUCUGUUGGAAAUAUGCCCUAGAGGCAAUAAUAAAAGCAUUAUUAUUAUAUUUCCUUGUUCAUGAUAAUUGUCUUUAUUCAUGCUAUAAUUGUGUUAUCCGGAAAUCGUAAUACAUGUGUGAAUAACAGACACCAACAUCUCCCUAGUAAGCCUCUAGUUGACUAGAUCGUUAAUCAACAGAUAGUCAUGGUUUCCUGGCUAUGGACAUAGGAUGUCAUUGAUAACGAGAUCACAUCAUUAGGAGAAUGAUGUGAUGGACAAGAUCCAAUCCUAAACAUAGCAUAAAGAUCGUGUAGUUCGUUUGCUAGAGUUUUGCAAUGUCAAGUAUCUUUUCCUUAGACCAUGAGAUCGUGUAACUCCCGGAUACCGUAGGAGUGCUUUGGGUAUACCAAACGUCACAACAUAACUGGGUGGCUAUAAAGGUAGACUACGGGUAUCUCCGAAAGUGUCUGUUGGGUUGACACGGAUCAAGACUGGGAUUUGUCACUCCGUAUGACGGAGAGGUAUCACUAGGCCCACUCGGAAAUGCAUCAUCAUAAUGAGCUCAAAGUGACCAAGUGUCUGGUCACGGGAUCAUGCAUUACGGUAUGAGUAAAGUGACUUGCCGGUAACGAGAUUGAACGAGGUAUUGGGAUACCGACGAUCAAAUCUCGGGCAAGUAAUAUAUCGAUUGACAAAGGGAAUUGCAUCCGGGGUUGAUUGAAUCCUCGACAUCGUGGUUCAUCCGAUGAGAUCAUCGUGGAGCAUGUGGGAGCCAACAUGGGUAUCCAGAUCCCGUUGUUGGUUAUUGACCGGAGAGUCGUCUCGGUCAUGUCUACAUGUCUCCCAAACCCGUAGGGUCUACACACUUAAGGUUCGGUGACGCUAGGGUUGUGAAGAUAUGUAUAUGCAGUAACCCGAAUGUUGUUCGGAGUCCCGGAUGAGAUCCCGGACGUCACGAAGAGUUCCGGAAUGGUCCGGAGGCAAAGAAUUAUAUAUAGGAAGUGCUGUUUCGGCCAUCGGGACAAGUUUCGGGGUUACCGGUAUUGUACCGGGACCACCGGAAGGGUCCCGGGGGUCCACCGGGUGGGGCCACCUAUCCCGGAGGGCCCCAUGGGCUGAAGUGGGAAGGGACCCAGCCCACAGUGGGCUGGGGCGCCACCCCCUAAGGGCCCAUGCGCCUAGGGUUUAGGGGAAACCCUAAAGGGGGGCGCCCCCUUGCUUGGGGGGCAAGCCCCCCACCCCUUGGCCGCCCCCCCCCUAGGAGAUCCAUCUCCUAGGGCCGCCCCCCCUAGGCACCCCUAUAUAUAGUGGGGGAGAGGAGGGACUUGAGGCUACGGCUUUUGGUGCAUCCCUCUCUCCCUGUUACUGUUGGGGAACGUAGUAAUUUCAAAAAAAUUCCUACGCACACGCAAGAUCAUGGUGAUGCAUANNNNNNNNNNNNNNNNNNNNNNNNNNNNNNNNNNNNNNNNNNNNNNNNNNNNNNNNNNNNNNNNNNNNNNNNNNNNNNNNNNNNNNNNNNNNNNNNNNNNNNNNNNNNNNNNNNNNNNNNNNNNNNNNNNNNNNNNNNNNNNNNNNNNNNNNNNNNNNNNNNNNNNNNNNNNNNNNNNNNNNNNNNNNNNNNNNNNNNNNNNNNNNNNNNNNNNNNNNNNNNNNNNNNNNNNNNNNNNNNNNNNNNNNNNNNNNNNNNNNNNNNNNNNNNNNNNNNNNNNNNNNNNNNNNNNNNNNNNNNNNNNNNNNNNNNNNNNNNNNNNNNNNNNNNNNNNNNNNNNNNNNNNNNNNNNNNNNNNNNNNNNNNGGCGUGGUGACGAUCUUGAUGUACUACCGACGCAGGGCUUCGCCUAAGCACUACAACGGUAUGAUCGAGGUGGAAUUUGGUGGCAGGGGGCACCGCACACGGCUAAGGAACGAUCUCAAGGAUCAACUUGUGUGUCUAUGGGGUGCCCCCUGCCCCUGUAUAUAAAGGAUGGAGAAGGAGGAGGCCGGCCAAGGCAAAGGUGCGGCCAGGAUAGGGAGUCCUACUAGGACUCCAAGUCCUAGUAGGAGUCCACCAAAAGGGGAGGAAGGGAGAAGGAAUAGGAGGAGAAGGAGAGGUGGCCGGCCCCCUUUUCCCUAGUCCAAUUCGGACCAAAGGGGAGGGGGGGCGCAGCAGCCUUUUCCUCUUCCCACUAAAGCCCAUCAACGCCCAUUACCUCUCCCGUAACUACCCGGUACUCCGAAAAAUACCCGAAUCACUCGGAACCUUUCCGAUGUCCGAAUAUAGUCGUCCAAUAUAUCGAUCUUUACGUCUCGACCAUUUCGAGACUCCUCGUCAUGUCCCCAAUCUCAUCCGGGACUCCGAACUCCUUCGGUACAUCAAAACUCAUAAACUCAUAAUAUAACUGUCAUCGAAACCUUAAGCGUGCGGACCCUACGGUUCGAGAACAAUGUAGACAUGACCGAGACACGUCUCCGGUCAAUAACCAAUAGCGGGACCUGGAUGCCCAUAUUGGCUCCUACAUAUUCUACGAAGAUCUUUAUCGGUCAGACCGCAUAACAACAUACGUUGUUCCCUUUGUCAUCGGUAUGUUACUUGCCCGAGAUUCGAUCGUCGGUAUCCUAUACCUAGUUCAAUCUCGUUACCGGCAAGUCUCUUUACUCGUUCUGUAAUACAUCAUCCCACAACUAACUCAUUAGUUGCAAUGCUUGCAAGGCUUAAGUGAUGUGCAUUACCGAGAGGGCCCAGAGAUACCUCUCCGACAAUCGGAGUGACAAAUCCUAAUCUCGAAAUACGCCAACCCAACAUCUACCUUUGGAGACACCUGUAAUGCUCCUUUAUAAUCACCCAGUUACAUUGUGACGUUUGGUAGCAUCCAAAGUGUUCCUCCGGCAAACGGGAGUUGCAUAAUCUCAUAGUCAUAGGAACAUGUAUAAGUCAUGAAGAAAGCAAUAGCAACAUACUAAACGAUCGUGUGCUAAGCUAAUGGAAUGGGUCAUGUCAAUCAGAUCAUUCAACUAAUGAUGUGACCUCGUUAAUCAAAUAACAACUCUUUUGUCCAUGGUUAGGAAACAUAACCAUCUUUGAUUAACGAGCUAGUCAAGUAGAGGCAUACUAGUGACACUCUGUUUGUCUAUGUAUUCACACAUGUAUUAUGUUUCCGGUUAAUACAAUUCUAGCAUAAAUAAUAAACAUUUAUCAUGAUAUAAGGAAAUAAAUAAUAACUUUAUUAUUGCCUCUAGGGCAUAUUUCCUUCAGCCUCCCACUUGCACUAGAGUCAAUAAUCUAGUUCACAUCGCCAUGUGAUUUAACAGCAAUAGUUCACAUCACCAUGUGAUUAACACCCAUAGUUCACAUCGUCAUGUGACCAACACUCAAAGGGUUUACUAGAGUCAGUAAUCUAGUUCACAUAUCUAUGUGAUUAACACCCAAAGAGUACUAAGGUGUGAUCAUGUUUUGCUUGUGAGAUAAUUUUAGUCAACGGGUCUGUCACAUUUAGAUCCGUAAGUAUUUUGCAAAAUUCUAUGUCUAUAAUGCUCUGCAUGGAGCUACUCUAGCUAAUUGCUCCCACUUUCAAUAUGUAUCCAGAUUGAGACUUUAGAUUCAUCUGGAUCAGUGUCAAAAACUUGCAUCGACGUAACCCUUUACGACGAACCUUUUUGUCACGUCCAUAAUCGAGAAACAUAUCCUUAUUUCACUAAGGAUAAUUCUGACCGCUGUCCAGUGAUCUACUCCUAGAUCACUAUUGUACUCCCUUGCCAAAUCAGUGCAGGGUAUACAAUAGAUCUGGUACACAACAUGGCAUACUUUAUAGAACCUAUGAAUGAGGCAUAGGGAAUGACUUUCAUUCUCUUUCUAUCUUCUGCCGUGGUCGGGCUUUGAGUCUUUACUCAACUUCACACCUUGUAACACAGGCAAGAAACUUUUUCUUUGACUGUUCCAUUUUGAACUACUUCAAAAUCUUGUCAAGGUAUGUACUUAUUGAAAAAACUUAUCAAGCGUCUUGAUCUAUCUCUAUAGAUCUUGAAGCUCAAUAUGUAAGCAGCUUUACCGAAGUCUUUCUUUGAAAAACUCCUUUUCAAACACUACUUUUAUGCUUUACAGAAUAAUUCUACAUUAUUUCCGAUCAACAAUAUGUCAUUCACAUAUACUUAUCAGAAAUGCUGUAGUGCUCCCACUCACUUUCUCGUAAAUACAGGCUUCACUGCAAGUCUGUAUAAAACUAUAUGCUUUCAUCAACUCAUCAAAGCGUAUAUUCCAACUCCGAGAUGUUUGCACCAGUCCACAGAUAGAUCGCUGGAGCUUGCAUAUUUAGUUAACACCUUUAGGAUCGACAAAACCUUCUAGUUGCAUUGUAUACAACUCUUCUUUAGCAAAUCCAUUAAGGAAUGCAGUUUUGUUUAUCCAUUUGCCAGAUUUCAUAAAAUGCGGCAAUUGCUAACAUGAUUCGGACAGACUUAAGCAUAGAUACGAGUGAGAAAAUCUCAUCGUUGUCAACACCUUGAACUUGUCGAAAACCUUUUGCGACAAUUCUAGCUUUGUAGAUAGUAACACUACUAUUAGCGUCCGUCUUCCUCUUGAAUAUCCAUUUAUUUUCUAUGGCUUGCCGAUCAUCGGGCAAGUCAACCAAAGUCCAUAAUUUGUUCUCAUACAUGGAUCAUAUCUCAGAUUUCAUGGCUUCAAGCCACUUUGCGGAAUCUGGGCUCACCAUCGCUUCUUCAUAGUUCGUAGGAUCAUCAUGAUCUAGUAGCAUGACUUCCAGAACAGGAUUACCGUACCACUCUGGCGCGGAUCUUACUCUGGUUGAUCUACGAGGUUCAGUAGUGUCUUGUUCUGAAGUUUCAUGAUCAUCAUCAUUAGCUUCCUCACUAACUGGUGUAGGUGUCACAGAAACAUUUUUCUGUGAUGUACUACUUUCCAAUAAGGGAGCAAGUAUAGUUACCUCGUCAAGUUCUACUUUCCUCCCACUCACUUCUUUCGAGAGAAACUCCUUCUCCAGAAAGUUUCCGAAUUUAGCAACAAAAGUCUUGCCUUCGGAUCUGUGAUAGAAGGUGUAUCCAAUAGUUUCCUUUGGAUAUCCUAUGAAGAUGCACUUCUCCGAUUUGAGUUUUGGGCUUAUCAGGAUGAAACUUUUUCAUAUAAGCAUCGCAACCCCAAACUUUAAGAAACGACAACUUUGGUUUCUUGCCAAACCAUAGUUCAUAAGGCGUCGUCUCGACGGAUAUAGAUGGUGCCCCUUUUUAACGUGAAUGCAGCUGUCUCUAAUGCAUGACCCCAAAAACAAAUAGUGGUAAAUCGGUAAGAGACAUCAUAGAUUGCACUAUAUCCAAUAAAGUACGGUUAUGACGUUCGGACACACCAUUAUGAUGUGGUGUUCCAGGUGGCGUGAGUAGUGAAACUAUUUCACAUUGUUUUAACUGAAGACCAAACUCGUAACUCAAAUAUUUGUCUCCGCGAUCAGAUCGUAGAAACUUUAUUUUCUUGUCACGAUGUUUUUCACUUCACUCUGAAAUUCUUUGAACUUUUCAAAUGUUUCAGACUUAUGUUUCAUCAAGUAGAUAUACUCAUAUCUGCUCAAAUCAUUUGUGAAGAUCAGAAAAUAAUGAUACCUGUCGCGAGCCUCAAUAUUCAUCGGACCACAUACAUCAGUAUGUAUGAUUUCCAACAAAUCUUUUAUCGCUCCAUUGUUCCGGAGAACCGCGUUUUAGUCAUCUUGCCCAAAAGGCAUGGUUCGCAAGCAUCAAGUGAUUCAUAAUCAAGUGAUUCCGAAAGCCCAUCAGCAUGGAGUUUCUUCAUGCGCUUUAUACCAAUAUGACCUAAACAGCAGUGCCACAAAUAAGUUGCACUAUCAUUAUUAACUUUGCAUCUUUUGGUUUCAAUAUUAUGAAUAUGUGUAUUAUUAAGAUCGAGAUCCAAUGAACUAUUUUCAUUGGGUGUGUAACCAUAUACGGUUUUAUUCAUGUAAACAGAACAACAAUUUAUUCUUUUACUUAAAUGAAUAACCGUAUUACAAUAAACAUGAUCAAAUCAUAUUCAUGCUCAACACAAACACCAAAUAACACUUAUUUAGGUUCAACACUAAUCCCGAAAGUAUAGGGGAGUGUGCGAUGAUGAUCAUAUCAAUCUUGGAACUACUUCCAACACACAUCGUCACUUCACCCUAACUAGUCUCUGUUUAUUCUGCAACUCCCGUUUCGAGUUACUACUCUUAGCAACUGAACUAGCAUCAAAUACUAAGGGGUUGCUAUAAACACUAGUAAAGUACACAUCAAUAACAUGUAUAUCAAAUAUACUUAUGUUUACUUUGCCAUCCUUCUUAUCCGCCAAUCAUUUGGGGUAGUUCCGCUUCCAGUGAUCAGUUCCUUUGCAGUAUAAGCACCUAGUCUCAGGCUUAGGAUCAGACUUGGGCUUCUUCACUUGAGCAGCAACUUGCUUGCCGUUCUUCUUGAAGUUCCCCUUCUUCCCUUUGCCCUUUUCUUGAAACUAGUGGUCUUGUCAACCAUCAACACUUGAUGUUUUUCUUGAUUUCUACCUUCGUUGAUUUCAGCAUCAUGAAGAGCUUAGGAAUUACUUUUGUCAUCCCUUGCAUAUUAUAGUUCAUCACAAAGUUCUACUAACUUGGUGAUGGUGACUAGAGAAUUCUGUCAAUCACUAUCUUAUCUGGAAGAUUAACUCCCACUUGAUUCAAGCGAUUGUAGUACUCAGACAAUCUGGGCACAUGCUCACUAGUUGAGCGAUUCUCCUCCAUCUUUUAGCUAUAGAACUUGUUGGAGACUUCAUAUCUCUCAACUCGGGUAUUUGCUUGAAAUAUUAACUUCAACUCCUGGAACAUCUCAUAUGUUCCAUGACGUUCAAAACGUCUUUGAAGUCCCGAUUCUAAGCUAUUAAGCAUCGUGCACUAAACUAUCAAGUAGUUAUCAUAUUGAGCUAGCCAAACGUUCAUAACGUCUGCAUCUGCUCCUGCAAUAGGUCUGUCACCUAGCGGUGCAUCAAGGACAUAAUUCUUCUGUGCAGCAAUGAGGAUAAACCUCAGAUCACGGAUCCAAUCCGCAUCAUUGCUACUAACAUCUUUCAACACAAUUUUCUCUAGGAACAUAUCAAAAUAAACACAGGGAAGCAACAACGCGAGCUAUUGAUCUACAACAUAAUUUGCAAAAUACUACCAGGACUAAGUUCAUGAUAAAUUUAAGUUCAAUUAAUCAUAUUACUUAAGAACUCCCACUUAGAUAGAUAUCCCUCUAAUCCUCUAAGUGAUCACGUGAUCCAAAUCAACUAAACCAUAACCGAUCAUCACGUGAGAUGGAGUAGUUUCAAUGGUGAACAUCACUAUGUUGAUCAUAUCUACUAUAUGAUUCACGCUCGACCUUUCGGUCUCCGUGUUCCGAGGCCAUAUCUGUAUAUGCUUGGCUCGUCAAGUAUGACCUGAGUAUUCCGCGUGUGCAACUGUUUUGCACCCGUUGUAUUUGAACGUAGAGCCUAUCACACCCGAUCAUCACGUGGUGUCUCAGCACGAAGAACUUUCGCAACGGUGCAUACUCAGGGAGAACACUUCUUGAUAAUUUAGUGAGAGAUCAUCUUAUAAUGCUACCGUCAAUCAAAGCAAGAUAAGAUGCAUAAAAGAUAAACAUCAUAUGCAAUCAAAAUAUGUGACAUGAUAUGGCCAUCAUCAUCUUGCUUCUUUGAUCUCCAUCUCCAAAGUACUGUCAUGAUCUAUAUCGUUACCGGCAUGACACCAUGAUCUCCAUCAUCUUGAUCUAUAUCAAUGUGUCGUCACGUGGUCGUCUCGCCAACACUUGCUCUUGCAACUAUUGCUAUCGCAUAGCGAUAAAGUAAAGCAAUUAUUGGGCGCUUGCAUCUUAUGCAAUAGACAGACAACCAUAAGGCUUUUGCCAGUUGCCGAUAAGUUCAACAAAACAUGAUCAUCUUAUAUAACAACUUAUAACUCAUCACGUUUUGACCAUAUCACAUCACAACAUGCCCUGCAAAAACAAGUUAGACGUCCUCUACUUUGUUGUUGCAAAUUUUACGUGGCUGCUACGGGCUUAAGCAAGAACCAAUCUCACCUACGCAUCAAAACCACAACGAUAGUUUGUCAAAUAGACUCCGUUUUAACCUUCGCAAGGACCGGGCGUAGCCACACUUGGUUUAACUAAAGUUGGAGAGACAGUCGCCCGCAAGCCAUCUAUGUGCAAAGCACGUCGAGGGAACCGGUCUCACGUAAGCGUACGUGUAAGGUUGGCCCGGGUCGUCUCGUCCAACAAUACCGCCGAACCAAAGUAUGACAUGCUGGUAGGCAGUAUGACUUGUAUCGCCCACAACUCACUUGUGUUCUACUCGUGCAAAUAACAUCAAACCAUAAAACCUAGGCUCGGAUGCCACUGUUGGGGAACGUAGUAAUUUCAAAAAAUUUCCUACGCACACGCAAGAUCAUGGUGAUGCAUAGCAACGAGGGGGAGAGUCUGGUCUACGUACCCUUGUAGAUCGCAACGGAAGCGUUGAUACAACGUAGAGGAAGUAGUCGUACGUCUUCUUCCCGAUCCGACCGAUCCAAGCACCGUUACUCCGGCACCUCCGAGUUCUUAGCACACGUUCAGCUCGAUGACGAUCCUCGGGCUCCGAUCCAGCAAAGCGUCGAGGAAGAGUUCCGUCAGCACGACGGCGUGGUGACGAUCUUGAUGUACUACCGACGCAGGGCUUCGCCUAAGCACUACAACGGUAUGAUCGAGGUGGAAUUUGGUGGCAGGGGGCACCGCACACGGCUAAGGAACGAUCUCAAGGAUCAACUUGUGUGUCUAUGGGGUGCCCCCUGCCCCUGUAUAUAAAGGAUGGAGAAGGAGGAGGCCGUCCAAGGCAAAGGUGCGGCCAGGAUAGGGAGUCCUACUAGGACUCCAAGUCCUAGUAGGAGUCCACCAAAAGGGGAGGAAGGGAGAAGGAAUAGGAGGAGAAGGAGAGGUGGCCGGCCCCCUUUUCCCUAGUCCAAUUCGGACCAAAGGGGAGGGGGGGCGCAGCAGCCUUUUCCUCUUCCCACUAAAGCCCAUCAACGCCCAUUACCUCUCCCGUAACUACCCGGUACUCCGAAAAAUACCCGAAUCACUCGGAACCUUUCCGAUGUCCGAAUAUAGUCGUCCAAUAUAUCGAUCUUUACGUCUCGACCAUUUCGAGACUCCUUGUCAUGUCCCCAAUCUCAUCCGGGACUCCGAACUCCUUCGGUACAUCAAAACUCAUAAACUCAUAAUAUAACUGUCAUCGAAACCUUAAGCGUGCGGACCCUACGGUUCGAGAACAAUGUAGACAUGACCGAGACACGUCUCCGGUCAAUAACCAAUAGCGGGACCUGGAUGCCCAUAUUGGCUCCUACAUAUUCUACGAAGAUCUUUAUCGGUCAGACCGCAUAACAACAUACGUUGUUCCCUUUGUCAUCGGUAUGUUACUUGCCCGAGAUUCGAUCGUCGGUAUCCAAUACCUAGUUCAAUCUCGUUACCGGCAAGUCUCUUUACUCGUUCUGUAAUACAUCAUCCCACAACUAACUCAUUAGUUGCAAUGCUUGCAAGGCUUAAGUGAUGUGCAUUACCGAGAGGGCCCAGAGAUACCUCUCCGACAAUCGGAGUGACAAAUCCAAAUCUCGAAAUACGCCAACCCAACAUCUACCUUUGGAGACACCUGUAAUGCUCCUUUAUAAUCACCCAGUUACGUUGUGACGUUUGGUAGCACCCAAAGUGUUCCUCCGGCAAACGGGAGUUGCAUAAUCUCAUAGUCAUAGGAACAUGUAUAAGUCAUGAAGAAAGCAAUAGCAACAUACUAAACGAUCGUGUGCUAAGCUAAUGGAAUGGGUCAUGUCAAUCAGAUCAUUCAACUAAUGAUGUGACCUCGUUAAUCAAAUAACAACUCUUUUGUCCGUGGUUAGGAAACAUAACCAUCUUUGAUUAACGAGCUAGUCAAGUAGAGGCAUACUAGUGACACUCUGUUUGUCUAUGUAUUCACACAUGUAUUAUGUUUCCGGUUAAUACAAUUCUAGCAUGAAUAAUAAACAUUUAUCAUGAUAUAAGGAAAUAAAUAAUAACUUUAUUAUUGCCUCUAGGGCAUAUUUCCUUCAGUUACGUCUCUCUCUCUUGUAGUAUAGGCGAAGCCCUGCUACUGUGACGCCCUGCAUCCACCACCACGCCGUCGUGCUGCUGGAUCAUCAUCAACCUCUCCUCCCCCCUUGCUGGAUCAAGAAGGAGGAGACGUCUCCCGUCCCAUACGUGUGUUGAACACGGAGGUGCCGUCCGUUCGGCACUCGGUCAUCGGUGAUUUGGAUCACGUCGUGUUCGACUACAUCAUCCCCGUUCUUUGAACGCUUCCGCACGCGAUCUACAAAGGUAUGUAGAUGCAUCUGAUGACUCGUUGCUAGAUGAACUCCUAGAUGGAUCUUGCUGAAACGAGUAGGAAAUUUUUUGUUUUCUGCAACGUUCCCCAACAGUGGCAUCAUGAGCUAGGUCUAUGCGUAGUUCUUCUUGCGCGAGUAGAACACAAUUUGUUGUGGGCGUGGAUUUGUCAACUUUCUUGCCGCUACUAGUCUUUUCUUGCUUCAGCGGUAUUGUGGGAUGAAGCGGCCCGGACCAACCUUACACGUACGCUUACGUAAGACCGGUUCCACGGACUAACAUGCACUAGUUGCAUAAGGUGGCUGGCGGGUGCCUAUCUCUCCUACUUUAGUUGGAGCGGAUUCGAUGAACAGGGUCCUUAUGAAGGGUAAAUAGAAGUUGACAAAUCACGUUGUGGCUUUCACGUAGGUAAGAAAACGUUCUUGCUAGAACCCUAAUUCAGCCACGUAAAACUUGCAACAACAAUUAGAGGACGUCUAACUUGUUUUUGCAGCAAGUGGUUUGUGAUAUGAUAUGGCCAAAGUUGUGAUGAAUGAUGAAUGAUCUAUAUGUGAUGUAUGAGAUGUUCAUGCUAUUGUAAUAGGAAUCACGACUUGCAUGUCGAUGAGUAUGACAACCGGCAGGAGCCAUAGGAGUUGUCUUUAUUUUUUGUAUGACCUGCGUGUCAUUGAGAAACGCCAUGUAAAUUACUUUACUUUAUUGCUAAACGUGUUAGCCAUAGUAGUAGAAGUAAUAGUUGGCGAGCAACUUCAUGGAGACACGAUGAUGGAGAUCAUGGUGUCAAGCCGGUGACAAGAUGAUCAUGGAGCCCCAAGAUGGAGAUCAAAGGAGCUAUGUGAUAUUGGCCAUAUCAUGUCACGUUUAUUAUUUGAUUGCAUGUGAUGUUUAUCAUGUUUUGCAUCUUGUUUACUUAGAACGACGGUAGUAAAUAAGAUGAUCCCUCAUAACAAUUUCAAGAAGUGUUCUCCCCUAACUGUGCACCGUUGCUAAAGUUCGUCGUUUCAAAGCACCACGUGAUGAUCGGGUGUGAUAGAUUCUUACGUUCACAUACAACGGGUGUAAGACAGUUUUACACAUGCAAAACACUUAGGGUUAACUUGACGAGCCUAGCAUGUGUAUAGACAUGGCCUCGGAACACAGAAGACCGAAAGGUCGAGCAUGAGUCGUAUAGAAGAUACGAUCAACAUGAAGAUGUUCACCGACGUUGACCAGUCCGUCUCACGUGAUGAUCGGACACGGCCUAGUUAACUCGGAUCAUGUAAUACUUAGAUGACUAGAGGGAUGUCUAAUCUAAGUGGGAGUUCAUUAUAUAAUUUGAUUACAUGAACUUUAUUAUCAUGAACUUAGUCUAAAAUAUUUUACAAUAUGUCUUGUAGAUCAAAUGGCCCACGUAGUCCUCAACUUCAACGCGUUCCUAGAGAAAACCAAGCUGAAAGACGAUGGCAACAACUAUACGGACUGGGUCCGGAACCUGAGGAUCAUCCUCAUAGCUGCCAAGAAAGAUUACGUCCUACAAGCACCGCUAGGUGAAGCUCCCGUCCCACAGAACCAAGACGUUAUGAACGCUUGGCAGACACGUGUUGACGACUACUCCCUCGUUCAGUGCGGCAUGCUUUACAGUUUAGAGCCGGGGCUCCAAAAGCGUUUUGAGAGACAUGGAGCAUAUGAGAUGUUCGAAGAGCUGAAAAUGGUUUUCCAAGCUCAUGCCCGGGUCGAGAGAUAUGAGGUCUCCGACAAGUUCUUCAGCUGUAAGAUGGAGGAAAAUAGUUCUGUCAGUGAGCACAUACUCACUAUGUCUGGGUUACAUAACCGCUUGACUCAGCUGGGAGUUAAUCUCCCGGAUGAUGCGGUCAUUGACAGAAUCCUCCAGUCGCUUCCACCAAGCUACAAGAGCUUUGUGAUGAACUUCAACAUGCAGGGGAUGCAAAAGACCAUUCCUGAGUUGUUUUCAAUGCUGAAAUCAGCGGAAGUAGAAGUCAAGAAGGAACAUCAAGUGUUGAUGGUCAAUAAAACCACUAAGUUCAAGAAAGGCAAGGGUAAAAAGAACUUCAAGAAGGACGGCAAGGAAGUUGCCGCGCCCGGCAAGCAAGCUGCCGGGAAGAAGCCAAAGAAUGGACCCAAGCCCGAGACUGAGUGCUUUUAUUGCAAGGGAAGCGGUCACUGGAAGCGGAACUGCCCCAAAUACUUAGCAGACAAGAAGGCCGGCAAAACAAAAGGUAUAUGUGAUAUACAUGUAAUUGAUGUGUACCUUACCAGUGAUCGUAGUAGCUCUUGGGUAUUUGAUACCGAUGUAGUUGCUCACAUUUGUAACUCACAGCAGGAACUACGGAAUAAGCGGAGACUGGCAAAGGACGAGGUGACGAUGCGCGUCGGGAAUGGUUCCAAAGUCGAUGUGAUCGCCGUCGGCACGCUACCUCUUCAUUUACCUACGGGAUUAGUUUUAAACAUCAAUAAUUGUUAUUUAGUACCAGCUUUGAGCAUGAACAUUGUAUCGGGAUCUCGUUUAAUUCGAGAUGGCUACUCAUUUAUAUCCGAGAAUAAUGGUUGUUCUAUUUAUAUGAGAGAUAUGUUUUAUGGUCAUGCUCCUAUGGUGAAUGGUUUAUUCUUUAUGAAUCUCAAACGUAAUGCUACACAUGUUCAUAGUGUGAGUACCAAAAGAUGUAAGGUUGAUAAUGAUAGUCCCACAUACUUGUGGCACUGCCGCCUUGGUCACAUAGGUGUCAAACGCAUGAAGAAGCUCCAUGCAGAUGGACUUUUAGAGUCUCUUGAUUAUGAAUCAUUUGACACGUGCGAACCAUGCCUUAUGGGUAAAAUGACCAAGACUCCGUUCUCAGGAACAAUGGAGCGAGCAACCAACUUAUUGGAAAUCAUAAAUAUUGAUGUGUGCGGUCCAAUGAGUGUUGAGGCUCGUGGUGGCUAUCGUUAUGUUCUCACCCUCACUGAUGACUUGAGUAGAUAUGGGUAUGUCUACUUGAUGAAACACAAGUCUGAAACCUUUGAAAAGUUCAAGGAAUUUCAGAAUGAGGUUGAGAAUCAACGUGACAAGAAAAUCAAGUUUCUACGAUCAGAUCAUGGAGGAGAAUACUUGACUCAUGAAUUUGGCACACACUUAAGAAAAUGUGGAAUAGUUUCACAACUCACGCCGCCUGGAACACCUCAGCGUAAUGGUGUGUCCGAACGUCGUAAUCGCACUCUAUUAGAUAUGGUGCGGUCUAUGAUGUCUCUUACCGAUCUACCGCUAUCUUUUUGGGGCUAUGCUUUAGAGACUGCUGCAUUCACUUUAAAUAGGGCUCCGUCAAAAUCCGUUGAGACGACACCGUUUGAAUUGUGGUUUGGGAAGAAACCUAAGUUGUCGUUUCUGAAAGUUUGGGGAUGCGAUGCUUAUGUCAAGAAACUUCAACCUGAAAAGCUCGAACCCAAGUCGGAAAAAUGCGUCUUCAUAGGAUACCCAAAAGAAACUAUUGGGUAUACCUUCUACCUCAGAUCCGAAGGCAAGAUCUUUGUUGCCAGGAAUGGAUCCUUUCUAGAGAAGGAGUUUCUCUCGAAAGAAGUAAGUGGGAGGAAAGUAGAACUUGAUGAAGUGUUACCUCUUGAACCGGAAAAUGGCGCAACUCAAGAAAAUGUUCCUGAGGUGCCUGCACCGACUAGAGAGGAAGUUAAUGAUGAUGAUCAUGAAACUUCUAAUCAAGUUGCUACUGAACUUCGAAGGUCCACAAGGACACGUUCCGCACCAGAGUGGUACGGCAACCCUGUCUUGGAAAUCAUGUUAUUAGACAACGGUGAACCUUCGAACUAUGAAGAAGCGAUGGCGGGCCCGGAUUCCGACAAAUGGCUAGAAGCCAUGAAAUCCGAGAUAGGAUCCAUGUAUGAAAACGAAGUAUGGACUUUGACUGACUUGCCCGUUGAACGGCGAGCCAUAGAGAAUAAAUGGAUCUUUAAGAAGAAGACAGACGCGGAUGGUAAUGUGACCAUCUAUAAAGCUCGGCUUGUCGCUAAGGGUUAUCGACAAGUUCAAGGGGUUGACUACGAUGAGAGUUUCUCACCGGUAGCGAAGCUAAAGUCCGUCCGAAUCAUGUUAGCAAUUGCCGCAUUUUACGAUUAUGAAAUAUGGCAAAUGGACGUCAAAACGGCAUUCCUUAAUGGUUUCCUUAAGGAAGAAUUGUAUAUGAUGCAGCCGGAAGGUUUUGUCGAUCCUAAGAAUGCUAACAAGGUGUGCAAGCUCCAACGCUCAAUUUAUGGGCUGGUGCAAGCAUCUCAUAGUUGGAACAUUCGCUUUGAUGAGAUGAUCAAAGCGUUUGGGUUUACGCAGACUUAUGGAGAAGCCUGCGUUUACAAGAAAGUGAGUGGGAGCUCUGUAGCAUUUCUCAUAUUAUAUGUAGAUGACAUACUUUUGAUGGGAAAUGAUAUAGAACUCUUGGACAGCAUCAAGGCCUACUUGAAUAAGAGUUUUUCAAUGAAGGACCUUGGAGAAGCUGCUUAUAUAUUAGGCAUCAAAAUCUAUAGAGAUAGAUCGAGACGCCUCAUAGGUCUUUCACAAAGCACAUACCUUGAUAAGAUAUUGAAGAAGUUCAAUAUGGAUCAAUCUAAUAAGGGGUUCUUGCCUGUGUUACAAGGUAUGAAAUUGAGCUCAGCUCAAAGUCCGACCACGGCAGAAGAAAUAGAAGAGAUGAGUGUCAUCCCCUAUGCCUCAGCCAUAGGUUCUAUUAUGUAUGCCAUGCUGUGUACCAGACCUGAUGUAAACCUUGCCGUAAGUUUGGUAGGAAGGUACCAAAGUAAUCCCGACAAGGAACACUGGACAGCGGUCAAGAAUAUCCUGAAGUACCUGAAAAGGACUAAGGAAAUGUUUCUCGUUUAUGGAGGUGACGAAGAGCUCGUCGUAAAGGGUUACGUCGAUGCUAGCUUCGACACAGAUCUGGAUGACUCAAAGUCACAAACCGGAUACGUGUAUAUUUUGAAUGGUGGGGCAGUAAGCUGGUGCAGUUGCAAGCAGAGCGUCGUGGCGGGAUCUACAUGUGAAGCGGAGUACAUCGCAGCCUCGGAGGCAGCACAUGAAGCAAUAUGGGUGAAGGAGUUCAUCACCGACCUCGGAGUCAUACCCAAUGCGUCGGGGCCGAUCAAGCUCUUCUGUGACAACACUGGAGCUAUUGCACUUGCCAAGGAGCCCAGGUUUCACAAGAAGACAAGGCACAUCAAGCGUCGCUUCAACUCCAUUCGUGAAAAUGUUCAAGAUGGAGACAUAGAUAUUUGUAAAGUACAUACGGACCUGAAUGUAGCAGAUCCGUUGACUAAACCUCUCCCUAGGGUAAAACAUGAUCAACACCAGAAUUCCAUGGGUGUUCGAUUCAUCACAAUGUAACUAGAUUAUUGACUCUAGUGCAAGUGGGAGACUGUUGGAAAUAUUCCCUAGAGGCAAUAAUAAAAGCAUUAUUAUUAUAUUUCCUUGUUCAUGAUAAUUGUCUUUAUUCAUGCUAUAAUUGUGUUAUGCGGAAAUCGUAAUACAUGUGUGAAUAACAGACACCAACAUGUCCCUAGUAAGCCUCUAGUUGACUAGCUCGUUAAUCAACAGAUAGUCAUGGUUUCCUGGCUAUGGACAUAGGAUGUCAUUGAUAACGAGAUCACAUUAUUAGGAGAAUUAUGUGGUGGACAAGACCCAAUCCUAAACAUAGCAUAGAGAUCGUGUAGUUCGUUUGCUAGAGUUUUGCAAUGUCAAGUAUCUUUUCCUUAGACCAUGAGAUCGUGUAACUCCCAGAUACCGUAGGAGUGCUUUGGGUAUACCAAACGUCACAACGUAACUGGGUGACUAUAAAGGUAGACUACGGGUAUCUCCGAAAGUGUCUGUUGGGUUGACACGGAUCAAGACUGGGAUUUGUCACUCCGUAUGACGGAGAGGUAUCACUGGGCCCACUCGGUAAUGCAUCAUCAUAAUGAGCUCAAAGUGACCAAGUGUCUGGUCACGGGAUCAUGCAUUACGGUACGAGUAAAGUGACUUGCCGGUAACGAGAUUGAACGAGGUAUUGGGAUACCGACGAUCGAAUCUCGGGCAAGUAAUAUAUCAAUUGACAAAGGGAAUUGCAUACGGGGUUGAUUGAAUCCUCGACAUCGUGGUUCAUCCGAUGAUAUCAUCGUGGAGCAUGUGGGAGCUGAUGUAGUCAUAUACCUACGGUAGGGACACGGACCCGUCCUAAAGAGCCCUAUCGUAGGACGUCCUUAAAGGAAGUCACCUUUCAGACAACUUGAAGAUAUCCCACUCGACGGGGCCAACGCACUCGACUAAGAAGCUGUCACUCGACCAACAAGCCAACCACUCGACCGCCAGGGGAUCUCAAAUCGCUCCCAGGCAAACGGUCAGCUAUUAAGUAGUCUUUAUGAUCAUCAUGACGCUUUAUUAGGGACGUUAUCAGUAACGCCCACCUUAAAUAUACCUUAAACCCUGCAUUACUGAGGGCAAGAGAGGGCUGGCGAACUCUAUAUAAGCCACCCCCUCCUCAGUAUGAAGGGUUCGCACCCCUGUAAUCUUACUCACGCAUAAUCCAAUCGACCGCCUCCGGGCACCAAGACGUAGGGCUGUUACUUCCUCAGAGAAGGGCCCGAACUCGUAAACCUUGCGUGCUUACAACUUCCCAAUAGCUAAGGCCUAGCCUCUUCAUACAUACCCCCCUACCUCACUGUCAGACUUAGAACCACGACAGUUGGCGCCCACCGUGGGGCAGUAGUCUUAGCGCCUAAUUUGGAGAAGUUGCGAUUUUCGUCGAUCCACUCAAUCAUGUUUUCCUGCGGAGCCUUGGCGGCGGGCCGCGAGAUCCGUCUCGGCCGACUUACUUUCAUCGCCGACGACUCCGCUUGGCUCCAGGAGGCGCCGCUCGACGUCGACGCACUCCCCGUCCGCGGUGCGACGCACUUCCGCGCGUGCAUCCGUGGCGUCCUCCUGAGGCAGCCCUCGACCCCUUAUCGGUCGACUCCCGUGCCAUCUCCCCCUCCUGUCUCCCGCCAGCGCAAGCGCUCGGGUCGGUCGAGGCUCCAGCGGUGGAUGAAGCGCGCCCUGGCCCGCCAGUCGGCGACCCAGCAGGUCGCUACAAUCGAGCCUAACGAAUCCCUCUGCGGCCUGUUCGAUCUGUCGACUGGCUCCAUGGAGUCCGCUUCCGAGUGCGACAGCAGCGACCCUCUGGCAGAGGUCCUGGCGGUCGAAGGGACGCGCAGUCCCCCCGGAUUCCCUCGUACUGACGAUGGUGCCGACAGGGGCGAUCCGUCGCGCCCUCACGACGAAUAUCUCCCCGAACCUCUGACGUCGCUGCAGCGGGAGGAGCUUCGUCGCCGGAACAUGGACGCACUCUACACACCUAUUGUUGGAGAAACCCCCGAGGCCCGGGCCUUGGAGGAUGCGCGCUUGGCUAAUCUAGCCGAGCGCACUCGACUAGAGAACCUACAGCGAGCUCUCGACGAGCAGGCGCGUCAGCGGGCUCCCGAGUCCAGUCGACGUCAGCGGGCUCCCGAGUCUAGUCGACGCCAACCGGCACUCGAACCCAGUCGACGGCAGCUCUUCCCGUCACCACAGGUGUACCGAACUCCGGUUUAGAACCUGGCUGCCGCGGCCCGCAUAGCGGAGUCGAUCCAGCCCUCCCAGUCGGAGGCCGGAAGAGGAUUGCUGCAGAUCAGAGCUUUGCUCCGAGCAGCGGGGAAUCAGAAUUCCGCCGUCUCUCAGUCGCGGGACAGGAUCCACAGUCGAUCCGUCGCAACGGAGACCGUCUAGUCGGCUCACAGCCCGAGAUCGCCCCCGAGGCGUGAGGGGCGUGGAGACCGGCACGAUCGGCAUAGGGGGAACGAGCAAUACGAUCACCGACUCAACCGUGAUGAUGGGCGUCGGGUGCCUUCCCCUCCUCUACGGAGUGGAUCGUAUGCACCUCGACAUCAAGACGACAGGCGCCCUCAUCACACUGGGCAGAGGGUCCUAGUCGACCCCAGAGACCCAGGCUUUGACGCGAGAUCCAUCCUCGUUCAAGGUCUGGUGGACAGGAACAGGGCUCAUCGUGAGGGCCACAACAGAGAUACGCCUACCGACAGUAGGGCACAUGCCUCGGGGCCUGAGUGUUUCAGUCGAGCCAUCAGAGCCGCGGUGAUCCCACCCAACUUCCGGAUGGCGACUGGAAUCAGCAAGUUCACCGGCGAGUCCAAGCCUGACACGUGGCUCGAAGAUUACCGAGUGGCUGUGCAGAUCGGUGGCGGCAACGACGAGGUGGCCAUGAAGCAUUUACCCCUCAUGUUGGAAGGCUCAGCUAGGGCGUGGCUAAAUCAGCUGGCGCCCAGCAGCAUUUACACUUGGGAGGAUCUCUCCCGAGUGUUUGUUACAACCUUCGAAGGGACAUGCAAGCGCCCUGCAGGCCUUACAGAGCUGCGGUCUUGCAUACAGAAGCCGAAUGAAACACUGAGGGAAUACAUCCAAAGGUGGAUCACACUGCACCACUCGGUCGAAAACGUUCCUGACCAUCAAGCAGUCUGCGCUUUCAAGGAAGGGGUCAAGUACAGGGAGUUGAAUCUGAAAUUUGGCCGGACCGGAGAGAUGUCCCUUAAUCAGAUGAUGGAGAUUGCCACCAAGUACGCUAAUGGAGAAGACGAAGACCGACUCCGAAGCGGCAAACUUAAAUCAGUCGCCCAAGAAACCGGAGGAAACUCCAGUCGGAAGCAAAAGCGGAAGGCCGAGCCAGCCGCUCCCGGGGAGGCCUUAGCUGUGGCUCAGGGAAACUUCAAGGGGAAACCCAAGAACACUUGGAAGCCCAAGAAAGUCAAGGAUCAGGAUGGGAAUGAUGUUUUGGAUUUGCCAUGUCACAUCCACACCAAGAAAGACGAAGAGGGUAAUUUUAUUUAUCCCAAACAUACCACUCGACAAUGCCGGCUCCUGAUCCAACAGUUUCAGGGCAAGCAGCCCAAGGAUAAAGAGAAAGAGCCGGACAGAGUUGAGGACAGGGAUGAUAGUGACGAUGGAUACCCCCAGGUCAAUUCCACCCUGAUGAUUUUUGCCGAUGUCGAAAGCAAAAGUCGACUGAAAGUCAUUAACCGGGAAGUGAACAUGGUUGCCCCUGCAACUCCCAGUUACCUAAAGUGGUCCCAGACGGCCAUCACGUUCGACCAAUCCGAUCAUCCAACCCACAUUGCCACCCCUGGGAGGCAAGCUUUGGUGGUCGACCCAGUUGUCGAAGGCACUCGACUGACCAAAGUCCUAAUGGACGGUGGCAGUGGCCUGAACAUACUGUACGCGGAAACCUUGAAAGGAAUGGGCAUUCCGAUGUCCAGACUCAGCGCCAGUAACAUGAGUUUCCACGGAGUCAUUCCUGGGAAGAAAGCCGAGUCACUCGGCCAAAUUGCUCUUGACGUGGUUUUCGGUGAUUCAAAGAAUUACCGCAAAGAAAAGUUAACGUUUGAAGUCGUGGACUUCCAGAGUGCUUACCACGCCAUCUUGGGCAGACCGGCUUAUGCACGCUUCAUGGCUCGACCAUGCUACGUGUAUCUUAAAUUAAAGAUGCCUUGUCCCAAAGGUGUGAUCAUUGUUACAGGCAACCGGAAGAAGGCGGAGGAAUGUUUCCGGAAGGGAUCAAAGAUCGCCGACGCUCAGAUGGCAGUAGUCGAGCUGAAAGAGUACCAGAAGACUAUCGACCCGAGUGAAUUGCUGCGGGCUAAGAAGCCUGCCUUCGAGUCAGCUUUUCAGUCGGCCGGCGAAACGAAGACGGUCCACAUUCACCCGACCGACCCCGACGCAGCUCCGACUCACAUCUCAACAACUCUCGACUCCAAAUAGGAAGAAGCGCUCAUCCAGCUCCUCCGUGAGAACUGGGACAUCUUCGCAUGGAAACCCUCUGACAUGCCCGGAGUUCCCAGGGGGCUGGCUGAGCACCGCCUACGAGUCGACUCAAAGUUCAAACCCGUGAAGGAACAUCUGCGACGGUCCGCCGUCCAGAAAAAACAAGCUAUCGGCGAAGAGGUGGCUCGGCUCUUAGCAGCUGAGUUCUUUCGAGAGAUCUACCACUCCGAGUGGCUCGCCAAUGUUGUCAUGGUCCCCAAGAAGGACAAGUCACUCCGCAUGUGCAUUGAUUUCAAGCAUAUCAAUCGGGCCUGCCCGAAAGAUCAUUUUCCUCUUCCUCGCAUCGACCAAAUUGUCGACUCAACUGCGGGAUGUGAGAGAUUGUCUUUUCUAGAUGCCUAUUCCGGGUACCAUCAGAUCCGUCUGUAUGGACCCGACGAAAUCAAAACAGCUUUCAUCACUCCAUUCGGAUGCUUCUGUUACGUCACCAUGCCGUUCGGCCUCAAGAACACCGGAGCCACAUUCAUGAGAAUGAUCCAGAAGUGUUUACUCACUCAAAUCAGUCGGAAUGUGGAGGCGUACAUGGACGAUAUCGUAGUCAAGUCUCGGAAAGGUUCCGACCUACGGGCUGACCUUACUGAAACCUUCGCCAACCUCAGGAGGUACGAUAUCAAGCUCAAUCCGUCAAAAUGCACUUUCGGAGUUCCAGGUGGCAAGCUACUCGGUUUUCUCGUUUCCGAACGGGGAAUCGACGCCAAUCCUGAAAAAAUUGGAACCAUACUCCGGAUGAAGCGUCCUGUACGUGUGCAUGAUGUCCAAAAACUUACAGGUUGCUUGGCCGCCUUAAGUCGAUUCAUCUCUCGACUCGGUGAAAAAGCGUUGCCUCUUUACCGACUGAUGAAAAAGUCCGACAAGUUCGAAUGGACUCCAGAAGCUGAUGCAGCGUUUGUGGAGCUCAAAGCUCUGCUCUCCACCCAGCCGGUGCUAGCUGCUCCAAUCAGCAAAGAGCCUCUGCUGCUUUAUAUUGCAGCCACGGGACAAGUUGUCAGUACAGUACUUACGGUCGAGAGAGAAGAGGAAGGGAAGGCCUUCAAAGUUCAACGCCCUGUUUAUUAUGUGUCUGAAGUUUUGACCCCUUCAAAACAAAGAUACCCCCACUACCAGAAGCUUGUAUAUGGGAUUUACAUGACCACGAAGAAAGUUGCACACUAUUUCUCUGACCACUCCAUUACAGUCGUCAGCGACGCUCCAUUAUCGGAGAUCCUGCAUAACAGAGAUGCAACUGGUCGAGUGGCCAAAUGGGCGAUUGAACUCCUUCCUUUGGACAUCAAGUUUGAAGCAAAGAAAGCCAUCAAGUCUCAAGCAAUCGCUGAUUUUAUCGCCGAGUGGAUUGAACAGCAACUUCCGACUCAAGUUCACUCGAAACACUGGACUAUGUUCUUCGAUGGAUCCAAGAUGCUGAAUGGUUCGGGCGCGGGAGUAGUUCUGGUCUCCCCCCGAGGAGACAAGCUCAGAUACGUUCUCCAGAUUCACUUCGAUUCCUCCAAUAACGAAGCAGAAUAUGAAGCACUUUUGUAUGGGUUGCGCAUGGCCAUUUCACUCGGCGUCCGUCGCCUCAUGGUCUAUGGCGACUCAGAUCUGGUGGUUAAUCAAGUGAUGAAGGAAUGGGAUGUCAGGAGACCGGCAAUGACUGGAUACUACAAUGCAGUACGGAAGCUAGAGAAGAAGUUCGAGGGGUUGGAACUCCACCACAUCCCUCGACUGAAAAACCAGGCAGCCGACGACUUGGCAAAGAUAGGCUCCAAGAGAGAAGCCGUUCCAAGCAACGUGUUCUUGGAACACAUUCACUCGCCGUCAGUACAAGAAGAUCCUUUCACAGAAGAAGCCCCGCAGCCAAAAAGUGCCGCGGACCCGACUGAAGUUGAAGUGCCUGCAGUGGUCGACCUGAUCAUGGAAGUCUUGGCAAUCACCCCCGACUGGACGAUACCAUACAUUGCAUAUAUCCUAAGGAAAGAACUCUCGGAGGACAAGGAGGAGGCUCGACAGAUCGUCCGUCGAUCUAAGGCCUUCACAGUCAUAAGGGGACAGCUGUACAGAGAAAGUGCGUCCGGAGUCGGCCAGAAAUGCAUAACGCCAGAAGAAGGUCAAAUAAUCCUCAACGAUAUCCACUCGGGAACUUGCGGUCACCAUGCGUCCUCUCGGACCAUUGUGGCUAAAGCAUACCGAGCUGGAUUUUAUUGGCCAAGGGCAAAUGAGAUGGCAAAAGAGAUAGUCGACAGGUGCGAGGGCUACCAGUUCUACUCCAACAUCUCACACAAGCCCGCGUCAGCCCUGAAAACCAUUCCGCUCGUCUGGCCCUUUGCCGUCUGGGGAUUGGACAUGGUUGGCCCCUUGAGAACGGGCAGGAGUGGGUUCACUCACGUGCUUGUGGCAGUCAACAAGUUUACCAAAUGGAUCGAAGCUAAGCCCAUAAAGAGCCUUGACGCUAGCACCGCUAUCAGUUUCGUCAGAGGGUUGACAUUCAGAUAUGGAGUCCCACACAGCAUCAUCACUGAUAACGGGUCAAACUUUGAUUCGGACGAUUUCAGGGCAUUUUGCGCUUCUCAAGGCACACGAGUCGACUACGCCUCAGUCGCUCAUCCCCAGUCGAAUGGACAGGCUGAGAGAGCAAAUGGUCUGAUUCUCAAAGGGCUAAAACCUCGGCUGAUGCGCGAUCUCAAGCACGCGGCAGGCGCUUGGGUCGACGAGCUUCCGUCAGUACUGUGGGGAUUAAGGACUACCCCUAACCGGUCGACUGGAAGGACCCCGUUCUUUCUGGUUUAUGGAGCCGAAGCUGUCCUGCCAAGCGAUCUCCUUCACAAUGCGCCUCGAGUUGAACUUUACACCGAAGAUGAAGCAGAGCAGGCCCGGCAAGACGCAGUCGACCUCUUGGAGGAAGAAAGGGAGAUGGCAAUGAUCAGAUCGACCAUUUACCAGCAGGACUUGCGUCGGUUCCACGCCCGGAAUGUGAAGAGUCGAGCCUUUCAAGAAGGAGAUUUGGUCCUCCGAGUGGAUCAACAGAAACCUCACAAGCUCGCUCCCACUUGGGAAGGCCCCUUCAUCAUCACCAGAGUCCUCCACAAUGGAGCAUACCAUCUUUACAAUGUUGAUCGACAAACCGACGAACCUCGAGCUUGGAACGCGGAGCUUCUCCGCCCCUUUUACACUUGAGUCCGCUCUUAUACCAGAUGUAAUAAGAAAAACUCCUAAGGUUCAUUUUUAUCAGAAAUAAGAGUGUUCCAAUAAUUGUUGUCACUGUUGUAUGUGUCCGAAAUCCCCCAGUGGGUGACUUAGUUGCAAAUCCGGUUCGCCUAAGUUUGAAAAUUCCUACCGAGUGGAGAGCAACCCUCCCACUCGGGGGGCUUAGCUGCAGUUCAGCACUCGCCUAAGUUCUCCACGAGGAGACUUAGCUGCAGUCAGACACUCGCCUAAGUUUGAAAAAUCCUACCGAGUGGAGAGUAACCCUCCCACUCGGGGGCUUAGCUGCAGUUCAGCACUCGCCUAAGUUCCCCACGAGGAGACUUAGCUGCAGUCAGACACUCGCCUAAGUUUGAAAAAUCCUACCGAGUGGAGAGCAACCCUCCCACUCGGGGGCUUAGCUGCAGUUCAGCACUCGCCUAAGUUCUCCACGAGGAGACUUAGCUGCAGUCAGACACUCGCCUAAGUUUGAAAAAUCNNNNNNNNNNNNNNNNNNNNNNNNNNNNNNNNNNNNNNNNNNNNNNNNNNNNNNNNNNNNNNNNNNNNNNNNNNNNNNNNNNNNNNNNNNNNNNNNNNNNNNNNNNNNNNNNNNNNNNNNNNNNNNNNNNNNNNNNNNNNNNNNNNNNNNNNNNNNNNNNNNNNNNNNNNNNNNNNNNNNNNNNNNNNNNNNNNNNNNNNNNNNNNNNNNNNNNNNNNNNNNNNNNNNNNNNNNNNNNNNNNNNNNNNNNNNNNNNNNNNNNNNNNNNNNNNNNNNNNNNNNNNNNNNNNNNNNNNNNNNNNNNNNNNNNNNNNNNNNNNNNNNNNNNNNNNNNNNNNNNNNNNNNNNNNNNNNNNNNNNNNNNNNNNNNNNNNNNNNNNNNNNNNNNNNNNNNNNNNNNNNNNNNNNNNNNNNNNNNNNNNNNNNNNNNNNNNNNNNNNNNNNNNNNNNNNNNNNNNNNNNNNNNNNNNNNNNNNNNNNNNNNNNNNNNNNNNNNNNNNNNNNNNNNNNNNNNNNNNNNNNNNNNNNNNNNNNNNNNNNNNNNNNNNNNNNNNNNNNNNNNNNNNNNNNNNNNGUGGAGAGCAACCCUCCCACUCGGGGGCUUAGCUGCAGUUCAGCGCUCGCCUACGUUCUCCACGAAGAGACUUAGCUGCAGUCAGACACUCGCCUAAGUUUGAAAAAUCCUACCGAGUGGAGAGCAACCCUCCCAUUCGGGGGCUUAGCUGCAGUUCAGCACUCGCCUAAGUUCUCCACGAAGAGGCUUAGCUGCAGUCAGACACUCGCCUAAGUUUGAAAAUUCCUACCGAGUGGAGAGCUCCGCCACAAAUACAAUGUAUAACAACGGAGUAUGGGUCGACUACCACCUUCUCCCAAGAGCUCCACCACAAAUACAAUGUACAACAACGGAGUGUGGGCCGACUGCCACCUUCUCCCGAGAGCUCCGCCACAAAUACAAUGUAUGACAACGGAGCAUGGGUCGACCGCCACCUUCUCCCGAGGGCUCCGCCACAAAUGCAAUAUACAACGACAGGGUGGGGGCCGGCCAUCAAGCCUCUCACGACAGUUCCAGAUCACAGAGACAUUCAGCAAAAAUAAAGUUCGGAUAAAGCUUAAAAGGCCCCGGGCCCCGAAUCAAAGUACUCGAGCCCUCGGCUCAGCAGAGUUUAAACAACUACAAAUCCACUCGGCAUCCCGAGGCUAAUUUAAGGAAAGGCAUGAAAAGUUUUCUCACUCCUCAAGGGGAGGGCUGGCAGGAGCGACGAACUCAUCCAAGUCGAUCCCGUCCGCAAUGCGAGUAGCUGCAGCGAUGAAGGUCUCCAUGAAGUCCUGGAAGCUAUGCCUCUUGGUAUUGGCGACUUGGAUGGCGGCCAGCUUUUCUUCUCGCGCCUCCUUGCAAUGAACACGGACUAAGGAUAGAGCCACGUCAGCACCGCACCGGGCAGAGGACUUCUUCCACUCCUGCACUCGAUCGGGGAUUUUGUCAAGUCGAGCCAUAAGAGACUCGAGAUCGUUCUGGAGCGCAGAUUCUGGCCAAAGUGUCGAGUCGAUCCGCGACACGGCAACCUUCAGUCGAGCCAGGUAAUCCAUGGCGCCGUCGAUUCGAGAUUCCAGUCAGAGCAAGUUCAUGGCAGUGUCGUCUUUCACCGGGGAAUUGAUUGGGUCAAGACCCGUUUCGAUCCGCCCGGUCUCCUCUUCGAAGUUCUGACAGAAUUCUGCACACAAGACCUAAGGAUAAGCCAACGAACACAGGAUUGAGUCGACACAAAAAGUACAAAAUAGUCAAAAUUAGAGGAGCACCUUCAAGUUUGGUGUACAGCCUCUUGGCGAGGCUCCUCAGGAAGCUCUCCAGGUCGUCCCUCCUACGGGCGACGCCUUCCAUCUCCUCACCCAAGAGGAGGUUCUUCUUCUUCCAACUGGCAGCCAGCUUGUUGGCAUCAGUCAGAGCGGCCUGCAACCUAACGUUCUCUUGCUCCAAUUGGCCGACCGAAGCCAGCUUCUGUUCGGCCAGAACCAUCUUGUCGUCAGCCGCCUUACGGGCGACAGCCAGGUCCUGAUCCUUCCUCGCCAACGCUCUGUCCAAUUCACCUACAAAGAAACGGCGACGGAAUCAGAAACAGCAAAGGAAUGCCCGAGCCUGAAAACAGAACCAGUCGACAAAGUUGCUUUACCUGCGGCGCCCUCCCUGACCUUCUGCAACUCCGUCCUGGCCAGCUCUAAAUCAAGGUCCAGCUGAAUCUUCUGCUUCUCCAAUUCAGCAUAACGAGCGACAAGUUCACAGGAUCUCUGCAAAAGAAAAAACCAGCCGACAGACAUUUGAGAUAAGUUGCUCCCGAGUAACUAAGGAACAAUGGUGACGUUCCUAAGACCACAGCCGAAUAAAAAAAUAUUCGACCGUAGUCUCGGGGACUACACCCAGUGGGUGCACUCAGCGUGCCCCCACUGGUUUGACCAAAAAAACGACUGCAUACAGUCGACAGGCCACGGACCGCUCGACCUGGCAGGGCAGACCGAGUGAAGAAGUUCAGAUUCACAACCACAAUAUACAGACUACAGUCGACUGCCAGCAGUCCACCGUAGUCUCGGGGACUACACCCAGUGGGUGCACUCAGCGUGCCCCCACUGGUUCGACCAAAGAGCAAACACACCCAGUGGGUGUAUAGAUACAGAAACAAAGAUCUUCAAAAAAAAGGAAGAGAAAGAGAGAGAAAGACUCUUCAAACAAACAAACAUCAAAUCAACUGACCUGGACGUUACUCUGAAGCGCCGAACUUGCGUCGUAAGCCGCCUGGCUGGCCUCCCGAGCCCUCUUCACCUGCUCCAUCAUGACCCCUGCCUGGCGUAUGGCCUCCUUCGCAGCGGCCACUUCAUCUUCAGGGGCAGAGUACGCGACAAAGAGUGAAGUCGGAUCGGCAGUCGACGCCGAGGGCGGCGCACUCGAUGGAGGAUUGGCAGUCGGAUCGGCAGCCGACGCCGAAGGCUGCGCACUCGACGGAGGAUUGGCAGUCGGAUCGGCAGCCGACGCUGAAGGCUGCGCACUCGACAGGGGAUUGGCGAAGGACACAGAGGCCCGAGGGGCAUCGCCGCCGUCUCGUGCCACGGCCUCAGGCGCCAGAGCAGGCUGGGGAGCCUUGUCAGUCGGCGGCCUCCUGGUCCUCCCUAUCCUCAGCGGCUCAUUGUCAUCAUCAUCCGGGAGGUCGAUAACUUGAGGAGGAGCUGCAGGAAGAACUUUCAAUCGACAAGAAUCGCAAGAAACAACCAAGUCAACUCAAAAGCAAAACGUCGAUGAUCGUACCAGGGUUGGAGGUUGCAGCGUCCCCCAUCUCUUGGUCGUCGUCCUUGGCUGAGACCUCAGAGGUAGCAGCACUGCAAAUUUCGAAGAAUCAACCAGUUCAGCAUAAUGAGUCGACUCAGGAUCUGUCCUCCAAUCGACGAAAGAAGUCAAAGCUUGUUACCCAAAGAUGACAGGGACAGUUAUCUUCAUCUUCGGCAGAGUUUUGGGCGGCUUAGACUGCGUCGUGUGCGGUUGCUUAAGAACCUUCCCAGUCGGUGUCGGAGAGGAGGUCCGAGGGCGUUUCGACGAUGGCCCGACAAAGGCAGUCGCCUGACCACAUCCCUGCGCCGGGUCGUGCAUGAGCUUGGAUCGUCUCUCUAGGCGGGGAGGUUCGGCUUCUCCCUCCUCCUCCUCGCUGGAGAAGAUGUCGUCGCCUUCCUCUUCUUCGCCGUCUGACUCCCACUCGCCCUGGUCGUCGCCGCUCUCGCCUCCGCUUCCCUCACCUUCCUCAGUCGACCCCUGCGCCCCGUUGGGCGUCGAAUACAUCUCAGUGGUCGCCUAAAAGACAGCAGGCAGACUGGAAAGUCAGUCGACUCGCUCAAAAGAAGACCAGUGCAGAAAGCAAGAUUUCAGUCGAAAAUGCAAAUACACACCUGGUCGACCUCAUAAGAGUUGUCGAGCGGAACGACCCUCCUGGCUCCUCGGGGGUUGUCUUUGUUCCCUGUAAUGCUUGACAGCCACCCCUCCAGCAUCUCGUCGGUGACCUCCUCUGGGUGGACCCGAGUGGAGUCCUCAAGGCCGGAGUACAACCACAUCGGGUGAUCCCGAGCCUGGAGGGGUUGGAUUCUCCUCCUGAGGAAGACUUCGAGCAGGUCCAUCCCCGUCACGCCCUCACGGACAAGUUCGACCACUCGACGCGCCAGUAUCUUGACAUGGGCCUUUUCUUCGGGCGUCACCUUCAGAGAAGCCGGCUUUUCAGCUCGGUCGAGGGUGAAGGGUGGGAGUCCGGUCGACUGCCCCGGGGUCACUUGAUCCUGGCAGUAGAACCAAGUCGCCUGCCACCCUCGGACUGACUCCGGGAAAGUGAUGGAGGGAAAACAACUUUUCCCCCUUGUCUGGAUCGCCAAGCCUCCGCACAACUGGAUCACCCGUGUCUUCUCGUCACUCGACUUAGCCUUCUUCACCGACUGAGAGCGAACGGUGAAGAUAUGCUUGAAAAGUCCCCAGUGCGGGCGGCACCCCAGAAACGCCUCGCACAUAGAAAUGAAAGCGGCGAGAUAGACUAUGGAGUUCGGAGUGAAGUGGUGGAGCUGCGCCCCGAAGAAAUUCAAGAAAUUGCGAAAAAAGGGUGGGGCGGCAAGGAGAAACCACGAUCAAUGUGAGUCGCCAGGAGGACGCGCUCACCGUCACGUGGCUGGGGCUCGAUUUCUCUCCCCGGAAGACGCGCCGCCUUGUGGAGGAUGACUCCUCCCUCGACCAUAUCAUCGAGGUCCUCCUGACGAAGCACCGUGGGCAUCCAGUCGCCCUGGAUCCACCCCUUGGGCAGGGUCGUCCGAGAAGAAGAGCCCCCGCGCGCAGACUUCUUCCCCUUCCCGGCCGCCGCCGCCUUCUUCGCACGCUCCAGGGCAGUCGUCUUGCUCUUCACCAUCGCCGCCGGCAAGGUCUCGGGCUGGUUUUCUAUGGUGACAGGGCGAGAGCGAAGGAAGCGGAGGGGGCGACGGAGAGACAGAGAGAGGGGCAGAAGAGAUGAGCACGCGUACUGAAGAAGGACCCCGGGCCAGCUAUUUAUAAGGGGCCACUCCCGAGUGGCUGACAGGUAGGCCCGAGCUAUCCAGUCAAAUCCCUUGGCAGGCGCGCGCGCUGUACGUGGCGAAAAAGGUGGCGCGGGGAUCGAGGAGCCCUCGCACUGUCGCUCCCGAUUACUGCGGCCGCCCCCGCUCCGCGCGCUUCCCAAAAAAUCCGAACCCCGCGAUCCCCGCCAGCUGCAGAACAACUUGGCGAAACGGCAAUCCCGCGCACGCCAACGCUCGAUGCCUCGCAAGUGAAGAAAUCCAUUCGACGAAAGACUUGGAACGGAUCAAGUCGACUGAAAAAGGUUAAUGGCGUCAUCCGUGACAGUCGACCCAGAACGAAGCACCCAUAAUAACCCGAGGGGUCGGAUGAAAAGGUCCCUAACCUCUUUUUCCACUCCAGCCUCGAUCCGUUCGGGGGCUAAUGAUGUAGUCAUAUACCUACGGUAGGGACACGGACCCGUCCUAAAGAGCCCUAUCGUAGGACGUCCUUAAAGGAAGUCACCUUUCAGACAACUUGAAGAUAUCCCACUCGACGGGGCCAAGGCACUCGACUAAGAAGCUGUCACUCGACCAACAAGCCAACCACUCGACCGCCAGGGGAUCUCAAAUCGCUCCUAGGCAAACGGUCAGCUAUUAAGUAGUCUUUAUGAUCAUCAUGACGCUUUAUUAGGGACGUUAUCAGUAACGCCCACCUUAAAUAUACCUUAAACCCUGCAUUACUGAGGGCAAGAGAGGGCUGGCGAACUCUAUAUAAGCCACCCCCUCCUCAGUAUGAAGGGUUCGCACCCCUGUAAUCUUACUCACGCAUAAUCCAAUCGACCGCCUCCGGGCACCGAGACGUAGGGCUGUUACUUCCUCAGAGAAGGGCCCGAACUCGUAAACCUUGCGUGCUUACAACUUCCCAAUAGCUAAGGCCUAGCCUCUUCAUACAUACCCCCCUACCUCACUGUCAGACUUAGAACCACGAUAGGAGCCAACAUGGGUAUCCAGAUCCUGCUGUUGGUUAUUGACCGGAGAGUCGUCUCGGUCAUGUCUACAUGUCUCCCGAACCCGUAGGGUCUACACACUUAAGGUUCGGUGACGCUAGGGUUGUGAAGAUAUGUAUAUGCAGUAACCUGAAUGUUGUUCGGAGUCCCGGAUGAGAUCCCGGACGUCACGAGGAGUUCCGGAAUGGUCCGGAGGCAAAGAAUUAUAUAUAGGAAGUGCUGUUUCGGCCAUCGGGACAAGUUUCGGGGUUACCGGUAUUGUACCGGGACCACCGGAAGGGUCCCGGGGGUCCACCGGGUGGGGCCACCUAUCCCGGAGGGCCCCAUGGGCUGAAGUGGGAAGGGACCCAGCCCAUAGUGGGCUGGGGCGCCACCCCCUAAGGGCCCAUGCGCCUAGGGUUUAGGGGAAAUCCUAAAGGGGGGCGCCCCCUUGCUUGGGGGGCAAGCCCCCCACCCCUUGGCCGCCCCCCCCCCUAGGAGAUCCAUCUCCUAGGGCCAGCGCCCCCCCUAGGCACCCCUAUAUAUAGUGGGGGAGAGGAGGGACUUGAGGCUACGGCUUUUGGUGCAUCCCUCUCUCCCUGUUGCGUCUCUCUCUCUCUCUCUUGUAGUAUAGGCGAAGCCCUGCUACUGUGACGCCCUGCAUACACCACCACGCCGUCGUGCCACUGGAUCAUCAUCAACCUCUCCUCCCCCCUUGCUGGAUCAAGAAGGAGGAGACGUCUCCCGUCCCGUACGUGUGUUGAACGCGGAGGUGCCGUCCGUUCGGCACUCGGUCAUCGGUGAUUUGGAUCACGUCGUGUUCGACUACAUCAUCCCCGUUCUUUGAACGCUUCCUCACGCGAUCUACAAAGGUAUGUAGAUGCAUCUGAUGACUCGUUGCUAGAUGAACUCCUAGAUGGAUCUUGGUGAAACGAGUAGGAAAUUUUUUGUUUUCUGCAACGUUCCCCAACAGGGUCCGCACGCUUAACGUUACGAUGACAGUUAUUAUGAGUUUAUGCAUUUUGAUGUACCGAAGGUUGUUCGGAGUCCCGGAUGUGAUCACGGACAUGACGAGGAGUCUCGAAAUGGUCGAGACAUAAAGAUUGAUAUAUUGGAAGCCUAUAUUUGGAUAUCGGAAGUGUUCCGGGUGAAAUCGGGAUUUUACCGGAUUACCGGGAGGUUACCGGAACCCCCCGGGAGCCAUAUGGGCCUUCAUGGGCCUUAGUGGAAAGGAGAAAAGGGGCAGCCCAUAGGUGGCCGCGCCCCCCUUCCCUUAGUCCUAUUAGGACUAGGAGAAGGGGCCGGCCCCCCUCUCUCUCUUUCCCCCUUGGGAAUCCUAGUUGGAAUAGGAUUGAGGGGGGGGGGGGUCCUACUCCCGGUAGGAGUAGGACUCCUCCUGCGCCCUCUCCCUGGCCGGCGCACCCCUCCCCCUUGGAUCCUUUAUAUACGGGGGCAGGGGGCACCUCUAGACACACAAGUUGAUCAUUGAGAUCGUUCCUUAGCCAUGUGCGGUGCCCCCUGCCACCAUAUUCCACCUCGAUCAUAUCGUUGUAGUGCUUAGGCGAAGCCCUGCGUCGGUAGUACAUCAAGAUCGUCACCACGCCGUCGUGCUGACGGAACUCUUCCUCGAUGCUUUGCUGGAUCGGAGCCCGAGGAUCAUCAUCGAGCUGAAUGUGUGCUAAGAACUCGGAGGUGCCGGAGUAACGGUGCUUCGAUCGGUCGGAUCGGGAAGACGUACGACUACUUCCUCUAUGUUGUGUGAUCGCUUCCGCAGUCGGUCUGCGUUGGUAUGUAGACAACACUCUCCCCUCUUGUUGCUAUGCAUCACCAUGAUCUUGCGUGUGCGUAGGAAUUUUUUUGAAAUUGCUACGUUCCCCAACACGGGUUUGGGUUCAACCUUGGGUUUCUUCACUAGAGCAGCAUCUGAAUUGCCGUUUCAUGAAGUAUCCCUUCUUGCCCUUGCCCUUCUUGAAACUAGUGGUUUCACCAACCAUCAACAAUUGAUGCUCCUUCUUGAUUUCUACUUUUGUGGUGUCAAACAUCGCGAAUAUCUCAAGGAUCAUCAUAUAUGUCCCUGAUAUAUUAUAGUUCAUCACGACGCUCUAGCAGCUUGGUGGCAAUGACUUCGGAGAAACAUCACUAUCUCAUCUGGAAGAUUAACUCCCACUCGAUUCAAAUGAUUGUUGUACUCAGACAAUCUGAGCACAAGCUCAACAAUUGAACUUUUCUCCCUAGUUUGUAGGCUAAGAAAAUCGUCAGAGGUCUUAUACCUCUUGACGUGGGCACGAGCCUGAAAUCCCAAUUUCAGCCCUCGAAACAUCUCAUAUGUUUCGCGAUGUUUCAAAACGUCUUUGGUGCCUCAACUCUAAACCGUUUAACUGAACUAUCACGUAGUUAUCAAAAUGUGUAUGUCAGAUGUUCGCAACAUCCAUAGACGACGUUUGAGGUUCAGCACACUGAGCGGUGCAUUAAGGACAUAAGCCUUCUAUGAAGCAAUGAGGACAAUCCUCAAUUUACGGACCUAGUCCGCAUAAUUGCUACUAUCAACUUUCAACUAAAUUUUCUCUAGGAACAUAACUAAACAGUAGAACUAAAGCGCGAGCUACGACAUAAUUUGCAAAGACCUUUUGACUAUGUUCAGGAUAAUUAAGUUCAUCUUAUGAACUCCCACUCAGAUAGACAUCCCUCUAGUCAUCUAAGUGAUUACAUGAUCCGAGUCAACUAGGCCGUGUCCGAUCAUCACGUGAGACGGACUAGUCAACGUCGGUGAACAUCUUCAUGUUGAUCGUAUCUUCUAUACGACUCAUGCUCGAGCUUUCGGUCUUCUGUGUUCCGAGGCCAUGUCUGUACAUGCUAGGCUCGUCAAGUCAACCUAAGUGUUCGCAUGUGUAAAUCUGUCUUACACCCGUUGUAUGUGAACGUUGGAAUCUAUCACACCCGAUCAUCACGUGGUGCUUAGAAACGAACGAACUGUCGCAACGGUGCACAGUUAGGGGGAACACUUUCUUGAAAUUUUAAUGAGGGAUCAUCUUAUUUACUACCGUCGUUCUAAGCAAAUAAGAUGUAUAAACAUGAUAAACAUCACAUGCAAUCAAAUAGUGACAUGAUAUGGCCAAUAUCAUAUUGCUCCUUUUGAUCUCCAUCUUCGGGGCUCUAUGAUCAUCUUGUCACCGGCAUGACACCAUGAUCUCCAUCAUCGUGUCUUCAUGAAGUUGUCUCGCCAACGAUUACUUCUACUACUACAGCUAACGGUUAGCAAUAAAGUAAAGUAAUUACAUGGCGUUGUUCAAUGACACGCAGGUCAUAAAUAAAUUAAGACAACUCCUAUGGCUCCUGCCGGUUGUCAUACUCAUCGACAUGCAAGUCGUGAUUCCUAUUACAAGAACAUGAUCAAUCUCAUACAUCACAUAUAUCAUUCAUCACAUCCUUUUGGCCAUAUCACAUCACAUGGCAUACCCUGCAAAAACAAGUUAGACGUCCUCUAAUUGUUGUUUGCAUGUUUUACAUGGCUGCUAUGGGUUUCUAGCAAGAACGUUUCUUACCUACGCAAAACCACAACGUGAUAUGUCAAUUGCUAUUUACCCUUCAUAAGGACCCUUUUCAUCGAAUCCAUUCCGACCAAAGUGGGAGAGACAGACACCCACCAGCCACCUUAUGCAACUAGUGCAUGUCAGUCGGUGGAACCAGUCUCACGUAAGCGUACGUGUAAGGUUGGUCCGGGCCGCUUCAUCCCACGAUGCCGCCGAAUCAAGAUAAGACUAGUAACGGCAAGCAUAUUGAACAAAAUCAACGCCCACAACUACUUUGUGUUCUACUCGUGCAUAGAAUCUAUGCAAUAGACCUAGCUCAUGAUGCCACUGUUGGGGAACGUAGCAGAAAUUCAAAAUUUUCCUACGUGUCACCAAGAUCUAUCUAUGGAGAGACCAGCAACGAGGGGAAGAAGAGUGCAUCUACAUACCCUUGUAGAUCGCUAAGCGGAAGCGUUCAAGAGAACGGGGUUGAUGGAGUCGUACUCGUCGUGAUCCAAAUCACCGAUGAUCCUAGUGCCGAACGGACGGCACCUCCGCGUUCAACACACGUACAGCCCGGUGACGUCUCCCACGCCUUGAUCCAGCAAGGAGAGAGGGAGAGGUUGAGGAAGACUCCAUCCAGCAGCAGCACAACGGCGUGGUGGUGGUGGAGGAGCGUGGCAAUCCUGCAGGGCUUCGCCAAGCACCACGGGAUAUGAGGAGGAAGAGAGGGAGGGCUGCACCAACAGGGAGAGAUCAAAUCGCGUGUAUUGGGAAGCCCCUAGGCCAAGUAUAUAUAGGGGAAGGGGAGGGGCUGCGCCCCCUUUAGGGUUUCCACCCCUAGGGGUGGCGGCCAGCCUAGAUCCCAUCUAAGGGAGGCGGCCAAGGGGGAGGGGGAGAGGGAGGCGCACCAGGAUGGGCCUUAGGGCCCAUCUGCCCUAGGGUUUGCCCCCUUCUCCUCUCCCUUGCGCCUUGGGCCCUUGUGGGGGGGGGCGCACCAGCCCACUUGGGGCUGGUCCCCUUAGUGUGGCCCAUGAAGCCCUCCAGGGCUGGUGGCCCCACUUGGUGGACCCCCGGGACCCUCCCGGUGGUCCCGGUACGUUACCGAUAAACCCCGAAACUUUUUCGGUGACCAAAACAGGACUUCCCAUAUAUAAAUCUUUACCUCCGGACCAUUCUGGGACUCCUCAUGACGUCUGGGAUCUCAUCUGGGACUCUGAACAACAUUCGGUAACCACAUACAAACUUCCUUUAUAACCCUAGCGUCAUCGAACCUUAAGUGUGUAGACCCUACGGGUUCGGGAACCAUGCAGACAUGACCGAGACGUUCUCCGGUCAAUAACCAACAGCGGGAUCUGGAUACCCAUGUUGGCUCCCACAUGUUCCACGAUGAUCUCAUCGGAUGAACCACGAUGUCAAGGACUUAAUCAAUCCCGUAUACAAUUCCCUUUGUCUAGCGGUACGAUACUUGCCCGAGAUUCGAUCGUCGGUAUCCCGAUACCUUGUUCAAUCUCGUUACCGGCAAGUCUCUUUACUCGUUCCGUAACACAUCAUCCCGUGAUCAACUCCUUGAUCACAUUGUGCACAUUAUGAUGAUGUCCUACCGAGUGGGCCCACAGACACAUCUCCGUCACACGGAGUGACAAAUCCCAGUCUCGAUUCGUGCCAACCCAACAGACACUUUCGGAGAUACCCGUAGUGUACCUUUAUAGCCACCCAGUUACGUUGUGACGUUUGGCACACCCAAAGCACUCCUACGGUAUCCGGGAGUUGCACAAUCUCAUGGUCUAAGGAAAUGAUACUUGACAUUAGAAAAGCUUUAGCAUACGAACUACACGAUCUAGUGCUAUGCUUAGGAUUGGGUCUUGUCCAUCACAUCAUUCUCCUAAUGAUGUGAUCCCGUUAUCAACGACAUCCAAUGUCCAUGGUCAGGAAACCGUAACCAUCUAUUGAUCAACGAGCUAGUCAACUAGAGGCUUACUAGGGACAUGGUGUUGUCUAUGUAUCCACACAUGUAUUUGAGUUUCCUAUCAAUACAAUUAUAGCAUGGAUAAUAAACGAUUAUCAUGAACAAGGAAAUAUAAUAAUAACUUAUUUAUUAUUGCCUCUAGGGCAUAUUUCCAACAGUGGGAGCCAACAUGGGUAUCCAGAUCCCGCUGUUGGUUAUUGACCAGAGAGUCGUCUCGAUCAUGUCUGCUUGUCUCCCGAACCCGUAGGGUCUACACACUUAAGGUUCGGUGACGCUAGGGUUGUAUAGAUAUGAGUAUGCAGUAAUCCGAAAGUUGUUCGGAGUCCCGGAUGAGAUCCUGGAUGUCACGAGGAGUUCCGGAAUGGUCCGGAUGUGAAGAAUUAUAUAUAGGAAGUGUAGUUUCAGCUAUCGAGAAAGUUUCGGGGUCACCGGUAUUGUACCGGGACCACCGGAUGAGUCCCGGGGGUCCACCGGGUGGGGCCACCCAUCUCGGAGGGCCCCAUGGGCUUAAGUGGGGAGGGGAACCAACCCAUAGUGGGCUGGUGCGCCCCCCCUUGGGCCCCCCACGCGCCUAGGGUUGGGAACCCUAGGGAAGGGGGCGCCUCCACUUGCCUUGGGGGCUACUCCACCCCUUGCCCCACCCUAGGAGAUCCCAUCUCCUAGGGCCGGCGCACCCCCUAGGGGGCCUAUAUAAAGAGGGUGAGGGAGGGCAGCCGCACCCCAAGCCUUGGCGCCUCCCUCUUCGCUACUACACCUCUCCCUCUCGCAGAAACUCGGCGAAGCCCUGCUGCGUUCACUGCUGCAUCCACCAUCACGCCGUCGUGCUGCUGGAUCUUCUUCAACCUCUCCUUCCCCCUUGCUGGAUCAAGAAGGAGGAGACGUCAUCCGCUCCGUAUGUGUGUUGAACGCGGAGGUGCCGUCCGUUCGGCACUUGGUCAUCGGUGAUUUGAAUCACGGCGAGUACGACUCCAUCAUCCCCGUUCUCUUGAAUGCUUCCGCUCGCGAUCUACAAGGGUAUGUAGAUGCACUCUCCUCUCGUUGCUAGAUGACUCCAUAGAUUGAUCUUGGUGAAACGCAGGAAUUUUUUUUGUUUUCUACAACGUUCCCCAACAGUUUUUUUGCUGGAACCAGAGCUGCAGCCGAAGACGCAGUCGUCAUCGUUUGUUACAACUGUAUCCAGCAGAAGUUACAUCCACUAUACAUAGAGCUGCAACCCUUUCAUACGGGAGUUGCAACCGCCGACGACAUAGGUUGACGAAUGCUACAACCGUACACUACAAAAGCUUCAUCCAUGUUUCCGAGAGGUGCAACCGGCGACACCAUCGUCGGGUGAAUGCUACAACAGUGUACUUAAGAAGCUUCAUCCAUGGCCGCCAUGAAUUUUUUGCUGGAACCGCUUCUCUUUUCUUUUUGCUGGAACCUUCUUUAGAUUUUGCUGCAAUUGAGAGGACCGUGGUGCCGUUGCCGCCGUGAUUUUUUGCUGCAUCAAUUUUUUUCCUACAACCACUCCCGAUUUUUGCUACUACCAGCUUUGUGUUUUUGCUGGAACCAGCGGCCAUUUUUGUUACUACCUUUUUUUGG
rnacentral:lncRNA from 1 species